AUGCGAUUUUGCAACUUUCCGGGGGGAAAAAGACGCGUCCUGGGUGGAAGCGAGAAGACUGACACAACAGCAGACUGACUGUUUUUCAGUUCUGAUUAGACACUAGUGUUGAGAUGUCUGUCUGUCAUGAUAGCAUGUACUGAGUCAGGGCCAGUACCAGAUAAGCACAUUAAACUAUAAUCCAUAAACGUAAGGUAACAACUGAGACCUAAUGGUGCUGUGACAGCAAUGUGAUUGAGUUUGAGACAGUGAAAAUACAUAUGGUAUGUUGUAUCUGAACAGGUUAGCUUACGAGCUAAAGUUACUUAGCACAGAUGAAAGUUAAAACAGAGACGUUUAGCAAACUGAUAAAGCACACAAAACGUUGUCAUGUGAGAAAUCAAAUGCUAUGACCCUCCACAAGUUGUCCUUCAGGUUGUUAUCUUUGCAAAAUUUUGUGUCUUUUAUCAAAAAGCACUCUGUUCUGCCAUGUUGGAUAUACUGGUGAAGCUGACGUCGCAACAGCACGAAAAUCUGAUUGGUCAGAAGCUGAUGUGAACGCUUGUAUUGACAGGAUACGGGUUAUAAAAAAAUAUUGACGUCUGAAAUAAUCGCACGACAAAAAUGGUCCCAGUGUGAAAGGACCUUUUAGAAACACUAUAGAACCUUGUUCAAAGUUAGACAUUGGGCAGUGCAACAUAUACCAUUUAUUUAAUUUCACUAAAACAAAACGGAAGUGCUAAUAAAUAAUACAUUACGAGAGCUUUCACUGUUACUCUUUACUGUUGAGGCACUGUGCUGCCAUCUUGGAUUAUGAAGUUGUCAUCAAGUUGGGGUUGGUGAGGAUCAUCUGACUUUACAAGUCAGAAAUUCAACUUCAGGGGGGCGUUCCAGGUGAAUUUCUGAAUGGGAACUCGGAAAAUCCAAGCACAAAUGGAACACAGCAUAAAUCCUUUGACAUGCUUCAUAUUUUCACCCCUCCUUCUUUUCUUUGCAUCUUUUCCAGAUGGAAAACCCUUGAAAUGUGACCUUGAACAACUACUUGUAUAUUUUGAUAAACAAAAAACCCUCAUUUAAUGUAUGUUAUGACUCUUUUUAAAAAGCUAAAGUGGAGCUUUUAUUUUAGAUAUGUACUUUCCAUUGCCAAUAAUCAAACUUGUGGAGGCUCCAUUUCUGUCUGUGAUUGAUUAUGCUGAUAUACUGGACAUGCAUGCAUCAAUAUCCACCCUACAAACCGUUGACUCAGUGUACCACAUCGACUGCGUAUAGAAUGGACGCCGUCUGCCUCCUCGCUGGGUGAAGCCAUCCCGAGAACAGCACCCUCAGGUCAUGGGCUGCAGUAUAGGUCAUUAAUCAUAGGUCAUAUCCCGCCUCCUCCAGCAAUCCCUAUGGAGCUGUGGACAAACUUUAGAAACUAAUUACACAGAAUAUGAAUUUUUCUCCCCCCCGGUUGCAAUAUUGACAUGUAGUUGCUGUAAGACCGUUGCUCAAGUCUUUUUUUAUCUGUGCAGCUCCAUUCUGAUAGUAAUUGGGGGGUUCAUGUUUUCUAUGAUUGACACUUGAUACAGCCUAUGGACAUACGAAGAUUGCGGCUCACCCAGGGGAUACGCAGUUUGAGCCGAGCGUCAUCACAGCGAUUCUUGGCUACUCUCUCACCGAAUGCGUACCAUGCUACCAUGCAAGUGGGGGUUCCAGGAAGUAAUUUGAAUUCGUAUAAUGACAGAAGGCGGAGCCAAGUUGUCCAUACUAUAUUCAGUCUAUAGUGUACCACACAUCUUGUUUCUUUGUUACCGAUGAAAAUGUACGUUUGCAUUCUUUGAUUUUUGGGGGUUGGACAUCUUCAGCAAUUUGCAGAUGACCCCAGUGUAUUUUUACUUGUAAAGCAAUACCAUCUGACCUCUACACCAGGUUUACUGGAGGCCACUUAUAAGUUCUGACAGACCCAAGGAAAACCGUAAUGAUAUCUAAGAAAAGCUGCUGAAUGUCACUAAAAAAAGUGGUGGUUAAAAACUGCUUGUACUCUUGAAAAAGCUGUGUUUUCUCAGUGCAAAGAGUUUUCUCUGAGUAAUAAAUCUCUCAAACCGUGAAGCACCAGAACCAGAUUCAGCUCCCCUCUAAAGGACAACCUUAAGUUGAAACUCUCGAGGCGUGCAGAGGAUAAACUUAGUUCUUUACUAGUUUUGAGGUGUUCAAUCACUUGAACACGAGGACUUGUUCCGGGCAAACAAAGCUGAUUUCGUGGUAAAACCUCGAGUGGCUCCUUGAAGGUUACGGCUAAUUGGGACUAUUUAUCAACAGACUGCAGCCAAUAGUGACAAGUACAUGCUCUUUUCCCUGUUUCUCAUUACCGCUAUCUGUAAUGAGGGUGAAUGUAUCUGUGAAUUUACAUACAAGGGCAGCCAGGAGAGGAGGACGGGGGGAGCCGGUCAGAAAUGGAGGGAACAAUUCAGAAUUUUUGUGGAGAUUUUUUAACCUCAGAAACAAGGUGGAUGGAGGUGAUAGUGAGGGAAAUUUCUGCUGUCAAAGGCCAGCUUUUCUAACUUAUUAGUCUGAGAAUAAUGGAGUGAUUAAAGGUAGGGAGGAAGUUUUGUAAACAUCAUGAAAGGCACAAAGAAAGCACCUCUAGCAAUCUCCAAACCUUAAGAACAAUAUUUCAGCUUGCGUUUGGAUUUGAAGGUUUGGACGUUAAACUGAAUUAGAAAUAUAAUUUGUACAAAAAGGUUGUGAUUUGUUUGAAAAUUAAUCUUGAAGACACCAGAAGGAGGAUCUUUAUAUUCUGAUUAAUCAGCCCAAUGAGCAGGAGGUGAAAAAUAACAGCCAUCAGUACAGGGCCUGAGUCUACCUCUGAUGGAAAACACAAGAACCUCUUGAGCUGGUGGGGCCAAAUUAAAUUUUUUAAAAGGUACCAAAACUCUGGAGGUGCUCCUAGGGUCCAGUCCUCGAGGCCCACUGUUUUGGAUGUUUCCCUGCUCCAACACACCUGAUUCAAAUGAUCAGCUCGUUAUCAAGCUCUGUAAAGGCUUAAUAACGAGCUGAUCAUUUGAAUCAGGUGUGUUGGACUGGACUUGAGAAACACUGUAUUAAUGUAUAUGUAUUUGUUAUAUGUGACAGUUAGUGUCCAUGGACCUGCUUCAGUGUCAGGCUUUUCUUUUAGCCUUCAGUUCUGCCGGUGUCUUAGUAUCAGACUGUAUUAUACUCCAAAGGCUGUGUGCAUUGUUAUGCUUGUGACUUAAUGGCACCUUGUAGUUUAUUUCUGUGUUCAACCUACUUGUAAUUAUCAGUCAAUAAAUGCUUUUAGACCAAAAUGUUCCUGCUACAGAGACAGUUUGUAGUUUGAACAUAAAGCUGCAAGUUCUGCUUUAUAUAUAUAAUUAUUUUUUUUAUGAAAGAAGUCAUCUUUUCAAGCAGCAGAAUGAAGUUGUACUCUUUUUUUAUAGCUAGCUAGAGUUAAAAUGUCUUUACAGGUUUGAAGGUUGAAGAUUUGUUCUGGGAAAUCAGUGCACAAACCUUUUUAUACAUUUUCUUUCUUGCUAUUGAUCGUAAAUAAAUCAACACUUUUGAGCUAUAGGCCUUCGAUAUGAAGGUGUAAAGCCAGUGCCCGCCAGUCUUCCUGGUUUGUGAGAGACAUUUGAAAAGGAUGUUUUGUGCAUAUAAAGCUGUGGUUGUAUUUCUUCAGGUAACUGUCAUUGGUAGAUUUGCAGAGAUACAACCUUCACUGAUCAACAUCCCAUCAGCUGAUUGUUGUUUAGAUAAAACGUUCACCUCUUUCAAUCAAAUUAAAGCAGAUCAGGAGCUACAGCCUGAUUUCCAUUAUUACAAGCUUUAGUUUACAUUUGUGCACUACCUACCUACCCUUUGUCUUUGAUGAUAUAGUCUAGAUACUUUUAACCCCAAAUUUCCACCGUAUUUGGAACAGCACCACUGCGGAAUGGCAGAGAUUUUAGCCAUCUGGCAAUUCCUACCGGAUGCAUUUUUGAGGUGAUUUUCAUGGCGAAUUUCGGACAGUAGGAAUUGUGAGGACUCACAAGAACCUGCGAAUUCAAAUGCAAUGGAAAUGUAAAUCCACUCUGUCAAGCCCAGUAGAUCAGACACAACCGUAUUUAUCUUUAUCUACGAAACAGAUAAUAAACUAAAAAAUGUAUGAGUACAUCCCCGCCCACGUUUGCAUGGUGUGAAGUACGAUCCACCUGAGGCACAUUGUGUUUUAUUUUGAGAAGAAGACGGAUGUUUUAAUUCGUGUCUGUACCCGACUUCCUUUCCAGCACGGGGCUAAUCUGUGAUAAAUUUAUGCGGCAUGCUGCGAAGCCCGCUUAACUGCAGGGGGCUGGAAAGAAGCAAGUGGAAAUUGACACAUGAUCUUGCAUGGAAACAAUCAGUGGCGAUCGGUGCUGAUAGCCUUUUUACCGCUGUUCCACAUUCGGUGGAAAUUUGAGGAUGAUGCAACAGCUGAUUCUACUCAAAAUUCAUCUCCAUCGAAAAAGGUUAAUGUGGGGAACCUGUUUGUUAUGUUUUCAGACUUUUAAGCAAACAGUUUCAACUUUAAGUUCACACACGUUGGUUGGAUGAAUAAAACUUGGUGGCUGGUAGACGCUGAAGACUGAUGAAAAGUAAAGCAAUUCUUAACUUUUUGGACCCGAAUAUGUAAAAAGGAGACCAGCUUUAAGCCCAUUUGAUGUUAAAAAUGAAGUUUCAUUCAAAUAAGUUUAUCAGUAACAUGAUAAAAAGUACAUGAACGCUUGUAAAAGACUCUAAUAACUUUUAAAUAAAACAAAGUUUAGUUCUAUUAAAGGUCUGAAAGCUUUCCUGACCUUCUGUUUCGGUACAAUGACAGCUCUUAACAAAGACAGAUUGUGACAGGAGGUGGAUUUGCGCUGAAAAACAGACAUCCUUAUCUGGUAAUUACGGGUACAAUACUGUCACAUUUCAUUCCACUCGGUACCUGCUAUCAGAGCUGAAACAAAUAAAGAGUGCAUCUCGUCCUGAAUCCAAAUGUGACAUACAGUUUGCUCUCAGAAACUGUCAAAAGACGAGCCGGAGGGAGUAUCUCCGCUCAGGAUUAUUCCGGCUCUUUCUUUGCUCAGAGAUCAGCAGUGCCGGGUUGAUUUAAUCAUUCACAUUAACGCUGCUAAUUAAAAUUUCUGCGCCCAUGUUGGUGAAAAGGCCUUCAGAAGAGAAUUACCUUGAGACAGCGUCCUCCAGGCCAUCAGUAUGCAGGGAUGCCGCCGCUGCUCGGCUUGCUUGACAAGUCUUAUCUUCAGCCGUCGUCCACAGGUGUUCGCUGUCACAGGAGUGUGAUCAAAAUGCUGCGCAGGGACUGGGCUGCAGCCAAACGCUAUUUACCCGCCAGAUUACAGAAAGGCAGGCUGCUGGGAGAGGAAAGCAUCACCACAUGCAUCUUCACUCUUAAUAACAGUAACAGCCCCCAGCAGCUACAAACAAGCUAACAUUUCCCUUUUAAAAGCUGGAAGAGCCUGCAGAGAGAGAGAGAGAGAGGGAGAGAGACAUUACAAUCAGACAGAAAUACAGGCAGCAUGAAUCUUUAUGUGUGUGUUAAAAUUUCACUGCAGAACAUGUGCAGCAAUGAUGGCUGAGGUGUUUCUGGAUAAUGCGGAGAUGAUACCGACUGUGUGCUGAACUAAAUGUUUACACCCUGCAUGCAGCUGCACAUUUAGAAACAUAAAGUAAAAAUAUUAAGAUAAUUUCAGUGCAGCAUUUAUUACCAAUAUAAAAAGACUUAAAACCCCAACUCCUGCAUAAAACUUAUAAAAUCAUAGGCCAUAAUAACUUAGGAGAUUGUACACAUCUGCUUCCACUCGGUGGAGCAUGAGGGGAAAACAGGACAUCAACACUUCUUUUAUUAGCAGAAACAUGUAUUUUCCGUCUUGAUAGAGUUGGUUUGAUUUAACCCUGGCUGUUUCUCUGCACCAAUAUGAGAGGAAACAACCUUAGAGGAAAGAAUAAAAAUAAUCAAGAUACAAGACUUCAGGUCCUGACACACCGGGACCGACGCAAAUAUACGACACGAAAUUACGAAAUGUUCUGAGGCAAAUUUUGACGUGCCUGACUAUACACAUCAAGCCCGAUGCAAUUUUGUGACUUUCCGGGGGGAAAAAAGGAGACUGACACAACAGCAGACUGACUGUUUUUCAGCUCUGAUUAGACACUAGUGUUGAGAUGACUGUCUGUCAUGAUAGCAUGUACUGAGUCAGGGCCAGUACCAGAUAAGCACAUUAAACUAUAAUCCAUAAACGUAAGGUAACAACCCAGACCUAAUGGUGCUGUGACAGCAACGCGAUUGAGUUUGAGACAGUGAAAAUACAUAUGGUAUGUUGUAUCUGAACAGGUUAGCUUACGAGCUAAAGUUACUUAGCACAGAUGAAAGUUAAAACAAAGACGUUUAGCAAACUGUUAAAGCACACAAACCAUCGUCAUAUGAGAAAUCCAACGCUAUGACUCUCCACAAGUUGUCCUUCAGGUGGUUAUCUUUGUAAUGUUUGUGUUUUUUAUCAAAAAGCACUCUGUCCUCUGACAUGUAAACAAUCAGCUGGUCGGCCAUGUUGGAUAUACCAGUGAAUCAGACGUCGCAACAACACGCAAUCUGAUUGGUCAGAAGUGGACACACAGUCUGCGAAACUUGAGAAAAAUUGACCGUGAUGCGAAAAAAAAAAUACCGCAAUAUCGCAGGAUGGGAAAAUGUUGCUGAUGUGAACGCUUGUAUUGACAGGAUAUGGGUCCGAAAAAAAAUAUUGACGUCCGAAAUAAUCGCAGGAAAAAAAUGGUCCCUGUGUGAAAGGACCUUACAUCUGUAGAUUAGUUCAGUUCAUUUCAUGUUUCCCAGGCUCAAGCUGUAUUGCCCCCGGAAGCUCCAAUAACCAAUCAUAGCAACGCAGUAUGUGAAGUAACAUGGAGCGGCAGAAAAUCUAAACAGAUUGAGGUAUGCAUGUGAAGAUACAUCAAGUUUGUUGAAAUCGCUGUAAUGGCAGAUUCAACUGGCUUUCUUGCAGUAGAGGCGGCCAUCUUUUUUGUUUACAAAAAGGCUGAUGUGUCCUGUGCCAUCAUCUUUCAAAACCCCUCCACAUAUCCAUAUAUCUAUUUGUUUUCUUCUGCUUAUCCAACAUGAGGUUGUGGAGCCAGGCAUUCCUCACCCGAUUGGCUCUGACUUCCUCCAGAUCUCCACUUCUAGGCUUCUCUCUAAAACUGAUCUGAUCCCCUUUAGAGGUAAGUCAUUCGGGCCAUUUGUAAUUGUAAACUCAUUCUUUCAAUCAGACUGUAUAUAGAAGAACGCCGUUCGUCUCCUUGCUGGGUGAAGCCACCGCGAGAGCAGCACCCUCUGGUGACGGGCAGUAUAGGUCAUAAAUCCUGGCUUCUCCAGCAAUCCCUAUGGAGCUACAGACAAACUUUAGAAAUUUAUUACACAGAAUAUAAUUUUUUCUCCCCCCUGGUUGCGAUGUUGACAUGUAGUUGUUGUUGUUAGACUGGUUUGUGCUCAAGUCCUCUUUUUUCUGUGGUGUAUUUGUAAUUGACAGGAAAUCGAGGGCAGAAUUCACAGAAACUAGUGUCCAGGAAAGUGGCUGAGCACAGAGCAUUUUUACUUGGUAAUCUUCCACCUCUGCAACCAGACACAUUUUGAAUGUCUUUGUCCUGUCCUUAAAAUCCAGAUACUCUGAUGAAUUGUGGCUCUUUGGGUUGAAGUAGAAGUCUUUUUUCUUGAACAGACCAGCUCCAGGCCCUCCAGAUCUGGAUAAUAAACUUAAAUGUCAUCAUAAGAACACAACAUGAUUCUUCAAACUCCAAACACAAGAGGCUGGGAAUAAGAAAUGAAUUCUCCAUUGUGGCUGAUUUUCUCUGAACAGCGCAGAGAUUCAUGCUUUCUCAAACAAUAGAUACAAUAUCAAUCACAGCUGGGAAACGCUUUUGGGCAUUUUCGUUCAAACGUUUUUGGCUGGCUGUUGAGUCGGGUUGGUAGCGUGAGAAGAAUGAGUGUUAUUUCCUGAAACUGCCUUCGGUUAUUCCAUUUGUCAGGCUUUCAGGAGCGAGCUGGAGAUGCAUUUGAGCUGCGUUUGAUCCAGCAGCCAGCUGGUCUACGCCAACAAAGGACUGCUGAGGCUGAUCACCCUAAAACUGGUGUCAAACCAGACCCUCCAAACCAGACAGAUAUACUCCAUAAUGGGAAACGACACAACCAACUGUGGGAAACACUUAGAAAUGAGCUUGUUGACAGAUUAGCAUUUUUUCGCCUGUAGGUCCUAGUGAGUUUUUAUCUCUGAUAAAGGAAUAUGCUCCCAGCCGACUGUUCACCAGAGAUAGAAAAUAAAAGAGAAAACACUUUAAUAGGCCAUUUUUCUCUGCUUCCUGAUGUGUCCUUGUAAAGGGACUAUUAAGUUGUCUUCAGAGACAAAUUACAAUAGAGAUAAAGCGAGCGUGUUUGUUGAUCCGACUGAUCUCAGCCAGCUGUAAAGGAAGCCAGAAGGUUUCUGUGUAAUCGCCAAACAAGCAGCAGAUAACAUCACAACCUGACGUUCAGACCGAGCUGUUAUAAACGGCUUUCACUUCCACAUUAGCAGGAUGACUUUCAUUCAUCUCCUGCUCUCCCCCUGCCAUCCACUCAUGAUAUCUGUGAUUUUAAAUGUCAGCGAGGAAAAAGGCCAGCUGAAGGUGAGGACUGAGAUUUCUCAUCAGCAAUAAAAAAGAUAUGAGGACAAACUUUGGAAAAAAAGUUGCUGAGCUUGACAAAGAAGUGUAUUGCAUGGUGAAAGAAGAGGGUAUGCUUUUAGUCAAGUGUCAUAUUUGCCUUGUUUGAAAUAAUUAUGAUUUAUAGUGUUCUGGUGCAUGAUAUUGAGUCGAGUUAUUAGCAUCCUGCUGGGGCAUGGACCAAUUAGCAGCAUGACUCUCUGCACCUGUGGAGCUCUAUCCCUUUUAAUAGACAUUCCUAAGGACCAAAUGAAGAUGAUAAUGGUGCGGUCAGUGACAAAUUAGCGCCCAACAGCUGGGACACAAACCAGGAAGAAAGAGCGAGGAGCAGUGGGGGUGGACAAGAGAGCAACAACUAUGAAACAUGACAGCGCCUGUAUCUGAAGAGGGGGAAGCCCUGCAGAGCUGAGGGUGUCCAGAGUGAUGUAACAUGACCUAGCAAGGACAUUUUCUUUAGUGCAUUUUUUUUUUCCUUUGCAAUCUUGCAACUGUCUGGCUGCAUUUGAAGUUUAUCUUUUCUUUCGCUGCAAAGAAACUGCUCCAUACCUGUUUGAAAAAAGAGAAAAAAAACAUGAUUAAAUCAGUUUUAUCAUCAUCUCUUAAAAGAGCAUUUUUGACUCUUCAACAGACAGCUCUCCUCAAAAACUGACCUGAUUACAACAGUAGGGAAAUUGUUUUUUCUCGCCUAUAUCUAUCUGUUCAUUCGUGAUAGUGAUGAGAAGAACAGUUAUUUUGACUGUACCAUUCAUUAAAAGAAUUCGUUUAAAAGAUUCGUUCACUGAAUCAGUCAGCACGAUGGAGUCCCCCUCUGCCGGUGCAGUACACGAGUGAGUGACGCAGCUGCGAAUUCGUUCAUUGAAAAGGGAGACACGUGUCGUUCAUUUACCAAGUCGUAAAAGGAAGAAUCACUCCCCUGCCCUGAAAAAUUUGCCUCUCUGUGUAUCGCCGUCGGCGGAAACAACACAGCAGCAAGCAGCACGCUUGCUAAAUGAGCUUGAGUCGUCAUUCUGGUACUUUUAAGGUAUCAAAUAGCCUAUUCCUUUAAAUCGGCUGAAAUUAAAUCCUUCUUGCAGGAAAGUUUAUACACGUGUUUUAAUGUAAAGGCACUAUAAUGCAGUGUUUUUUAUCUUAGCCUCAGUGAAUAAACCAGUGUUCAGCAGUAAGUGAGUGACACUACACCCCUCCCUCCUCUGCCCGCAUCAAAUCAUUUGGAAAUCGUUUGUUUCAUUCACCAUGUCGUUCACUGACUGACUGAAUCAUUCUGUUCACUUACUGAUACAUGUUGUUCACAGACGUUUCAUUCACAUCGACUGAUAUCAUUCAUUCACUGUGAGCAAAUCAUGAGACUCCGCCCGCUCGCUGGCUGGCUGUGUGUCGUUCGGCUGAGCUCAACUGAACAAAAAAAGGAACGAAUCAGGUCCCGGAGUGAUUCAGUUCACAUUGUUCACUCAGCAGUUCUGUUCUUUUGAAUGAAACGUUCGUGAAUGACACAACACUAAUUCGUGACUUCUUUAUCCAAUGGCACUAGUGUUGUGUCAUUCGCGAAUGAAUCAUUUAAAAGAACCGAGUCUUUUGAGUGAAUUUACUGAACCGAAUCACUUCCUGAAGUGAUUCGUUCAUUUCUCUCUCCGGUUGAGCUGUCAGCCACGCAGCUGCCAUAGCACGCAGAAUUGCCGGGUGAGCAGCUGGCGAGCAAGGGACCAUGCACUCCAAUACCUGGAUCACUUGGUGAACGAAUCACGCAGUGGACUACACUUUCUUGAAUCGUUUUUGGCUGAGGGAUUCAACUUUGCUAAAUUGCCACCACAAGAACUUGCAUAUAGUAGGACACAGCAUAAAAAAAGUAGUGUACAUUACCCGCAGUUUGAGAAAUGCGUGACUGUCUGAUCCCAUUAUUGCUGCGAUUUGCAAGGGAACGAUGCAUAUGCUGGGUGAAUUCGUCAUUGGAUGUUCUGUGGGGUAAACGUUCAGUGAACGAAUCACUCACUGAGCCCAAUUUACCGAGUAGACCAGAUAAAUAGCAUAACCACUGGACAGAAAAUUCAUUUCCACAAACCUUUUUGUCAAAGCAACACAACCACAACCACAACCACAACACUUAUCUCACAGUCCCAGGACCCGUGAACUGAAGUGAAACCAUUCAGCUGUGUAUCACCUCAGGAAGUCAGAGUCUCAGACUCCUCCCGCCAAGUGCUGAGUGAUUCGGUGAACGAAUCUUUUAAACAAAUCUUUAUAGUGAACUGAUUCUAGUGAUUCAGUACAUCUAAAAGAACUGCCGUGCCCAUCACUAAAUGGCACAGUGGCAGACCCCCACUGUUAACUUGCUCUCUACAAAUGUUAGAAAGUGCACCAACUCUUUGAUACACCGCUUCAAGGUAGAUGACAUCUGUCUGUCACUUCUUAAAAAAGUUUCUGUUGCUAUCAAAAAUACACAUUAGAUGAGGACUUCUCUUGCAACCAAACGUUAUUGCAACCUCAGGCACCAGAAACUGGAGCUGCAUGAGCCAUUUCUAGAUUUGCAGUAUUUAUUUCCAGUUCUAGUUCAUUAUUAAAUAAAAAACUUAAUAUCCCCGGAUCUUGAACUGUUAUUUUAGAAAUUAAAUAUCUGAAAAGGGGAUUUAAUAAUCACAUGCUUUUUCUUGCACCUUUGGUUGAAAUUAGCGUGGCCAUUAAUAAGUCUAGAGGGGUGAGAGAAAAGGGGGAGAAUCUCAGCUAAAACAGAUCAGAGUUAAGUCCAUUAAAAGCUGCUGAAAAGCUCUGCACAUUUUCCAGACAUAAUGUUUCUGAGGAGCUUCAGGCUCUUUUCUUACGCAUAACCUGUUCUGAACACUGUGCAAAUGAACAGAAUAUAAGAACAGAAACUUCCAAACCUUUAACCUUUAACAAUGAAUUCAAAUAACCCUCAGAGGAAGUGAUUUUUUCAUUUCACACCUGCACCUCCAGACCCACGUCUGACCUCAUACAGCGGUCGUCUCAUACCUCCCUGAGUGGAGAGUGAUUAUCAGAGCCUUUCUUUAUCUGAAUGCACACUGAUUUUCACCGUGUGUUACUACACUGUGUCAGUAUGAGGGGUAGAGGUUGCAGGGUUUAACAAUAGAGAGCAUCAGAGAAGCACAUAAUGAUCACUCAUCACCCAAACAGUCCAUUAGACUCCAUUUUUAGGGGCUGCAGAGACACUUCUCUAUUCACCUUCGACCUGACACUUUUUUCAGUCUCAGGCAGGUGAUUUUAGCUUUCAUGGAAAAUUAUAAAAACCUCCAGUGCUUGGUUCACAAUCCCAGAUUUCAUGAAUGAUAAGACCAUUCUUGUAAAAACCAUUGUCAGUUCAAUUUCUACUUUUAUACUUUUGAAUUCUAACCACAUUUAUGCCUCUCUGAGAGCUUGUACAUGUGCUUUUAGUCAAUCUUUUUAUCACAUUUUACUGCCCCUUUGUGUGGACACGUGACUACACUAAAUCUACUGUAUUUUGGCUCUCAUUUUUAUGUAUUUAUUCAUGUAUUCACAUCAGUAAUACUCUGGCACUUGCACUUGUUUGAAUGAGAGUGCUGCAUAUUCUAUUCUGUUUUGUUUAUAGUGAUUUCUAUGCUACAUCACUCUGGUGGUUAAAUAUAUACACUACAGGCCAAAAUUUUGGAAUCAAGGCCAUUACAGGCCGAACAGUUGGGAGUAACUUUAAGUUUUUGUUCACAAUGCAUGAGUUUUAUGUAUUUUGGGAUGCAUUACUCUUUGAUCAGAUGUUGUUUUCAUGGAAAUGCACCAUUUUACUCCAUUUACCUUUAGAUAUACAUUGAUGUUAACUGACCAUUGCUAAAUAUAUGUCAGCAAAAGAUAAUAAGGGCUUAGUUUUAGGGUUGAUAACAUUUGCAAGAGUCACAACUUUAGUGCAAAAGCAAAAAAAAAAAAUCACAGUUGGAUUAUCAUUUCAACUUUUUGGCUUUUGGUUUGUGUGCUUUAACAGUUUGCUAAACGUCUUUGUUUUAACUUUCAUUAGUGCUAAGUAACUUUAGCUUGUGAGCUAACCUGUUCAGAUACAACAUACAAUAUGUAUUUUCACUGUCUCAAAGUCGCAAAAUUGAAUCGGGCUUGAUGUGUAUCGCCAGGCACGUCAAAACCCGCCUUCAAAUAUUUCUGAAUUUCGCGUCGGAUGUUUGCGUCGGUCCUGUUGUGUAAGGAACUUAACCUGUGUAUACUGUAUAUGCCAUCUAAAGCAUGCCAAACCUGUAGAUGGCAGUGCAGCGAGAGGCUCAAGCCCACGUUAGCUAAUCAGAAUCCCACAUAGCAGCAACAACAACAACAUUACUCCCUUCUUUCCUGUGCACAAUUUGCCGUCGGCUACACAAAUUUCUGUUUUUCUCCGUUUACAUGCGAACAUGCAAAUGGAAUUUUCCAAAAUCACUCUGGACGGAGUUCUUAAAAAGCAUUGUUUUCAGGGGCGAAUUCUCCAUUUGCGUCUAAAUGAAGGGUGCAAACAAUGGUGAAUGUUUCUCUUUUUAAAAAGAACCAUGUCUGUAUAAAUGGGGCCAAAGUCUUACCUCUUUAGCCUGGCUAGGCAAACACACAAUUUUUUAAUUUACCCAACAUUUUUCAGGCUGAGCCUCCUGCCAAAGAGCUACAACACAAACAUUAUCUCAGCCAUGCCCCGAAUAUGCAAAUGUAUGAAUAAUCCAUAGUUUAUUAGCAACACAUACCAUAAGUUUUUGAAUGGGGCCUUUUUCUGUUGUAACCUUGGACGUGUUAACACUGGACGUAAUGGGGAUUUGUUGGCUUCUGCAGCCAGCCUCUAGUGGACACUAAAGGAACUACAGGUUUCUGCACUCCUGUGGUAGCUUCAUUCUUCUCGCCUUGAGGAUGCUGUAUGUGAAAGUACCUUGUGUCCUCUGCCGUUCAAAGAACCUUUGCACUUCAUUUCAUCAUCUCUAUACUGACUGAUUUUCAUUCUCUUGCAUGUCAAAAAUCCUUAUCCUCGAUUCCCGGUAUUUCUAUGAAAACCUGUCUGACAGACGAGCAAACAUCCCUCCUCAGCUGGCAUACAGAUAGAUAGAUGUUGCUCUGUUAUUGUCUGUCACAUGGAAACACUGUUUGUAAGCAGCACAGCUGUCAACAUGUCAGCACUUCAGGAUGAGGCAGAAUAAAAUACAUGUGGCUUUUUUCCAAGCAGCAGCGAUAUCUCAAUAAUCAGUGUCACUACAGUGCGACACGCUGCCUGGAGAUGGAUUCAGCCAACCAAGUAUGUUAGAAACAUGUGAAUUUAAUGCAGAGGAUUGUGCUUUAGUGGAGUGAAGCUGUAUCUGUGAGGUGAUUUUAAAGUCAGAAGAGCUGUGUUUAAUGUAAGAAACCAUUGCUGCUGACAGAGCCUGCAGCUUGGCAUUAAAGGGCAUCACAUCGCUGGAUUGCUUGUGACAUUUUGGUGCAAUUGUUUUCACAGCUCAUGAGUUUUCUGAAUCAAGUUUGGACCUUUCACACCUGUAGCUGCGGUGAAACUCCUGCACCUUCUCGCUGCUCCGUGUUUGUGAGUCUCAGAGGAGCGUUGUGUGUUUACCGGAGCGAAUAAAACACCGAGAGCGUGGGAUUAAAUAACAAAUAUAAUGUCCUGUGGUGAAGUUUGCUUAAAGUACAGGAGAAAGCAGGAAUGAUAAUGUGUUUAGAGGCUGUUUUCAGUGCUGCUGAUUCAGAGGUCAGAGUUAAGUUGCUGUACGGGAAAAAGUGCUGCGUGGUUAUCUGAACUACACACUGUGAAAUGUAUCAGGACAGAGGAGCCAGUCAGCUUAAAAAGGAAAACAGGCUGAAUAUAAAAGCAUGUAUUUACUAUUCAGCUACAGGUUACCGCUGUGACUUUCCAAGGCCAAUAUAAUAAUACAAUCCUGACUGCUGCUUUGAAUUAUUAGGGUGUUUACUCUACUGUUCAAGAGUGUACCCUGGAAACUUGUGCGAGGUUUCUGAAUGUUUUUGGUAUUUUUUCAAGGUCAUAACACGCCUGUCUAACAGCAAGAUUUCUCAGCGCACCCUCUGAAGCUAAAUCACAAGACAGGUUGUCAAACUGCUGAUGAACUGCCUUAUCCAGCAGUAAUAAAACCAGCUAUAAUGGCUGCAAAGUAACCUUCAGCAGACACUGCCCUCAUCCACCUGAAGUCUGUGCUCUUGUCUCUGACAGGCUCAGAUUGUUGUCAGCUUACAUGUUACGGGUCAAACUCUCUAACCUGUGCAAAAAGAGGAUGGAAUUUCUAGGGGUGUCCCGAUACAACUUUUAUACUUCCGAUACAUUACCGAUAUUGUAGCCUACAGUAUACGGAUACUGAUCUGAUAUUGGCACAAACUUGAGCAUGGCAAGUUUUAGGACUGGGCAAUUAUAUGAUCGUGAUUGAUGAUCGUGAUGAAUUUCAGUUCGAUCAAGUUAAUCAGCUGUGAGCAUAGUUACUUGAUCAAAUGUAGCGGAAAUAUGCGUCACAACAGCCAAUCAGAGUCAAGCUUUUCCUGCUCACUUCUGUAAGUUGCUGGAGAAGUAAACAAGAGAAGUAAACAGAAUGACCGAAUGUAGAGCUAAAUGUGGAGCCGAAGGGAGCAAAGUGGAUGUCAGCCGUGACUUAGUCAUCCUCAAAAGAUGUUAUUAUUGAAAAGUUAUUCAAGGUCGGUUGUGUGGCGGUGGUUCGGGUAUCUCCAAAGUGACGUUGAGCAAUUAAGCCAAUGUGAGAGGUAUGUCAGCGGUUGGUGCCCUCAAAAACCGGCAACACAAUAGAUCUGUUUAAUCGUUUAAAGAAGUACUUCCCGGGUGAUUAUGCGGAAAGCAUGAAAAUGCGAGCAGAGUCUGCACAGCCUGACACUUCUGAUGGUACAAGUAGCAUUAGCAGUUUAGCUACAACUAGCGGUGCAGCCACCAGACCAAAGCAGCAAUCAAUCGUAUCAUCUAUGUUUACAUCAUCUAAUGUUUACAUUUUAAGGCGUCUUUAUUAUCCCUGAGGGAGCAAUUUGUUUGUUUUGGGUCUUGCAUACCUGCAGAAACUCUCAGGACUGUAAACUAAUUUAUUGUAUUACUUACUAUUUAUCUACAUUUGUUGUACUGUUGAAUUGUUUUUUAUAUUACUAUGAGUUUACCUUAUUCAAUUUGCUUUGUUUUUAUUUGUAUGUUAAUAAAAUAUUGACCUAAUCUCUAGUUUAAUUAGUUUUUAGUACAGAUACUUAAAAAAAAAAAAUCGUGAUUAUAAUCGAGAUCGGAUGAUAUGACAAAAGAUCGUGAUUUUUUUUUUUUGCCAAAUCGCCAAGGCCAAGCAAGUUUUGCACUCAGCUGCAACAUCUUUUUGGGACUUGAACGAAAACUACUUCCACAUGGCCAACAUCACUCCAACUCCUUGCUAAUUUUUAGUACCUUAGUACACACUGUUGUUGUGAUCCCAUGGGCUUUGCAUGCUAGAUUUGAGUGCUGCUAGAUAGGGGUGCUGGAGCGGAAUCUGGAAUGGACUGCUUGUAUUAUGCUAAUAUUAGAGAUUUUUAGAUACAGGCUGGUAUAAUCCAAUAUUUGUUUUUGUUUGUUUGUUUUGCUGAUAUUGAUAUCUGAUAUCUGUCAUAUAUCCGAUAUUGACAUCCAAUAUUGGACAGAUAUGCAAUAUUGAUAUCAGAUAUCAGUCCGAUAUCGAAUCGGGACAUCCCAAGGAUUUUCCUCAUUGCUUUGCAUCGACCCGCAGCAGUGCAUUAGGCUGUAAUAUCUGCAGUCUUCUGUAAUCUUAUUAUUUCUGCAGAGAGUUCUUGCUUUUGUCUCUGAUAGGCUCAGGUUGUUAUUCUGAAGACAUUUCAAUGUGUAGCAUUGUGUCUGUUUAUGCAUCCAACUGUGUCAUGAGCAAAAUUGUGAACAAACUUCAUGAUGAACUCAGCAUGCUUUUGGAGGAUACCUUUAGGAAAUACAAUAUAAAGUUCAACAUCAACACCCACUGACCCGUCAACUCGCUAGUCACUUAAUUCAAUGACUAUGCUAAAAAAAUGUCCAAUCAUAACUUUAAUUUAUUCAAUGUAACACUGUUAGGUUAGUGUUUUUAAUAGCUAUUAAAUAAUAUGUCCAUCUUAUUUAAGCCAUUAUAUUGCCAAUGAGUUUCCAUUUACCACCAGUUUAAAGUACUCAGCUGGUUUGCUCUCAUCCACUGGUCUAAUGGUCAAGCCUGUUGCCUGUCACUUGCACACCGUUGGCCAACAGCAGUGUUGUUUUCGUCAGGCAGGACGAAAACUUAAAUGACGACGUCAGACCCCUUUUUUCCUUGACGAAAAUGAGACUAAGACGAACGUCACCAAAGCUCUGUAAAGACUAAAAUUUGACGAAAACUGUAUUCAUUUUCGUCAGACGAGAACGAGACGAGACUAAAUUGUUAUUAGGUGGACGAACAAAGUUUCAAAACAUGCUUUUUUUUGUCCUAACAGUCACGCCCCCAUCACACACGCACCAAAAGCCUCGCUCGCGCACAGCUGCGCGCACACACUCAUACACAUACACAGAGCGGCAGGUGGACGAGGCGCGCACACACACACACACCAUGGCGGCAGGCACAGCAGCGGUGCCCGGUGGCCGAAAAAAGAGGGCUGCUUUAUGGUCCUACGUCAGAUACAGUCCAAGUGACAUUAAAACACAAUGUCUUGUACGGGGACGGGGAGACGAGACAGACGACAGUUGUGGAGCCACGGCUUCCUCAUGCUGCGGCUUCAAACUGUCGGGAAAGAACACCACGAACCUCAAAAGGCACCUUUUUGUUGACUAAAACUAGACUAAAACCGUUUGAGUUUUCGUCGGACUAAAACUAGACGAAAACUAUCGAGGAUAGAAAUGACUAAAAUGGGACUAAAAUGAAGAAGCAUUUCGUCAAAAUGACUAAGACUAAAACUAAAUCUAAAAUGCCUGCCAAAAACAACACUGGCCAACAGCACAUGACGUAUUUCCCACACAACCCCCACUGGCUGCCAGUCAACUUUAUUCAUGGACCUGUCUUACAUUUUUCUUUUUAUAUGCGUGUAGGUGUUCAGAGAGAGGAAAGGCAAUCAACAUGUCCCUCUGGUUCAUGAUAGAGGUAGUCUGUCUGGUGUUAAAUGUAGAACUUUGGAAGUCAUUUCAUAGUUUAAUUUCUGAAAUUGUUUAUGAACAGACCAAGCGACAGGAUCUCUUGUCAUUGUCCUCAGCCGUUCUCAGGGUUCAUCCAAACUUUAUCUGAGUCUGAACUUGUAAAAUGUCAUAAAAACAUGCGACGGUUUGUUAAAUGAUCUGUCGCAGACUUUAAUCCUGUCCUGAUGAAAACAGAGGCUUAUUCCUGAGACUUUAAUCAUUAAUGUAUAAAAAGAAUUGAUUAAAUGAGCCACAGUGACGGCAGCUAACUGAAACUGGGAGUAAUGAACCUGAUCCUGUCUCUAAUGAAAGUCUAAUAUAUCAGCCAGCAAACGACUUUACACCUGAUUCAGUUUAUGACGGAACAAGCGACGGCAUCAUGUGAGGACAAAGUAAACUCUCCAACAAAGUUCAGUCAGACUCAGAAAUGUUUUACUGCUUCCUCUUCUCUCUGAGUCUAACGCCUGGCUCACACAGGACGCCGCGCAUGCGCUUGGCUGUUCACACAAAGCGUUUUCUGCUGCGCUCUGCCGUCUGCCCUCAGUUUUCCACACUUAUGAGCGCUUUAAACAUGGGUACGUCAAUAUUUAUUUGUUUUUUUUACGUCAUACAUGAAUUAAAUAUUGGCAGCAUCUUCAAGUAUUGUUUUAAAUUGUUAUAUUGGGGUAAACAAUGAAUGAAUUGGGGAGUCUGUUGACUCCAUUGUAUGUGUAGCCUUGUUAGCUCGAGGCUAUUGACUCUAUCGUAAUAAAGUGUCUAAACGUACUAAUUUCUUUGGUUUUGUAGGCUAAUAUUGUGUUUUUAAAUUAUAAAAGAUUUUAUUUUGUCAUAAUUAUUCCCAGUGUGUGCUGUCGUGGAGAGAAGGAGAGUCCUGGCUCUCUACUGCGUAGGCUCCGAUGACAGAGAAGGAGAUUGUGGGUCCAUCCCAUCAAUAAAAGAAGGGGGCAGCAUGGUGUUUUCCAUCAUCUUAUUGAUGAACUGCACCUGGACAGUGCCCACCAUCUGAAGUAUUUCAGGAUGAGUCAUGAAAAGAUGGAAGAACUGCUGUCAAUUGUUGGACCAGAUAUAUCAACAAUGACCACAACCUACAGAGAAGCCAUCCAUCCGCAACAGCGUCUUGCUGUUACACUUUGGUAAUAAACAUCAUGAUAAUUGUUAUUACUAUGUUAGUUUUACCCGAAUGAUUCACACAUACAAGACCAAAAUAACAAAGAACUCAUGUUCAUGCAUUUACAAAUGUAAGAAUUCAAAGAAAUUGUUAGAACAAAUAUACAAAUAUUCCAAUUAUAAACUGCUCCCAAAAUAAAGCUAAAGCUAAAUUAACUUAAACCAUUUACAUAACACGGCAAACCUCAAAUAAAAUAAUCAUCAUACUACAAUUACAGGCAUCAAACAGCAAUCUCACAGAUUCCCUUAUAACGGAGGAGAUCUUCAAGCUCCUCCAGAAAAGACACUGGCCUCGUCACACCUCCAUGGGAACAAGGUUGUUGUUCUGUAUGUGAUUGGUGGCGGUGCUGAGUAGGGGGAGGGGGGUCGGGGUGUUGCUGGGGAUGUGUCCAUGAAAGAAUUGUUGUGUGCUUUGUUGCUGCCAGGUACGGGAAUGGGGUUGCGUAUUGCUUGCCUCUUCCUCCAGACUUUCUAUCAGGCGUAGAAGUUCACCCUGGAAACGGUUUUGAAGGACAGGUGGUAGUGCAUUUAUUCUUGGGAUGAAACUGUGUAAGUAAUAUCCCAUUGCCUCUUCAUGGGUGGGGACAUGGAGGGGAGGACUGACUUUAUCGGCCGUGAGUAUCUGCAAGAGCUGCUGCUCCACUCCCACAGCAGCUGAAGAAUAUUCCCGGCCCUGAUGUUUCUUCUUUCUUCGCUGUGCGUCGGAGGAAAGCUCUUGCACUCCGGGGUGUGGUGGUGGGGUGUCUGACUGGAUCAUUUGUGAUGUGGUCGUAGCUGAUCUCUGACCAGAGCCACUUUGAAAUGGCGAGGAGGGUCUUGUCAAGGGGGUUGGAGUGCAAGGCCUUGACCCUUGUAGUGAUGAUUGUGGUGAGGAUCCUCCCAUUCCCUCGUCUCCAGCCUCAAAGUUUUCUUCUCUCAGACCCUCUAAGAGUACUUUUUGUGCUAAGAAAAAUAAAUACAAGAUAUGUAUUUUUCAAUCAAUGGCUUUCAUAUAAAAGAUGUAUACAACUGAAUGUAUAUGGAAUAAAAAUACUAACCUUCUGGGCUGCAAGUAGGGAUCUACAAAGGAGAAUAGAUAUGCCAGUCUCCAUUCUUUCUGGCUGCCACCAGCAGACCCACUCGCAGUCUUUUUCCCUUUAUGCUUCACAUAAGCAUCUCUCAACUGAUUCCACCUCCUCUUGCAAUCAUCAGCUGUAGCAUAGAAAAAAAUUAUAAAUAAAGCAUUGUAUUGUAUACCCUUGGUAUUAUUUAUGUAUUUCUAUAACGUUUUUCACAUAUUGUCACAGAUUCCUGGCCUCUGGAGAAAGCUUUGCCAGCCUGGCUUACCAGUUCCGUAUGGGGAUGAGCACAGUUAUGAUGUCUGUGCACAUGACGUGCCACGCAAUCGAGAAAAAUAUGAUGACUGCGCAAUUCCCUCCGCCAACAGAGCAAUGGUGGAAGGAGACAGCUGAUAGAUUUUGGAGGAAAUGGAACUUCCCAAACUGCAUCGGAGCUAUUGACAGCAAGCAUGUCACCAUCAAGGCCCAAAUUAAUUCUGGGAGUUUGUAUUUUAAUUAGAAAAAUGUUUCUCUGUGGUACUGCUUGCUCUGGUGGACGCCGAUUAUCGAUUUAUCAACGUCCAGGUGGGGGACUUUGGCAGGUCAACUGAUGGAGGCACCUACAGCAACUCUGACUUGGGUAUGGAGGCCAAAACUCUGGGUGUGCCUGCUGACUGUCUUCUGCCAAGGUCUGGACAACAAGGUCCACUGCCCUUCACCAUGGUUGGUGAUGCCGCUUGCCCCCUUUAACCCUACCUCAUGAGGACAUUUCCCGGUCAGCGGCUUCCAAGAUGGAGGAGGAUUUUCAAUAACAGACUGUCCCGGGCCAGAAUGGUAGCAGAGUCCACAUUUGGAAUUCUUGCAGCAAGGUGGAGGGUGUUCUACACCAGAAUCAAUUUGCAGCCAGAAAACGUUAAUCGUGUUGUGCUGGGUGCCUGCAUCCUUCACAAUUUCCUCAGCAACCCCACAGACAACCACAGGGGGCUGAGGGAGGCGGAGGAUAGAAGGAAACGCCUUGUUGAUGCUCUAAACAUGGGUGGAAAUCACGGCAGAAGAGAGGCAUAUGAAGUUCGCGAGAAAUUCCAUGCCUUCUAUAACUCUCCAAAGUGUUCCCUGGCAGGACCGCAUGGUCUAAAAUGCAUAAUGUUCUGUGAAUAAAUAGUACUCUGAAUUCUUUGUCAUCCUUGUUCACAUUGAGUUUCAAUGAAAAAUAUAUUUUUUGAAUAGAAUUAAAUGCACUAGAAAUUUGCCGCAAUAAAACUGUCAUUAUAUAUAGUAUUAUAGUAUUAUAGUAUUGAGUAAUGGCUAAAUAAAGACAGCUGAGCUUAUCUUUGAUAAAAAAUAAAUAAAUCCAGGCCCUCAGAGUUUAAUGACAAUAAGAGAAUAAUAGAAGGGUUAAAUCUUCACACUAUAUGAGAGAGAUUUGAUAUUUGAUAAGUGGAUAAGUGGAAGACAAAAAAAUACUAUAAUAAUUUUACAUGAGACCAGCUUUUGUUUUAUGAGCAUCAAUAACUACAAGCAUUGUAGGUUUUUUACCUACAUUUGGAAGGGUGGUGUGGGAAGGGGGGGUUAAACUUUGAGUGAGAACGACUCUCCUUUGGCAGUGAUAAUUGCUGUGGGGGAAGGGAAACACACUGUUUCAAAAUGUACUACCUUGAAAGUGCCAACACAGAGCUGGGACAAAGUUUAUAGUUUUGGGAUUGCUGAGAAAUAGGCUGUAACGGCUGCAAGAUCAAAUCUGGUUUUUCGUUCCUGACAGACUCAGAUUGAUAUUCCAAAUGUGUGCCAACAUGACAUAAAAUAACCCCUACAAGAAAAGAGCUUUAUUUAAAAAAAUAAGAAUUUUAUUGUGUCAAUAAAAAAAGUAAAUGUACCUCACAACACAUGAGUUGGUGGUCUACAGUUUAUCAAAGAGGAGGCUUCCAUCCAUUCCUGCCCUUGCUUGAAAGUGUAUUUUUGUUUUUUGUUGGACUAUCACAACCCUAUAAUUAAGUUUUUUUGUUAUCCUAUUUUUCAUGUGUGUUUCCUGUUUUAUUUUGAUACUCACCUCUAUGUCUGAUAUAUUCAGAUUCUACACCUCCUGCCCUCCUGUGUUCCCAGUGUGUAGUGACCGGACCCUCUCUAAUGUGUUUCACCUGUGUCUGAUUGUCUUCACUCACCUUGAGUAUUGAGUCUGUUUUCCCCUGCCUCAGUGCCAGUUUGUCUCUUGCUGGUGUGACUUACAUCACAGCCUUUUUUUUUCCAUUUUUAGAGAUCUUUUGUGACUGACCUUUGCCUUCUUUUUGUACCUGUGUGAGCCUUCUGAUUUUUGACAGCUUUUGAAGUCAAGCCUUUGAACAUUUUCCCCUGGUGCCAGAGUCGUGCAUUUUUUUCCCCUUUGUUUGGCCAAUCAUUUAUGUAGGAGGACCAUAGUGUUGUAUCACACCGGGCACAAAGUUAAGAAAGUGGUAGACCAACAACUCCUGUUUUGACAACUGAAGAUCCUAAGAGGCUUUGACUACAUCAUGUUUCUUGAGAAUUUAAAAUAAACAAAAUAAAAUAAAAUGUUACCUCACAAAAUAUGGGAGUUGCUUCUCUACCUUGCCUUUUAUUGAUUAGUUUAUGCCUCUGUGUGACUUGCUGUUUGAAAUGGGGAGAAGUGAUCCAAAUAAGAUAUUUUGGAAGCAAUAAUGCAAAAGGGGCAAAGUGACAGGAGUUGUUGGUCUACCACCAGAUAUCUACAGGGUAAAAUUGGGCUCUCAAACACUAAACAAAACGCCCAAGGUUUAAGGAAUCAAAGAAUCACACUGAAACCUUAAGUAUGUCACUGUGUAACUCAGGUGUUGUUUCUACAUACCCAGUUAUUUUUAAAAACAGAGACAUUAACCAUCAUUUGCACCUUUCGUUUGGACACAAAUGGAGAAUUCGCCCCUGAAAACGAUGCUUUUUGCAGAGUGGAGAUUUUAGAAAACUGUGUUUGCAUGUAAACAGAGAAAAACUGACAACAACAGAUUGUGCACCGAACACUGGGUUAAAUGGGACAUUGUUUACAAUCUACAGUCUAUGUUUACAAUCUAUAGUGAUCAUGGAUACAUGCAGAAUAGCUGUCGCAUUUUUGCUGGCACAAUCCCUUUGUAUUUGUUUGCAUUUGCAAAUACAAGUGCUGUAAUAUGUGGAGGAGCAGAGACGACUGAGUGCUCAAAGAACAGCAAUGUUGCGACAACUUCUCCCUCCGACACAAAGAGUGUGUCCGCGUCGCCGCCAGCCUUGCCAGUUUUGGGUCUGACCUGGGCGCACUGCUGUCCGGUGGGAGAACUUCGAAAAUGAAGUGGUUCUGCCGUGAGUGGCGUGAAAAUUUCCAGAUUUCAUGGGCAUCACUGCUGUCACUCUUCGAGUUGCUGCGUCCCUACGUCAAGGCUGAUAACACCAUUGUGUGGUCCUCUGUCAGUGUCACAAAAAGAGUUGCCUGCACCCGGUAUUACCUGUCCGAUGAGGGUAGACUACGCAAAACAGCCAAUGCAUUACAGCCUACAGGUUUGGCAUGCUCUUGAUGGCAUAUACACACAGGUUAGUGUAAACGAAAGCUGUGGAGAGGGUGAAAUUUCCGUUUAUGAAAAUGGCUGGGGACAUCUAAAUGUAGUCUCACCGAACUCUACGUUUGCUCUGUGCUUCAUACUGCUGCAGUUCAUCUCACAGCUUCCUUUCGUGUUUUAACGUUAUUAACACCUCAUUAUGGCGCAGAGCGGCUGCCACCACACUGCAGGUCUCACAGAGCCACUCUCACAAAGUCAUAUAAUACUCAUAAUUACCUGUGAGAGGAUCUCAGUUUCACUUAGAAAGAGCUUACUCGUUGUGCGAGUGCAGCAGGUAAGGGAUUAGAUCACUUUCAAUUCCUCCCACCGUCAUCAUUUGAAAGUCAAAUCAAUGUGAAAAGCGUGCAUGUAGCUGGAAGUGUGCAUUAACUCGUUUGUAGACGUAAUGCUCUGUAUUAUAGUCUCAGUCAUGGAUCUGAGUUGCAGUAUUUCCUGAGCAGUGCAGGUGCUAAAUACUUCAAAUACAUUUCGAGCACUCAAAAGAAACGAAGAUGCGCGUUUGAAAAGGAACCCGGCGUUUCAGCUUCCGUCAUGUGAAUGUCUGAACGUACUUCAAAACACGUCUGAGACACUUCACGGUGGAGUGCUUAUGAGAUGCAGGGAGUUGCAUAAAAUGAUGAUGAGCAGCUGAUAAUCAAAUGUUGUAAAGAAAUGAAGAGGAAGCCAAAUAUGUGAAUUUUCUGCAAGUAUUGGAGGAAUGAAGAAGUGAAAUUGAUGCAUUAUCUACUGAGAUUUUUACUCUCUUUUUACAUUUAUUCAUUCGGCACAAUUCCCAAAGUUUGAUUUCCUUGUUCACAUAUUUAAUUCUUUGUUUUAAACCUUUUUUGACAUGUGGUGUAAGUUCUUGACGUCACAACUCUUUCUCAAACUGAAUAGUAUUUUUAACCACAGUUUUCAUCAUUUGCCUUACACUAACAUCAAAAGCCUGACUGGAUGCAAGUCAAGUUUUAUCCCCGUCCCCCAUCCCUCUGCAUAUCAGGUUCAUGCUACAGCAGAACUAGGCUAAAGGCUUAUUUAUGCUCGCCAUAUGAAUGAAAACGUACGCGUCCCUUUUAAAUGACAGUUCCAUCACCGCCCACAUGCUUCUAUGCGUCCUUUAUGUUGGCAUAGAUAUUGACCAUUACAUCCACUAGGGGGCAGGCAGGAGUCAAAAGUUUCUGACAACAACAAACAAACAAAAAGAAAGGUGACUGUGGAGGAGCUAUUGGUGGUCAGUUGGGCCAUUAAAUGCCUUGUUGUUGGAGGAAGGAGAAUUCUUUUCUCUAGGAGUACAGAUGAGAGAAACUGGCGACAAUCGUCAUUUUUAGUACUUGAGGAUGUCCACCGGGGCAUUCGACAUUUGACAUCCAGCACCACAAGUCACACAGCGCACCUGUGAGUGGUGCAGACUGACAAGCUGUCACCCUGCACUCUCUCCCCCCCACAGUUUCCUUCUGGUACUGCUCCUUCUGGCCCGUACCCGUAAACUUCAAGGAUACAUGCAGAAAUACGGACGAAAAAGAAUGCGAAGCACUGACAGAGAGCUCCGUCCGUAUGUUGAACAUAAAUAAGCCUUUAGCAAACUGACCCAGACAUCCUGCUUCCCAGCAACAUUUCCAGCUCCUGCCAGGGUAUUCAGAGGCACCCGUCGGUCAGAUAGGAUUUGAAAUCCCCCUGCAAGCUCUGGGCCUCCUUCCACAAGUUGGACAUAUCAGGAAAUCCUCUGCAUGAAGGCAUCCAGGAGGCAUCUCUAUCAGAUGAGGGAAUGAUUUGGAUUUGAAGGUGUAUCACACCUGACCCUACCUCCUUUAGAUAUCCUCGAAGGAAGCCUUGCUUGUAAAUAAGAUCUCAGAUGCUUUUUGGAAAGUAGUUUUCACCAAGUAUGAGUGCAGAGCAAGGGCAUCAUUCCUGAGCCAAGAGACUCAGAGCCAAAGAGAGUGUAGGAACAGCGCAUAAUGAAAUCUCUAAACAAUAACAAGAUGUCUGUCAUGACAUCUGUAGUUCCAGCGUCUUAUUAAUUCUCUCUGAACAAGCCGAGGACAGCCCUGUAGUCUGCACUUCAUCCUGUGAUCCAAACAGCAUCAGCAGAAAGAGGCUCUGUGGUUCAUAAUGUGAUGCUGUAACAUGAUGAGGGUCCUCUCACAGCAUGGAGGCACAAGGUGAGCUGUAUAAUAGUUGUACUUGAAGCUGUUUGACUCUUUUGUUGUAGAAAUAACAGGCAGCUAGCAGGUAUCGAUGUCUUCCUGCAGAGAAGACGCACUGAUCAAUAAGAGCGUCUGUAAACUCUGAGUAUGAGUUAGGUCAAGGAAGUUGAUGAAAAAAGACAAAUCUGGAUGACCUAAAAAAAAGGGAGGAGAAGAAGAAAAAGAGGAGGAAGACGAAGGUGAUGAAGAAAAAGAUGACAAAAGAAAAGGUUAAUUGAAAAAUAUGUUAAGGAAGAAGACAGCAGGGUAAAACUGUAAGAAAGAGGAGACAGACAGGAUAUGGAUCUGAAAAUAUGACGGAGGAUGAAGGAGGAGAAGGAGGAGACAGAAAAAAAGACGAAGAGGAUGAAAGGAAAAAUAUGAUAAAGAUAUAAAAGCAGAGUCCAAUGAGAGUGAGAAAGGCAGAGAAAAGAGAAGACAAAAGACAAAGGGCUCUAUUUUUGUUUCUCGCCGGUGUUCCGGUUCUGCAAACUUUAGCGCUUUUCACAUAUAUUGACAACCAGAGAUCCCGACCAAACUGUCCACUCAAAUAAGCACUAAAAAAAUAAAGAUAAAAACAUUAUGAUAAACACAGCUGGACGUCGCAAGGAGGACUCGAUCUUAUAACGCAAUUAAGAACGAGCAACGAGGGGCGAGCGCGCCGCUGUAACGCAACAGAUCGGCUUACUGAGCAGCUCGUGUACCUCAUACUUGUCAUUCACUGUUUCCAGGGUGUCACCACAUAACCUGCUCCUAUAGAGAAACACGCCCAUGUUAGCUGGUGACAGCAGUAGCAUCUGUUAAAUUGUGAGCAUCGGUGAUCAUUUUAAUUAUGGAUCUUUUUUUGCAAAGUCUAAGACCACGGUCACAUUGAUUGGCGUGUCACAGUGUAUCACGUUUCAUUGGAAAAAGCACAUGUUAACUUGUGAGAUGUUUGUGUGGUAGGUUGUGAUAAUCCACCAUGACACAAUGUCAGCGUUUUUUAAAAUUAUCAUGCAGUCAUGCAGCAUCACUGGAUUUGCGUCUCAAAAACGCAAGUCAGCCAUGUGCUUCAAUAGAGACGUGCACCUGUUCCAUAUAUUUCACUGUCGUGCCAGAUGUGAUCCUUCUAAACGUGCAAAAGGCAUCUGACUUUGAUGGCCCCACAUGAUGUUGCAAUGGGUGUUCUACCCUUCUGUAGCUCCUAACUAAUUAGGACCACAACACCUACAGUAUGUAUUCAGUAACAUAUUUUGGAUUUAUUUUUUUUUUUAAAUCAUUAAGAAAAAAAUAAAAUAAAAUCAUAUGUGCAGUCAGCCAAUCAGAGCAACCAGUACUUCAGCCACAAUCAAGGAACACCUGGUUAGGCCAAAAAAGAUAUUAAUAGGGGUUUCCAAACAAUUUUGACUUGUUCCAAGUUAGGGGAUCGACAGUGCAAAAAAGAGAGAGAGAGAGAGAGAGAGAGAGAGAGAGAGAGAGAGAGAGAGAGAGAGAGAGAGAGAGAGAGAGAGAGAGAGAGAGAGAGAGAGAGAGAGAGAGAGAGAGAGAGAGAGAGAGAGAGAGAGAGAGAGAGAGAGAGAGAGAGAGAGAGAGAGAGAGAGAGAGAGAGAGAGAGAGAGGUGAGUGAGGUAGUAUAUUGCAGUUGUUUGUUGUCUAGCUUGUGUUUUCUGUAUUGUUUUGUGUGACAUUGUGUUGUGUGUAGGCCUUGUGGUGCGUUCUUCUUGUCAUUGUUGUAUAUUUUGUGUGUCCAGUCUGACUGUCGUGUUGAUUUGUGUCUAAUUGUAUGCUUGUUACCUGUUGUGUUUUACAUCUGUGUUUUUGAUAUUUGUGCUGUUGUGUUUUAUGUAAAGUAGUGGUCAGGUAAGCUCGAAGAAAGCUAAGCUAAGGUAUGGACAUUGUGUGUUUUAUUAGUAAGUGCGAGAGGUGAGUUGUGUUUGUGUAAAAGGUAAGUUACAGUAAGGCUGGUAGGUAAGAUUAAGUUAAGUUGAAAGUAACAGGUAAGAAAAACAGGUAGGGCUGAUGAUAGGGCUAAGUAGCCAGAUAAGUACUCAGGUAAGAAGAUUUUAGGUAAGAGUAGGCCUAUUCAGGUAAGUUUAGGGAUGGACAGGGACCGUGUCUGAGAGAUCACCAAUUAUUUGGUGGAUAAUAUCUACCCGGAAGUGUGUUCCUCCCGAGGCCGAUUCAUCAUCCGCCGUAGAUGUGAGAACUUCCUCAUACGAGGUAAGAAAAGCCUGAAUAGCAGAUUGUACGGUGUAAGGUGGUCACCUCACCUCAGGAGGCAGAUGACAUUUUUAAAGCCUUCCAUGCUAGCCAGCAUAGAGGGCAUUGUGGGAUGGAGAAAACAUUAGAAUCAAUUUCUAGAAGGUACUACUGGCCUGGCAUGGAAAAAGACAUCCAGCAAUGGAUGAGUUGAAAUGUAAUUGUGAUCAGUCUACUCUUUGUGAUGUCUGGCAUCAAUUGGAUUCACCUUCCUGUGGGGUCUGCUUUGAUUCAGAUAAAGGAGUGUCCGGAAUGCCAGGCCAAGCCUACAUCUCAAUUGAGGUAGAUGAAAAUACAAACCUACUUUCCAACAGAAUGAAGAUUUCUUAAUAUCAUGUGUAUUUUCAUUUAGGUGACCGAGCCACUGGAGCUGGUGGGGAUGGACCUGGUUGGAAAACUGACUAGGACCAAAAAUGGCAAUCAGUACAUUUGUGUGAUGAUUGAUUAUUUUACCAAAUGGACAGAGGCGUAUCCCCUGCAGUCGAAAUCAGCAGCUGAGGUUACACAUUGUGUGUUGGUUUUUUUCUGUAAAUUUGGAGCACCAAAACGGUUGUUAACAGACCAGGGUAAAGAGUUUGUUAACCAGGUAAGAGUGAGUGAGUGAGUGAGUGAGUGAGUGAGUGAGUGAGUGCAUUUCAUGUUUUAUUGUUUUCUGACAGGUCAACUACAGUGUCUGCAGCUCUUUGGAGAUAAAAAGGAGCCUUUGUGCCCCUUAUCAUCCCCAAACAAAUGGCUUGGUGGAGAAAAUGAAUGGCACCAUUCAAAGGUUUGAUGAAGGUCUUUGACUAUCAUUAAUAUCAUUACCUUUUUGAGUCACAUUGUAAGUGUGUGUGUCUGUGUAUAUCUGUGUGUAGUAUUUCCUUACAAGAAACCGACAAACCCAACACAUGAGAUGUACACCUGCAAUCCACCCUGUUUGCACUAAGAACCAAAAAACAGUUGACCACCCAAUUUUCCCCGUAUUUGGCAGAGAGGCCAGAUAUCCCACCGAAAUACCAGAGGAGUGUGAGGUAUGGACAAUGAAUUGGUGGUAACAUUUAUUUGAUAUGACAUAGCCAUUUAGGAAGUGACACGAUGCCUUACUGCUGCAGGUAACGCAUGAUGUUGUCGAAAAAAUGAUAAGGACAAAGAAAAUGUCGGAUAGGCUGCAGGCCUUAGAUUGAUGCCAUGAGAAGGCCCUGGAAAACACUCAAAAAGUUAGAGAGGUCCUGAAAAGAAAGAGGGAAGAAGAGGGCCAGGUUGACCAUUUUCAGGUAGGGGAUCUGGUCCUGAGAAAAAACAUAAGAGAGGAACAGCGAAAGGGUGGGAAGAUGGGCCGAGGAAUGUUGGGGCCAUUUAAAAUCAUCAACAUUGAAAAUAAAAGUGUUGACUUUGUCUCUGAAAAGGGGAAGACUACUUUAAAGAUCAAUAUUGAUCAAUUGUCUCAUUACAUCGAGCCAAAAAAGAGGGUCCCACGUCAUUGGAGAGAAGGGGAACAACCACCAGCAACAGCUUCACCGCCACCAUCAUCUCCAUCUCCACCAGCAGCUCCCUCCCUGCCAACUACAGCUCCACCCCCCCUCAUUCUGACUGUGUGGGGAAUCGCGAUCAUGAUAAGGAGUAUUUCUGUCCUGCAUGCAGUUUCAAUAAAUAAUCCUUUUAAAAAAGUCCAGUGUUUCAUGGUCGAUCUUCACAAUUUAUCACACAUGCGUCUCACAAGUUAACAUGGGCUCUUUACACUUAGACAUGGUACAUUGCGAUACGUCCAUGAGUGACCGCUGUUGCAGACUUUUAAGAAGAAAUGGUGUGUAUUAUGAGAUGGUCGUCACAAUAUAACACGGGCAAGCUUCUGGAGUCACCAGCUAACAUGGACGUGUUUCUCUAUAGGAGCAGGUUAUGUGGUGACACCCUGGAAACAGUGAAUGACAAGUAUGAGGUACACAUGCCGCUCAGUAAGCCGAUCUGUUGCAUUACAGCAGCGUGCUCGCCCCUCGUUGCUUGUUCUUAUUUGCGUUGUGAGUUCGAGUCCUCCUUGCGACAUCCAGCUGUGUUUAUCGUAAUAUUUUUAUCUUUAUUUUUUUUAGUGCUUAUUUGAGUGGGCAGUUUGGUCGGGAUCUCUGGUUGUCAAUAUAUGUGAAAAGCGCUGAUGUUUGCAGAGUUUUUCUCCUUGGAAGUGCCGGCGACCGAUCGGUUCGGACUGAGGCUUUUGUGGCGAAUCUGCAGAACAGACAACAUCUGGUUCAGAUUUACUGAAAAUCUCACCACUUAAUAUGAUCACCAGGUAAACCGGAACACCGGCGAUGUGGCGUAGGCGUGGCGUAAGACAGGUCCGCUGCUUCAACAAGGCGUGCCCAAGCACAUUUUGGUAUUUUGGUGAGUGGCGCAGCCCGGCGUAAGUAUCCCCCUCCCUAACUCAGCUCCUCCCAGCGGCGUAAGUCGUAGCGAGGGAGGAGAGAGGGCGUGGAGUGGAUUUAACACAGCCGAGACCUGUUUUUGCCAAUCAGAACCCUUCCUCUCCUCACCUUUAAAUCCACCACGGUGAGGCGUGUUACAAUUUUCGUGAAGUAGUCAAAGAGAUCAAGAGAUGUCUCAAGACAGCAAUGCCACACAACAGAAGGCUGACCAGGUUUGAAUUGGCGAGCUUUCAGCGCACUUUCUAUGCCGCCAGCGGGCACGAAAAUGUCACUGUGCCAGUUGAUUCUGUUGACACCUCCCCCUACCGUGCCACGCCCAGCUUGGCAAACCUCGGUGCGCCUCAGUCCACGAAAAUACCAAACUUGCUGUGCACCGGGCUCCGCCAGACGAAAAUACUACUGCGCAGGGUGCGCCACCCUCCGCCGUGUCACCAGCGGGCCCGAAAAUAGAGCCCAAAGAGUCAUCAGAUAAGUAAAACAAGAAGAAAAAGACAACAGAGGCAUGUUGCAUUCACAAAAAAAAAAAGAGAAGAAGAAGCUCUGUUUUUCAGUCAUUUUUAUUCUGUUCUGUUUUUCCAACUGAUUUUUUUUCAGAGUAUUUUUAUUUUUUGCUUAUGUGACUAAAAAUGUUACAAAAAAAUUUGUCUGAAAAACAGAAAGAGGGGGAAAAUAACUGUACAACAAAAAAUGAAGAAAAAAAGUCAGAAAAACAGAAACAGAAAGAAGAUAAAAUUAGUCUGAAAAACAGCAAAGAAAAAAAUACUCAAAAAAAAACACACUUAUAUACACUUCCAUAGAAGACAACACUGACUUAGAAAUAAAGAAGAGAGAAGAGUGUGUUCAUUUAGACAGAAACACUGAAAUUUAUUUGACUCAUUUCCAGAUUCACCCUCCUGCUGCCAAGAAAGAAACCACCCGAGCACUCAGCGUGGAUUUAACUGCUGCUGAAGAUAGACCCUCAGAAUCCACCGACUAUUUUCAUCCGUUAUAAAACAUUCAAAAAAACCACAACAAGCAAAUGUUUCAGGGGAUAUUUGAGUCUUUGUUUGAGUCAUCCACACACAGUCUUUUGUUUGUGCUUUUCAAAGAGAUUUUGUGAAAGAAACUAAACUGUUUUUCUCCACAGGGAGCUGCGGCUGGAGUAAUCUCUGUUUACAUCAUGGAUAUCUGGCAGCACAGAUCCUCUCUGUGUGCCCAGGCUCAUUAUAUCAUAAGGAGGUUUACAGUCUUUGAUUUACACGUCAUGUGACCUGGUAUUUCCUCGGCACUGGAGGGCCAUGUUGGCUUCGCGUGACUGGUAACAACAGCGCAUUCAGACCCGGCUUGGCACCAUAACGGAGCACAUUUCGUUCGAGCCGGAGGCCUGGACGUCGUCACAAUGAUGCAGCAAAAAAGCGAGUGAAAAAUGAAAAACACCUUCCCGUUCUUUCUUCUCCGGAUGUCGCACACAUGCUGCACUCCCGGCAGAAUGAUCCGCUGCACAACCUAUCAGCUCCUACACAGAAAACAGACUGCAUUCACAUUUGUUUUACACUGCUGCACACUGCUCCAGAGGUGUGUUUUCCCCAGAAAAAGACCAGGACUGCCAGCCAUCCCGGAGAUGCAUUCCCAUUGGAAAUCCCCAACACGAGACAAACAAACAUCCUCCUCGCGAUACAUUAGCUAUUCAUUCACAUUUGCAUGCUUCUGUCAGAGGCUGCCAAGACUCGCUCUCUGUGCAAUGCUAAUCAAUUCCUGCAGCGGCUGGAUAAGACCGCUGCACCCUCCCUUUGAGCACCAGCCAACACUAAUAUGAAUGGCUCAUUUGCAAUGUAAAACAAGAUCAAUUAGUAAUCCAGCAUGGAGUGUGCAUGCAAACCACCCGUUAACCUCCGAUGUGAAAACCUGCUUGUUGAACUGCCGGUCUGCGCUGCUGUUUUGUGUCUAACAGGAUUACACAGUUCUGCAGAGCAUUGUGAGGCUAUGAAGGAAUCUUUCCCUCCAUUACCAAAAUAAAGGAAAGCUCCAGCACAAUAGAGUCAAACAAUAUCUCCACACUGCUGCAGACCUUUCCUUUCAGCUCUUUAUUGAGGUCACUGUGAUUGCGCGGAAUUCAGACGCCUCUGAAUGCAUCGUGAACUUUGUACCUCGGAUUGAAACGAGCCAUAAUGUUUCAAACCUUGUCCGUCAGUCUUUGUCUCGACCUUUCUCUGCUUCUGCGAGCAACAGAAAAAAGAUUACCGUGGACUUAGUGAUGCCGAGGUUGAGGACCUCAUUUAGGGGAUACUGCAUCUUUUAUCCCAUCCUGCAGCCGAGCACAGAGCUCCCUCCUUUACCCUCCUGCAGUGUUCGUAUAACAAAAAGACACUCUUUGGUGUCAGGAAUGUUUAAUUAUCUUGUUAAAGCACAAAAAGGAUUGGGGUGUCCGGAGAUCAGAGGCUGUAUCACUGCAAGGAUUGGGAGUCAUAUCUGUGAGCUCUGCAGAUGCUCCACAGGAGCAGGACUCAGGCAGUAAGAGGAGUUAGAUUAAAUUUCUAACUUUUUAGCUGCCUGCCCCAUCAAUCCAUCAUUCUUCCAUCCUUUUACCUCUUAUCUUGUGUCCACUCAAAGUCAUUAUUUCCUGUCUGGCUCGGGCUCAUCAUUUUCAGCCUUAAAUAAUCAAAUGAAUGUAUAAAAGUAAUUCUAAUUCUUCAUUUUAAAAGUCUUGAUAUUGCCCAUGCAGUCGCCCUGGUGCAUAAUCUCUUCUGUGCAGGUUAUUGGUGUUUUAAAUUCCACUGCCAUGAAGAUGUCUUAAUAAAAACAUUUAAUUGCUACUAAAUUUUAGCAGCAGAACUUCACAUUUCUGCUCAGUGGAAUAAGGAUUUGGCAAACCCAUCCCUGGAAUACUUAGGAUGAUGCAGAAAAUGUUGAUAAAUCAGGAUUUGAUGGUUUACAAAUCAUUUAAGCCUAUAUUUAAUUGUAUGUACAGAUCUUGUACAGACAGGACUCGUCGUUGUUGUUUUCUUCCGCUUGAUCCAGGUCCGGGUCACGGGGGCAGCAGCUUCAGGAGGGAAGCCCAGAUGGCCCUCACCCCAGCCACUUCCACCAGCUCCUCCAGGGGGGAUUCCCAGGCGCUCCCAGGCCAGGCGAGAGAUAUAAUCCCUCCACCUGGUCCUGGGCUGGCCAUGAGGUCUCCUCCCGGUGGGACAUGUCUGGAACACCUCUAACGGGAGGCGUCCGGAAGGCAUCCUAACCAGAUGCCCGAGCCACCUCAGCUGACUCCUCUCAAGGUGGAGGAGCAGAGGUUCUACUCUGAGCGCCUCCCGAGUGUCCGAGCCAAUUACCCUAUCUCUAAGGCUGAGCCUGGCCACUCUUUGAAGGAAACCCAUUUUUGCCGCUUGUAUCCACAAUCUUGUUCUUUCGGUCAUUACCCAAAGUUCAUGGCCAUAGGUGAGGGUCCGCAUGUAGAUCGACGGGUAAAUCGAGAGUCUCGCCUUACGGCUCAGCUCUUUCUUCACCACGACCAAAUCACUGUUGAUGCCGCUCCGAUCUGCUUGUCGAUCUCCCGUUCCAUCCUACCCUCACUCGUGAACAAGAUCCCGAGAUACUUGAACUCCUUUACUUGAGGCAAGACCGCCCCUCUGACCUGGAGAAGGACUUGGAGGUGCUGAUUCACAUCCCAGCCGCUUCACACUCGGCCGCGAACCGCCCCAGCAAGAGCUGAAGGUCACUGCUCGAUGAAGCUAGAAGCAACACAUCAUCCGCAAAAAGCAGCAACGCAAUCCUCUCCCUGCCGAACCUGGUAGGCAGGACUCUGGAGUGGAAAUCACCGGACAGUUCAUCACUGCAACCACAAAUGAGGUUAACACUAGACCAUGUGAAGAGGAAAAGAGAUUGAAACCUGAUCCAGAAACACCAGAGUCUUCUCUGGACCCGGGACCUUUUUGGAUUGACUGAGGGGAAGAGGAAAACUGUCCUGUGGUCUGAUGGAUCAAGAUCUGACAUUUUUAUGGAGCCCUAUGGAUCCCACACCCUUCCCCUUGAAGAGUAGAGGGAUGAUCUGGUGUGUUACCAGCUCCCAUUCCAAAGCCAGCAUUCCUGAUGGUAUGAGGAUCAUCAGAGUCCAUGUCAUGGGUUGGUUCCACAUCCUUGAAGGCUCCAUUAAUGCUGAAGAAUAUCUACCGGUUUAGGAGCAACAUCUGCUGACAUCCAGACAAAGACUUUUUCAGGGGAGACCUUUAUUUUUGAGCAAACCUCAUUCUACAGAGAUUACAACAGCAUGGUACUGUAGUAGAAGUGUCCUGCCGAUAAGCUGGACUGAUGCAGUCCUGACUUGUCACCCAUUGAAAACAUUUGGAGCAUCAUGACACCAAAAACAAGACAAAGGAGACCCUGAACUGUUGAGCAGCUGAAAUCCUCUAUCAGACAAGAAUGGGACAUCAUUUGAAUUGAGCUUCUGUAAACAUGGAGAGUAAAAGGUUGUAAUUACUCCCUGUGGUCGCUGCAGUAAUGCUAACAGAGUAAAUCCCCUCAGACUGCUGCUCAUUGACAGUGUAAUAACUCUCUAUUGGACUCUUGUAGCACCCAUGGGAGUCCUGCUGCAGAGUGGCUCUCUCUCACCUCUGUGUGUGCAGAUCUUAGAGUAAAGAUUUACACAUGAAUGGAUUUAUUUGAUAAUGGCCGUCAUUGAUUAACAUGACAAUGAAAAUCAUUGGACCAAUGAAAGGUGAUUUAGACCUGACCUUUCUUAAUGGGUCACCAUUUCUGUUUCGAGGUGUCGUUCCCGUGUCAAUGAAAAUAUGCAUAAAGUUCACUCUGCUGUGAAUUCAUAGCUUCUCCGAUCCUCAUUCAUGUGUGUCUUUAAGCUUUUAUUCUUCAGUCAAUGCAAAGGAAAGGAGCGAGAACAUUUUUACGCUGCUUUUAUAUCCACAUCUUAAAUUCUCUGUGUCAUAAGAAAGUUACAGCAUUUCUCGAGGAGCACCUCUUCAGACUGUUGAAUUAGCAUACAAACAGAAAGUCCUUUGUGUCAGAUUGUCUGCAAACCAAAUCUUCUAUUACAUGUCUUGUUGCAAAGCACACAAGCUUUUUUUUUUAAGUCGAUACCAACCAUUAACAUCUUAUUCUAUUUUUGAUUUAACCAGAUAACAGCAAUUGAGAUCGAGAUCUCUUUUACAAGGGUGACCUGGCCAAGAGGUCAGCAGCAUACGCCAAUAAUAAUACAAUUCAGAGACAGAACAAGUUCAAACAAACAAAUACCUGUGUAUCUUUUUAAUGUCUGUACUAGUUAAACUGCUCAUUCUGUCUACUCUUGCUUCUUCCUCUGCAAACAGCUUUGUCGCUGCUCUCCCUGCCUUCACCUUUCAUGCAUGCUCAUGCAACAGAUAUGAAAACCUGUUUGAGCAUUUAGGUCAGUCCCUGAUAUCAAGCAUUGAUUUGCACAGAUAUACUGCUUUUUUGUAGUUGGAUGCUGAACCCUCGGAUUUUAGCUCUCAGAACAAAGCCUUAACUAUUUUUAUGCAAACGUCCAAGUUAGACAUUUUUGCUCCUUUAAGUGUAUUUUUUAAGAUUUUUUUAAAAGACAAUGGUUAUUGUUCAUAUUUUAGUAACGUUUUCCCACUGUAACUGAACCUUCCCUCGUCCUUUUCUCUUUUUAUUAUUUUUUAAUCCAUUUUAUUUUUAAAAGUGAACUCUGACGUGAAAGGUGGAAAACCAUCUCAAGUCCUACAUUAAAAAAAGAAAAUUUGGCACAUCUUUGCCUUUUUGGAAUUUUGAAUUAAGGUCUGUACACACCAGGAGCAUUUUUUUUUGUGCAAUUAUUUCGGACGUCAAUAUUUUUUUCGAACCCGUAUCCUGUCAAUACAAGCAUUCACAUCAGCGACGUUUUCCUGUCCCGCAAUAUUGCGGCAUUUCAUUUUUGGUUUAGUUUUGCAUACUGUGUGUCCACUUCUGACCAAUCAGAUUGUGUGUUGUUGUAAUGUCAGAUUCACCAGUAUACCCAACAUGGCCGACCGGCUGAUUGUUGAUGUGUCAGAGAACAGAGUGCUUUUUGAUUAAAAAAAAAUUAAAAUACACAAAUAUUAAGAUAACGACUUAAGGGACAACUUGUCGGAUCUCUCAUAUGACGAUAGUUUGUGUGCUUUAACAGUUUGCUAAACGUCUUUGUUUUAACUUUCAUCUAUGCUAAGUAACUUUAGCUCGUAAGCUAACCUGUUCAGAUACAACAUACCAUAUGUAUUUUCACUGUCUCAAACUCAAUCGUGUUGCUGUCACAGCACCAUUAGGUCUCGGUUGUUACCUUAUGUUUAUGGAUUAUAGUUUAAUGUGUUUAUCUGGUACUGGCCCCGACUCAGUACAUGCUAUCAUGACAGACAGACAUCUCAACACUAGUGUCUAAUCAGAACUGAAAAACAGUCAGUCUGCUGUUGUGUCAGUCUUCUCGCUUUCACCCGGGACGUGUCUUUCUUCCUCCUGGAAAGUUGCAAAAUCGUAUCGCACUUGAUGUGUAUAGUCAGGCGCGUCAAAAUUCACCUCUGGAUAUUUUGGAAUUUCGCGUCAUAUAUUUGCGUCGUUCCCGGUGUGAAAGGACCUUUAAAUGUAAAGUUUCAAUGUUGGUAUAAUGUUUAUAGUGAGUCUAUUUCAACUGAUUUAUCUUUUUAGUUGUAUUUGUAAAUAAAAAAAUAAGCUUUUAGAUAGUUCAAACCCUCUAUACACUCAAGUUUGAUUGGACAAAUUCGUCUUUAAACAAGUGUUAAAAAAAUGUGAAACAUUUGCUUCCACCAUGACAUUUGGUUUGACUUUUCUCUCUCCAUCUUCAUACAUGACAUUCUGUCUCUCCAUAUAUCAGUGCAGUUGCAGCUGUUUAAUGUCUCAGCUGCUUUUAUCACCAUUAUCUUAAAAAAAAGCAUCAUAGCUUUGCUCACUUUUGGAUCAUUUUGUCCUGGACAUGGGCACGUCGACUGUCUGCUGUUGUGCAUUCUAAAGUCUAGACCAUGAACGAAAGAGGAUCCCACUUUUACAGCUAUACUUGAAGGGGAAAAGGUUGUAUAUUUGGGUCAGCACAACACUUUCAAGCCUCCUGAGCAAUUUUUCGUCAAUAAAUGCAGCAGCACCAAUAUCAAAACAUCUCUCAUAGUGUUUCUGAUUCGAGAAAAUUCACUUGGGGCAUCUACAAUCUAGUUAUUUCAGACAACAAGCCUUGAAAUGUGCUGUGGAAAAAGUGCACCACUCCUCUGUUCACCCACAUGUUCCCGUAAUAACAGGAGUCAAUAAAGAAGCAGUCAGUGUGUCUGUAUCAUGAAGGAGUCGUGGUUUUUGUUGCAGAGAAAGACAAGCCAACGGAAAGACUGUCCACGAGAUGGUUCAUAAUGGGUUUUUCAGUUAUGGUGAAGAACAUUAACUCUGAUGUCUUUUCUCUGCCUGUGUCUUCAGAUGCAUCUUUAUGUUUGCAUAUAGAAAGCUCAGGUGUGUUUGAGUGUGCGAGAGAGGAUCCUGAUAAGCUGCAGCAGUGCCGAGGUGUGAAGCUGUGCAUCUUAAUCCGCUCAGGUGAGCGUGUGAUGGAGCGCUAACACUCCGUGAACACUCUGAGAUGAAAACGCGGUGACAUGCUGCUGAGGUGUGUGUUUGAAGACGAGCCAGUGCAAUCUUUGCAUCAGCUCUGCAUCACAUUAUUCUGGAUUAUAAAGCAGAGGGGCUGAGGUUUGUUCCCAGCACAGAGCUCUAUGGAUUCUGCUUCAGCGUCUUUUAUGGAGCUGCUGGUACUGAAGAGCAUCACACCGAGAAGACCAUCAGAUCUGGUUUGGAAGUUUUAGAGGACGAUCAUUUGCAUGGUCGUGUUCACACUGUGCAUACUCCAGAAAUCAAUUUGCUUGUUCUAGUCUAACAUAAUGUGUCUGAUGGUGUUUACUGAUGCAUUUGAUGUUAAUUCUGCAUCUGUACCACUGUGGACUGUCUGUAAAAUAAAGCAAAGUCAAACACAUUACACAAUCAUGUCUUACUCUUGCAAAAUCAGAAAUGCUCUAAAAAAAAAAAAAAAAAAAGGUCCUUUCACACAGGAAGCAUUUUUUUUUUUUUACAUGCGUUUAUUUCGGACGUCAAUAUAUCUUUUUCGAACCCGUAUCCUGUCAAUACAAGCGUUCAAAUCAGUGACAUUUUCCUGUCCUGCGAUGUUGCAUAAUUUUUUUUUUUUGCAUCAUGGUCGAUUUUUCUAAAGUUUCGCAUACUGUGUGUCCACUUUUGACCAACCAGAUUGCGUAUUGUUGCGAUGUCAGAUUCAACGGUAUAUCCAACACGGCCGACCGGCUGAUUGUUUACGUGUUGGAGAACAGAGUGCUUUUUGAUAAAAGACACAAAUAUUACAAAAGGUAACGACCUGAAGGACAACUUGUGGAGUCAUAGCGUCGGAUCUCUUAUAUAACAAUGGUUUGUGUGCUUUAACAGUUUGCUAAACGUUAAAGCACAGCGAAAAUACAUAUGGUAUGUUGUAUCUGAACAGGUUAGCUUACGAGCUAAAGUUACUUAGCACAGAUGAAAGUUAAAACAAAGAUGUUUAGCAAACUGUUAAAGCACACGAACCAUCGUCAUAUGAGAAAUCCAACACUAUGACUCUCCACAAGUUGUCGUUCAGGUCGUUAUCUUUGUAAUAUUUGUGUUUUUUUAUCAAAAAGCACUCCGUUGAUACAUAAACAAUCAGCCGGUCAGCCAUGUUGGAUAUACCGGUGAAUCUGACAUCACAACAACAACAACAACAACAACAACAACAACAACAACAACAACAACAACAACAACAACAAAUCUGAUUGGUCAGAAGUGGACACACAGUAUGCAAAACUUUAGAAAAAUUGUCCAUAAUCCGAAAAAUUAAAUGCCUCAAUAUCGCAGGACAGGAAAACGUCGCUGAUGUGAUCGCUUGUAUUGACAGGAUACGGGUUAAAAAAAAAAAUAUUGACGUCCGAAAUAAUCGCAUGAAAAAAAACGCUCCCAAUAUGCAAGGAAGUGUCCAUUUUUGAACUAUCAGUUCUCUGUUUGGCUUUUCAUGGCGCUGAUAUCUGCAUAAAUUUGGAUCACUACUGGAAUCUAGUUGAUAGAUGGAGUAUAAAAUAGGGACAAGUCUCAAAAGAGAAGUCUUGGUCCUGAUUUGAUUUAGAUCUUUUCUUGCUAUACCGGAAAAAUCAGCCAUGACCCAUAAGUUAUGGAGCUGCCAAAUAAUAGCCAAUACUUUUUCAAGUUUUUGGAUAUACAGCUACAUUUAUUAUGCAACCUCUGCUGUGUGUAACAUCACAGUAGAACAAUAUCUUUUCUCCAGCAGACAAUCUGAUUAUAGCAGCACAUCUACAGAGUUGUAUUUUGAAGCUGUUGAAUUUGUUGAGUCAGGAUUGGGAGCCUCAGAAGGACCUAAUGUCCAUUAAAAAAAAAAAGAUGCGGCUUUAAAUUUAUUUACUUAUUCAUUUAUUUUGCUCUUUUUAAAGUCUCUGAUUCAGAUGCAGCUCCAUGCCGCCCUCCACCCUGAGCUGAUUGAGUUCUCUGAGAGUCUCCCAAAGCUGCCAAAUUAAUACAGGAGGACGGAAAUGCAUUAAAGGUAGAAAUUACAUUUCUAUUCAUGAAGCAGCAUCUCCACAGCUGAAUGUGAAUGUGAGUCUGAAGAGUCUCUGCUCAGCUUCAGAUGGUCAGUAGAUGCAAAGUUGAAGAAAUUAAGUGUGGUAAACUUUUCUGCAUCUUUUAUAGAAUUUUGAUCAAAAAUGAAGACAGUGGGAUUUGACUGGAGACAUACUGAACUGUGCAUGUGUUUGUAAGAAUCUGUUCUGCUGUGGACUGGACCCACCUGUGGAAGCUUUGAAGACUUAACAAGUUUAGCGUGGGUUUGUUUCGAGGUGUUUAGCGCUAAUUACCCACAUCCAAAUGAGAAAGACGGACCUCCAAUUAACUCAGAAGUCAGUCCAGAAUUUUUUAGAGUGCCUUUAAUGAACACUACUUGAACUCCAGAAUUCCUGAGAUGUCAGCGGAGAUCUCUUGGAUUCAUUAUUUUAAUUUUCUGACCCCUUCAAAACGAUGCAUGCUGAAAUUUUAAUGUGUUUGGGAUAAAUAAAUGAUGUGUUGGACAUCCAGGGCUGCAAACUCACAUCCCCUUAUUGGAAAAUUAGAGAGAAAAUUAUGGUGCUUUUGACGUCAGAAUCAAAUGUUUGCAGGAGAAAGGGGGGAGAAAAAGGUUACUCUAACUCUCAUGUUCAAUUAUUAAUCCAGGCUGUUGUUUAAACUCAACGGUGUCUUCUUCUGGUUUCAGAGCAUUGGCACAGAGACCCUUCAAAAGGCCCUCUGCCUCUCUCCUCCUCCUCCUCCUGCUCAAACUCUCUUUGAGGAAAAGCUCCCUCAUUGAUAUAACAUGAGCAGAGGACCCCCGCUGUUAGCCAUCACAGGUGUCACGGACAGGAGCGUAGUGGGAUUUCUGGAUUCAUGUCAGUACGGCACAAUGACGGCAGCUUCAAACACCUGUUCAUAUCCGGCCUGAGCGGACUUAUCAAGUCCCUAUUAAAACGCAGUCACUGGCGAUAAGCUCUGUUUUUGCUGCCUUGUUUGAUAUUUGCAUUUCAAAAAGAAGGCCGAGCACGAGCAGAAAGCGAAGUCAGAGCUACAGUCAGUGUUCCAAAAAAUGGAAAUCUGGUUCAAACCGAAAACAACCCUUUCGUUUGCUGCUUAAACUCUGCUGACUCUUCAAAAAUCAAACAAACAGUUACUCCCCCCUUUUGUUUCAUCUCUUUUUUUUUAUAAAACAAGAGAGAGGAGAAAUGAUGGCGCAGACGGGGGAAACCACAGAAAAAGGUCAAUCUGAAUACCAAAUAGGAAAUGCUGACUCCAGCUAGCUGUUUGUGGACCUAGAAAGAGGUAACAAGCUCCAGUUGAGGGCCCCACUGUCGCCAAGUCAGCCAUGCCUAUGACUAUGACUACAGUAAUAUUUAUAAUCUAAUUUACAAUGGGAAAAAAUUAAACCAAACCUGUUUUUCUAAUCAGGUUGCAAACUUGUUUGAAGCUUUGGUCUACGAUCUGAAAACCAGUUUGGCUGUUGAGACAGAUUUGAAAAACACAGCCUGCCCUCCCUUCACUCACCCCUCCCCUCCGUGUUCCAAGAAACCCCCUUUCUUUCUGAUCUUUAUAUUGCGUAGAUCGGACCAUAGGACCAUAACGGCCUUAUAAAUGGUGUUAUUAUGAAGUACCAAGUGUGGCGUGUGGUGUAUUUUGAGGACCCAGAAGCAGACAGCAAAUUAAGAUGUAAUUUUAAUGUCCAAACUCAGGGGUAAAGGCAAAAGAGAAAAUCUGGUUGGCUGACUGGCUGUUGUGUGGGCCAGAGACAUUGCGGAGAAAACAGAGGAGAUGGAAGUGAGUAGACAUACAAUGAAUCACAGGGAGCAAAGUUGCAAGCACUUAUUCAAAAGAAAGGCCAGAAGACACGUCUGUAUUACUCGGGAGUGAAGACAAUACUGAGGCGCUGAGACUGAGGGCUGCUGGCUUCUUAAAGUGCCUUGAUUGCAGAUUCAGCGCAGGUGUGGAGUCUCACUCAGCCUCAGCGACGGGGAGGGGGAGGGUGCUCUGGAAAAGAGUCAAGCCAGACCAGGAAAACGAAGAAAAAUAAGAAGUAGGUCACUUUUUCUUUUAUUUUUAGUAUUAUUUUUUGCCCUUGUCUUUACAGUUUUUUUUUUUUAUAACUUUCUCUUUUUUUUUAAAUAUAUAUUUUUUACUCUUUUACAAUUGUUUUCUCUACUUUUUCUUACUUUAUUUUCUUCUAACUUUUUAUUUUAUUUGUCUUUAUGCAGAUUGUUGAAAAAUCCAUAUCUUACAUUUUACUCCCUUUCUUUUUCAUAUAAAAAAAAAUGUAUAUUUAUCUUUUUGUCUGCAUUUUAUGAUUAUCUAGUUUUCUUUUACUUUCCUCUUGUUUUUUUUUAUUUCUUCUUUUAUUCCAGUUUCUCAAUUACCUCCACUGGAGUGCAUUCAUACUUUUUUUUUAAAUCUUUUCUCAGGAAAACAGACAUGAAAGUCUUCAGGUGAUUAUGCAGAGAGUAACUGAAGCUGUGCAAAUAAACCUGAGCAGUCAGAGGGAUGAAUAAACUCACUGGUCAGACUACAAACAGGCUGGAAAUGGGUUCUUUGGGUGUCUCAGUGUUUGCACGAGAGCUUUUGAUUUCGUGGAACCAUAAGAACCUUUUAUAUCUGCAUAGCAUAAAUAAUUUGGCCUCCAAUUCCUUUAGACAUGACUGUUUGCAGUGAGAUUAACAGAAUAUCUGAGCCUGACUUCAGAUUUACCCCGCAGGCACUGAAUUAAUUGCGGUAAUUCAAAGGGCAGUAAUUUGCUGCUAAGACUGGAGAUUUACCAGUUUUAAAUGGUUUACAAUCUCAUUUUUCAUUUAUAAUAAAGUGUUUUAUCAAACAGAUCAUUUCUUAUUCAGUCCAACGUAUGAGUAACUUGUGUAUUUCCAUUUAAUUCCACUGUGAAUUUUCACUGUUUGGAUGUUUCCCUGCUCCAACACACCUGAUUCAAAUGAUCAGCUCGUUAUUAAGCCAUCACAGAGCUUGAUAACGAGCUGAUCAUUUGAAUCAGGUGUGUUGGAGCAGGGAAACAUCCAAAACAUGCAGGACCACUGGAACACUGGACUAAGGUAAAAUUCCAGCCUAUAGGAGGGUAAUUUGAUAAGUUCACAGUGUACAUAGGUGUGGUUUGUCUGUGGAAACCUGAUGACCUCAUUUAACUCACCUGUGUCUGUCUGCACACCUGCUCUUCAUUAACUCAGCAGUAUAAAUACUCUGCAGCUGCAGCCUCCUGUAACUCAGCUUUUGGGGCAGACGUUUGCUUCAACAGUCUUUGUAUACCUGGUGUUUUAACUAGGGUGACCAUACGUCCUCUUUUACCCGGAUAUGUCCUCUUUUAUUUAUCUGGGGAAGUUUAUAAAAUCCUUCAAAUGUCAGGAGUUUUGUAGGGAAGUUUUGAGUUUGUGUAGGCUGGACUGAGUUAGAAGCGUGUAAAAAAAUACACUCAACCCGACCCGAAAAACCCUCAAAAUUCUGGUCACUCUAUUUUAAAUGCUCUUGUUUAAUAUGUCUAAUACAGCAUUUCUAUCUGCCUGUCUCCUUUUAAAAGAAUGAACUAUUUCAAUACAUUUUUGGUCCCUAUAUCCUCAUACAGAAGCUUUUAAAACAGCUCAGAUCCUUGUAAAAAUGGUAGACCCUACUGUUGCUUUAUGGAUAUUGAGUCGAUUAGAAAGCAAAUUCAGACAGUGGUGGUGUGGAAAUUCAGCUUAAGUGAAUAAACACCCUUGAAGAAGUGUAUCAUUGGAUUAAGGUGGAUACUAAAUCAUUACAUGAAUUAGUAAUUCUCUGUGUAAAUUCUGGACUUUGUCACAUAAAGAGAAGUGUGUGUGCCUUUAGACUCCAUGUACUCCCUGUUUUAAUCCUCCAAUCGUUCAUAGAUCUCCCCUCUCUGCUCAUCUAUAAUUCAGAGCAAGUGCGCUCCCUGACACCACGCAAUUAAUUAGUCUUUUUGUUCAUUAAAGGCUCAGCUUUUAGAAGACCAUCAUGUUUUAUUUUAGUUUUAAUUACUUUGUGCUUUGGCAGCUUUCUAUUUCCAAGAUUUAUGUUCCUCAGGUCCCGACCACCAUCCAAUUAGAGGCAGAUCUGUGUGUUUAUGAGGAGGGGAGAGGAGCAGCGAGUGUGGCGUUCAAAGACUGUGACUCCCGUUCGCUUCACAUGUGAUGUAAUGAGAUUAGCAUAGUCUUUGAAAUGAUCGUCAGUUCCUGCGGGUCAAUUGAUUUGCCAUUCAGUUUUAAAGCACCCAGAGGCUCGUAAUGUGUGAGUGUGAGCACACACGCCGUUAGAUCUGUGUGCAGUCUGCAGGGAGGCUGUUGGCAACAAUCAGACAGAGUUAGACAAAGAGAUAAAAACCCACAUUAUCGUCACUCUGAUGAAUCAAACCACAAAUAAUAGUCCUCAGACAGAUUGUUAUGUUUUAAUGGAGAUUAUGGGAACUAAGGGCUGCUGGAAUUUUUAAAAAAGACACAAAAAAAGAUUAUAAAACUCUGCCAAAAACAUCAGCCUGGUGUUCUCAGACUCCUUAAAUCUUAAUUUUGAAAAAAGUAAAACAUCAACUUUGAAACAUUUUCAUCAAAAGCAUUUCGAAGUGUCUGCUGUCUGUUUUUAAAGUCCCAUUUAACAGGACAGAUCCUCCCUUAACCAAUGUUUUUAAGUCAAUCUGGACCCAGUUUAACUUAAAAGAAGAGUCGGGGGCCAUUUUAAGGUACGAUUAGAUUAGAUUUGACAGGGUUAGGGUAAGUGUUUAUUAAUCCUUUUGGGAAGGUUUCCUCAAAGUUCAGGUACCCUUAUAAAAUUUGAGGGGCUUUUAAGCAACAAAUCUCAGGUAUGCUUUUAAGGUUGUUUUGCAAAAGUGGUUGGAUCAUUUUAACAGUUUUUUCUUGAGUUUUUGCCUGUGUAUUAGGAUAAACAUUAUGAAUGUUUCAAACUGUCAUUUGGACACUAUUUUAAUUUACUAUUUUCCCAGCAACAAAGUGAAGUUCUGUUUUCAGCAUUUUGAGACACCCUCAACAGUUUCUCUAGAGGUACACUUCUGAAACUCAGUUUGGACUGCUUUGAAGUACUGUUUGCAGUAAAUUUUGAGGUACCACCAAGGUACCCUUCAAAAACGAGAGCUGGGGAUACACUUACCCCCAAUUUCUACCGCAUGUGGAAUGCCAGCGGAAAAGCUGUCGGCAUCAACCGCAGCUGAUCGUUUCCAUUCAAGUUAAUGUGUCAAUUUCCACCUGCUUCUAUCCAGCCCCCUGCGGUUCAGCGGGCUUCGUAGCCAAUCGCCAGGUUUCUACUUUAUCCGGACACUACAGCAUGCUGCAUAAAUUUAGCACAGAUUAACCCGUAUUGUAAAGGAAGUCAAGCACAGAUGCAAAAUAAAACAUUCGGCUUCUUGGGCGGGGACGAACAAGUCAAAGGUUUUCAGACUUCAUGUCUAGUCUAGAAGUGGAUUUCCUCCUCUGGAAGGACACAAUCUACUACUUAUGUGGUUAUGUGGCUGUUUUUAUAAAGACAACUCAUUAUUGUGCAAUUGCAUUUGAAUCUGAAGGUUCUUAUGAGUUCUCGCGAUUCCUGCUGUCCAAAAUCCGCAAAAGAAAUUCGCCUCACAAACACAUCUGGUAGGAAUUGGCGGAUGGCGAAAAUCACUACCAUUCCACAGCUAAGCCGUUUCGUAUGCAGUGAAAAUUUGGGGGUUGGGCAGAUUAUAAGUACUCUUAAGUCUGGUUUUAGAUACUCUGCAUGAAACUCAUGGAGCUAUGAACAUUUCUUUUUGGGGUCAGUAUGAAGCAGUUAUAAGCAAAGUCUUUUUAGUAACCCCAUGGUGACUGCUCAAAAGUUCAGUUUGCAAACAGUUGAAGGUCUCCUGAUGUUGUUACCUUUGGUGUUUGUUCAAUGAUAUCCACGGUUUUGAUUUUAAGGUACCCUAGGGCCUCUGUUUUUGAUUAGAAAAUUAUGAGGUACCGUCCAGCACCUGUUUUUCAAGUACCUGUUAGAUCAUUGUCGAAUUCCCUCAUCUCAUACGGUCAUUAAUUGGUCAUCCCUUUGUGAGAUCAUUAAAAGAAUCUCAGAAAAAAAGAUCAUGACAGGCUUCUGAACAAAGAGAAGAGUCUGACACAUUUAAUUAAAGCAUUUCUAAAACUGACGGCACAUUUCUUUCAAACUCCCUCUCGUAGAACAAAUGUUGCUCUAUUUUCACUCCCACAUCCCGCUGAAAUAAUUCCCUUGUUGUUUUGGACUGUGCUUGUUUUUAAGGGCCAGUUAAUACUUCAUAAAAACAGUGUGAAGCCAAACCCGUGGCCUUUCAGUGACUGUCUGCACUUGUUAUGUAUUAAAGGAGAUUUCACAGUCUCAACCCACUCAAGGAAUUAAAAAUAACAUGCAGCCUUUUGAAAAAUUCACCUUUGCUGCUGGAAAUGAGCUGCGUUUUCCAGCUGUGAAGAGGAUGGCAAUCCAGACCUAACAGGAUCCAAACCUGAAAUUUCCGCAUAAAGGUUUCCAGCAUGCCUUCUGUUUAUCGUCCCCUCAGCAGCUCUUUUUGCCUAACAUGGCGUAAACGUCCCGCUCCGCCGCCUCUCGCCCUCGUUACUUGAACCUAAAGUGUCACUUAACUCGACUCUCAAAGCUGCUCAGGUGUCUCUAUCAAAGAGGGACGGCUCCUGAAUACAAGGGACCACUUUUAAUUAUUCCUGCAGUCAUUAAGGCUUGAUGAACUUCAGAGCGAGCUCCACUAAACAUCUGUGUCCCGGUGGUGAAGAGACCGAGUGGCCAUGUUUGACUAGUCCCCCUGGAGGGCUGAGUGAAGCCAGAAUACAACUGGAGUCAGAGAGUAACAAGAGCCUGAAAGAGGGCAGACAGGAUGAAUUCGACUUUUUCAAACAUGCAAGAGAUCCUCAGAAACAUAAACUGUAUUUGAAGGAAGAUGUAUGUCUCUGUGCAGGGGCGACUUAUCUUGUACAAGGCGCUCAGUUUGACAGGUAUUAUCUAUCUGUCUGUCUGAACUGUUCAGACCCAAGGGUACAAAAUCCACAAUUCACCACUUCCUCUCCUGACUCUACUGAGUUUAUUGAUACUUCUCAAGACAAGGUUACUGUUUUUUCCUCUCUCAGAGUUAGGUAGAAACCAGAGUCCUUAACUGUUGUUUACAAGCUUAUCUUUCAUUGUGCAAUAACAUUUGAAGAGUAUUCUAUAGGUGAACUUUUCUGUUUGAGAAGGCAGCGAGCUGCAAAAGAUGUCCAAGUUUCUAGUCCCAUCCUGGCUCAGGGUUUGGGAUCCAAUGUUCUGAGGCUCAGCAUGUUUCCUUCUGAUCUCCAACUGAAAGAUUUCUAAAGGAGCCAAGGUCAAGAACAGAUUGCAGUUAUUGUCCCAAAUGAUGCCAAAAGUUAAUGAGUGUUAAAAACUUCUCAAAAAGGCAGAAAAAGGUGAAGCUGAAAUUGUGUUAAAUGAGUGUUGAGAAGGCAGUACGUCCAUAACUAACGGUGCGUUCCAGUUGUACUUGGAAGUCGGGUCAAGAAAUUCAUCUGGAACGCUCCUUUUGAAGUCGGAUUUUGGACUCGGAAAGUUGAACCAUCCUCACCACCCCUGACUUGAUGACAACGUCAUAAUCCAAGAUGGCAGCGCAGUGCAUCAACAGUAAAGAGUAACAGUGAAAGUUCUCGUAAUGUAUUAUUUAUUAGCACUUCUGUUUUGUUUUUGUGAAGUUAAAUAAGUGUUAUAUGUUUUACUUCCCAACAUCUAACUGUGAACACAGUGCUAUGGUGUUUGUAAGGGUAAAAUACUGUCGUAUAUGUUGUUUACAACUGGUAUCGCUAACAACAGCUAACUACAGCUAAGAAUAGAAUAGAAUAGAAUAGAAUAGAAUAUUCCUUUAUUGAUCCCCCAUGGGGGAAAUUUUUUUUUUGUCACAGCAGCAUCACAGACAGAGUGCAAAAAUGCAGUUAUAAAAAUAAAGAUCCUAAUAUUAAGAACUUAAAUAAAUGUAAUAAUUAAGAAAAAAUUUAGAAAAAGGAAAAAGGGAGAAGAAAAAUAAAACUAUCUACAAUAUACACAAUUUAAAUGCCAGAAAAAAAUGGUGGUGUAAAUCCAGUUAUUAUUACAGUUCGUUGUAAAGUCUUAUUGCAGAGGGGAGGAAUGACCUGCGGUAGCGCUCCGUCUUGCAAGGUGGAAGUCUCAGUCUGCUGCUGAAGGAGCUGCUUAAAGCCCCCACAGUCUGGUGCAGUGGGUGAGAGGGAUUGUCCAUGAUGGAUACAAGCUUUGUUAACAUCCUCCUCUCACCCACCUCCUCCAGGGAGUCCAAAGAACAGUCCAGGACAGAACUGACCCUCCUGACCAGUCUAUUCAGUCUCUUCCUGUCCCUCUCACCCACUGUCCCUCUCGGUGCUCCCUGCCCCCCAGCAGACCACUGCAUAGAAAAGUGCAGAUGCUACCAACUACGGCUAACAGUAGGCGUCCAUUUUGGUUUUUCGACUUGUUUACUGGAACGCUGUCAACUCGGGUGGAACGCAAUUCCCAGCUCAGACAUCUGACUUCAGAGGUAACUGGAACGCAGUAUGAGACCCACAACUAGGCAGGAUGCAGACUGGAACCCAGAACGUUAAAAAUGGUCCCACGUGACGAGUUGUCUUUUCUUCUUCUAGGCACUGCAGACCUCAAAACAGUAUUUUACAAAUGCUCCUGCAACAAAGACACAGACUUCCUCGACAUUAUUUCACCUCACAUGUAUUUGCCAUAAUCCUCUCAUUGGUUUGUACUCACCACUCUACUGAGGAAUGCUUUUACACAUGGGUGGGUGGGUGUUGUUCUUCAGUGGUCUAUCCUUACUAAGUUAUGCUGCCAACUAUAGGCUUUGCAUGGAAACUUCAGUGGAUGGGGGUCAUUCUCACAACAAUGUCCUCUUCUUAUUUUUGCAGAUUUUUCUUAAACACAAAGAAAAGACUUUUCCUUUUCCAAUGAAUGAGUCACUCAAAACCAAACUAUGUUGAAGUUGUUGAAUUCUUCUCAAAUUGCUCACCAAAUGUCGAAGUCUUUAUUCCAAAGUUUGCCAUGCAGGAAAUCUGUUGGUUACAAGUUAAUUCCAAUGGCUGUCCUUCUUCACAUUCACAAUAAAUCAUCAUACUGGAACAAAAUAAAAAAAAAUAAAUAAAACGGGCCUGAAAAGCGAGAAGUAAUACAGUGAAAACAGAUGGUUGUUGUUCUGGGUUAAAUCCUCCACAGUUUGUCUCCAUUUAUCAAAACUGGCAACUUUUCAGAGAUUCAAACCAUCAUAUUUCAAGAAAGUACAAAUUAAACUGGUGUUGGAUCAAAUUUACAGUCUGAACUGGCCUGAACAUUUGUCUCUGGGGACUGCACGAUCCCAAGAGUUACUAAAUUCUGUUAGCAAAGUUUAAAAAGAGAUAUCUUCUCUCUUUUAGCCCCGCGUGAACAGCGAGAGGAGUUUUCAUACCAAACUGAGACUGAACAGAGUGUGUUGGUAAUGAUUUCAGUCCUGAGCUGAAUUUUCCUGCAUUCAGAUCAAAGCAGCUCCUCCAAUCACAGCUCUUUGAAACCAUCAAAGACGCACAAUUAAAAUGGAGCAAACUUUGUGUUGUUUGUGUGUGUGUGUGCGUUUCUUUUCUUUUGUCAUCAGGCCUCAGAUCUGAUAUCUAUGUGGUGGGGAAACAUGUGGGAUGGUCAGAGAGAGAGAGAGAGGGAGGGAUGAAAGCAGGAGACACAUCUGGUCAUCUGCAGAGUUACGCCUCCCUAAGGAGCUCCUCCGAGCAGCUCCUCCAGCUCUUGCUACCCCUCUCUUAAUUAGACAGGUAGUCUGAGAGGCUCAUUUGCAGGUCAGAUUCACUGGAACUUGUUUGAUCCACGACGGCCUGCAAUGUCAGGAUACAGAAAUGAAACACCUCCAUGCAAAACAGGCCGAAAUUGGAGGUUUUGCUCAUUAAUUUUGGCUGGAUGAGGCGUAGGUCGUGUCAGAGGGGAUUGUUAAAUAUUUCCCUGAAUAUAAAUCAGCUCCGACUCUCCUGAAGCUUUGACUCUCUGCACAGUUUUGUUUGUCAGAUAAAGCAGAGUAUGAUAUCACAGCGUCUUGCCUGCGCUUUCAUUAGUAUGCCAUCAAAGCAGCGUGGACACAAGGCCACAGUCAGGCUGAAUAAUAAUCGCAGCGAGGCGCUUUCAUGCAAACAGGGCGCAAAGAAGCUAUAAUGCUGUGCAAACAUGCCAAAGGUGUCAUCAGGCCUACUGCACAUCUUCUGUACAGUUAAUUGAAAGUAAGACCUCUCCUGCAUGGCAAACACCUCUUUGUGUGCACACUGUUAUUAACGCACAUCUUCAUCCUCUCAGGCAGACAGAAAACAGCUUUACUGCUGCAUAUGCUGAAAAUAUUUGGUGUAAUUUAGAUUUUUAAAAAAGCGCUUUCUCUGGUCUGAUAAAAUCAAAUGUUAUCAGGAGAUUGAAGGCUUUUCUCGUGCAAGCAAUGACGUUAAAUAAACACUGUGUCUAUUAAGAGGGCCGUCCUCUAUCAGCCACAUGCAGAAGAGGGUAAACAAGAGAGCUCUUAAACUUUUAUCUGAUUUUCAUUUCAACACAAUUCACUCCCAAUUAUGCGCAGAGACGUUUUUAGAUCCAUAAUUUAGAGAUUUAUCUGCAGUGUGUCCAUGAAUUAAAUCCAGUUUUAUUCUAAAAGCAUUCGAGGCUGUAAAAAGCACUGCAACGUGUCACAAACAAGUUAUUCAUCACUUCUUUUGGAACAAAAUAUACUGAAUUUGUCCAUAUUUCCUCACUAAUCCUUUAAUCUUCUUUUUCCACAACUAUCACAGUCCCCAGUCUUGAAAAAUCACUUGCAGUCAAAUGCAUCUAUAAAUCUACCUGUAAAACGACUAUAAAUUUACAAGAUCCCGCAAAAGCAAGCCUUAUGUACUGCCAAUAAGACUGAGUAUCAAACUCUCAUGUUAUGAAAUUUAAUGACUUGUUUUAUCACAAAGCAACACAAAUAACGUUGAGAGCAAAAUCAAAAUCCCUUACUGACUCUGUGCGAAAGUCCGUUCAGUUGAGGUCAGGCGUCUGAGUGUGCACUACAAAAGCUAAAAAGGGAUUAAAUGAAGAUGUGUUCUGGUUGGGGAUAAAUUCAGGAAUGAUGAUGUUGGAUUAAAUAUCUUUUAGUUUUCAAACAAAUACCGAACAAAUACUACGACUGCUAUUCAUGCCGCUUUCGAAUGUGACGCUUCCCUAAAUCCCUAAGUCUGGACCUGCUGACUUUAGUUCAGCUGUGACUAUUUGACUUUUUUAUUUACAGUAAAAAGUUGUUCUGGUUGCUGUAAAUGUCAUGAUCUUGAUCAUCUUGACUCUUGAUGGUGGAAUGGUCUCUUACAGGACUCAAAUUUAGCCCGAAUUUUCUUACCUUUAAAGUCGGGCGUCUCAUCUAUAUUUCAUGUUUUACUGGUCAAACGUUCCUGCUAAUGAGAUAAACCCAUAGACUGUAUAUAGAUUGGAUGCCGUUUGCCUCCAUGCUGAUGGAAGCCACCAUGAGAACAGCACCCUGUGGUGACUGGCUGCAGUGUAAGUCAUUAAUCCCGCCUCCUCCAGCAAUCCCUAUGGAGCUGUGGACAAACUUUAGAAAUGUAUUACACAGAAUAUAAUUUCUUCUCCCCUCUGCUUGCGAUGUUAACAUGUAGUUACUGUAAAGGUCCUCACACACCGGGACUGUUUUUUCCUGCGAUUAUUUCGGACGUCAAUAUAUUUUUUCAAACCCGUAUCCUGUCAAUACAAGCGUUCACAUCAGCGACGUUUUCCAUCCUGCGAUAUUGCAGCAUUUAUUUUUUCAUAUCACAUAUGUCUAAUUUUCUAAAGUUUGGUCAGAAGUGGACACACAGUAUGCAAUCAGAUUUUGUGUUGUUGCAACGUCUGAUUCACCAGUAUAUCCAACAUGGCAGACCAGCUGAUUGUUUACAUGUCAGAGAACAGAGUGCUUUUUGAUAAAAGACACAAACAUUACAAAGAUAACGACCCGAAGGACAACUUGUGGAGAGUCAUAGUGUCGGAUUUCUCAUAUGACGAUGUUUUGUGCGCUUUAACAGUUUGCUAAACGUCUUUGUUUUAACUUUCAUCUGUGCUAAGUAACUUUAGCUCUUAAUCUAACCUGUUCAGAUACAACAUACCAUAUGUAUUUUCACUGUCUCAAACUCAAUCGCGUUCCACCAGGGACGCACCUUUUUUCCCCAGGAAAGUCGCUAAAUCGCAUCGGGCUGGAUGUGUAUAGUCAGGUGCGUCAAAAUUCGCCUCUGAAUAUUUCGUAAUGUUGCGUUGUAUAUUUGCGUCGUUCCCGGUGUGUAAGGAACUUAAGUCUGGUUUGUGCUUAAGUCCUCUUUUUUUCUUUGAAGCUCCAUUUUUAAAAGUUAUUAGGGGGUUCACGUUUCCUCUGAUUGACACUUGAUACAGCCUAUGGGUGUACGAUGAUUGCGUAGCUCACCCGGGAAUACGCUGUUUGAGCCAAGUGUCACCACAGGGACUCUCAGCGACUCUCCCACCGAAUGCGUACAACGCUAUUGUGGAAGUGGUGGUUCGGCUUCAAAUUUGUACAAUGACGGAAGGUGGCACCAACUUGUCCAAAGUAUAUACAAUCUAUGGGUAAAACAAUCUUAAAAAUAGCGCUCAGUCUACAUGUGCCCACUCUCAAUGAGUUACGGCGACUUGUUGGACAACUAUUCUCGUCCUUUUUCUUAGCCUUGGAUCGUUGACUCAGACUUGUAAUUUGUAACUCACCUGGUUUCUGUUAGCUCUCUGAAAGCGCAGAAAUAAUGAGUUUCUGCAGAAAUAAAAAAGAACAGAAAAGGUUGCAUAAAAGGCUGACACAGCUGAGAACACACAGAAAACCCUGACAAACUUCAUCAACACAGAAUGAAAAUAAAUCCUAAACAAACGAAGGAAAAAAAAUCCAACUGCACAUUUCCUGUCGAGCAUCAAAAGUGCUCUCUGUAACCUCUCUUCAAUAAAGCUAUUCAUCAGUGUCAGGGCUGUGCUCCGGUCCCUGUCAACACCGCUUCACCUUCACAAGAUAAAAGAUGCUCGUUUUCUCUGUCAUUGUCUCGCUAUUGAACGCAGCCCGCUCCCUCCAUGGGUCGACCUUGGCCUGCUGCAGCCUACCUGAGGUCAGCCUAUCAUCACACAGCCAGGACGUUUAGCCAGUCUAGGAAAACACUCUCCACUGCCUGAACGCUGGAGUCCAGAGAUAACACCAGAAAACGCUAAAUGAGCUGCUUUCUUUCUGCAGACAUGUACCUGACUUCAGCUCAAUCAAUCAGAGCUGUGAGGGACUUUAAGCCGCAGCUAUAUCACUAAUCCGCAGCUACAAGCGCCGCAGCAUUAAGAUGAAUCUGCUGCAAAUUGGAUGUUGCAGAGGGGACAAUGCUAUCUGCGCUCCAGGGUUAGAUUGCUUCUCAACUGUUCCUCAUUAGAGCACAAUCGCUUCGGGCUUCUCACCGGACAGGCAGGCUAUACGAUGCUGUUAAGACUAGAGGAUCCACGGGGCAGAAAUUAGAGGCCGUUCACCAGCUAACACUCUGAAACACAUUAGCGGGAGACAAGCACAGUGAGACAGAAGGACCUGCUGAGCGGCUAAAAGCAAACAAGACACUUUAAAGUGGGAGCGAGUGGCUUUGUUUGUUCCUCUCUAAAACACCAGUGAAUUCUUUUAGAGGUCUAAAUGCUCUAAUAGAUAGAAAGACAGCGGCAAAGUAACACAAACUAACAUUAAAUUCUGUGGAAACUAGUUUGAUCAAAAGUUCUGGCAAUGAAGAAAAUAGGAAAACAGCAGCUUAACAGGUUUUUUAGCUGAGCGGGCUGUGAUGGAUCAAAGGCGAUUUGAUUAUAUGAACUGCAGGCUAUGGCUGGAAUAACAUCCCAAAACAUCAUCUUAAAUCAGUUUAUCAUCUACUCACUGAAAAGAUGUCAACUAUUUUUGUAUAGCUCCAGCCUGCAGCCACAAAACAGGCUGCAAAGGCUGCCAAAUAAAGUCCAACAAGAACACAAACCAACUCACAAGUAGAGGUAUACCAGCAACUCUUGUGCCCUGUGAGGUUUUUAUUGUGUGACAUUACAAAUUAUUGUACAAGGAUGUAUUCUGUUACCUUUAAAAGUGGUCUCAAUUUCAAUUUCUACAAAUAAAGGCAGAGGUAGACCAGCAACUCCCAUGUCCUGUAGGGUGCUUAAGCUCUGCUUGGACUGUUUCUAUGUUUUUGUUAAACAUAACUUUGAAAAUUAUUGUACUAACAGUUAUUCUGUUACUUUUAAUAGUGGUUUAAAUUUCCACAUAUAAAAGCAGAAGUAGAUCAGCAACUCCCAAGUCCUGCUUGGACUGUUAUGUUUUUGGAUGACAAAAAUUUGCAAAUUGAUUUACAAAGACUUAUUAUUUAAGCUUUGAAAUGGUAUUUAUUUUUACUUACAAACUCACGUCAAAGCAGAGGUAGACCAGCAACUCCUGUGUUCUUGGGCUUAAUUACCGGGUUUUGUCCCAUUUGGAUGGUUUAAUAUCUUUUUCUGUUAUCCUGUCAGCUUUGAUCAGGACUUUUAUAUGAAACGAAACAAACCAACCAACUAAUCGAAGCAACUAGACCAGCAACUCCUGUGUUCUCUUGAGUUCCUGUUUUUGUCAAUGAAGUUUUGUCUCUUUGAAGACAAUUAUGCUAUCUCUAUUUCUCAACAAAAUCAACAUGAAGAGUCUAAAAAGGGUCUACCAAUGAGACACUGGGAGUUGUUUCAAAUGUUUCGAGAAGUGAUUGCCAAAAUCCCCAACCAUCAAACCCCAAAUAAAAUUGUAAGACAGUGGUGACCCCUGAUGUACUUUUAGAAACUAUAUUUGUAUCUAUAUUUUCAUAACAAUAAAGAAAAAUUACAAUUUUAAAUAAUUUUGAAACCCCCUCUUUAUUUUCAUUUUUUAAGACACUGUGAUGCCUCUCCUUCCCACGUCAGUGUCUUGUCUUCUUUUAAACACAUCCAUCACUGACAUAAGCAUAAAGAAUAGAAAACCCAUCAAGGCAGCGAUACACCGACAACUCCUAUAUCCUUUAAGGUAGAAGAUGAUCUGAUGUUAAUGUAAUGCAGUGUCAUAAAAAGUGGUGGAACAGCUGUUUCUGUUUUUUUUUUUGUUUUUUUUCUUAAAUCCUCUUAAAUCACCAAAAGCUCAAUUUCUGAAGGGAUCCUUUCUGAAAUACCAUCGAACUCCUGAGAUAAUAAUCUUAACCCUUUGAUGCGCAACAUAUCCACACCCCCUCUAAUGCGCAACAUGGGUCUAAAAAGACCCGCAUUCAUUUCCAAUGGUAUUUCAUGCUGGCUGAGUUUUUCUUUGUUCUAUCUUUUGAAAUAAGUUUAUUUUCUGAUUGAAUAUUCCAAGUAUUCUUUAAAUAUCUUGUUUUUGAUCACCACUGAUUAUUAUUUCUAUUUUUCUUUUCAUACUUUUUGAAAUAAUAUAGUUUCUAUAUUAUUACAUCAAGUUUACACACAUGGGUCAAAAACGACCCAUUCAUCCAAGUGUGAUUUAAUAUUGAAUUACCUAACACUAUAAUAAUAAUUUGUUUCAAGUAAUGAAAUUAGCAGAGAGUGGGGCCAAACCAUAGACUGUAUAUACUAUGGACAACUUGGUUCCGUCUACCGCCUGUGUACCGAUUGGAGCCAAAAAGCUCUCGGUAUUUCCGGGACUUUUCUACAUUUCUGAAACCAGAGCUGCGCAGUUGCGAUGCGUGCAUUCGGCCGCGCAGUCGCUGAGAGUCGCUGUGAUGACGCUCGGCUCAAACAGCGUAUCCCCGGAGAGCUACGCAAUCCCUGAACGCCCAUAGGCUGUAUCCAUAGACUGUAUAUACUAUGGACAACUUCAUUCCGCCUACUGCCUGUAUACAGAUUUGAAGCCAAAUAGCUCUCGAUAUUUCCAGGAUUUUUCUUCAUUUCCUGAAACCAGCGCUGCGCAGUAGCAAUGCGCGCAUUUGGCCGCACAGUUGAAGAGAGUCGCUGUGAUGACACUCGGCUCAAACAGCAUAUCCCCCGGGAGAGCUACGCAAUCCCUGAACGCCCAUAGGCUGUAUCAGGUGUCAAUCAUAGAAAACAUGAACCCCUAAUAACUUUUAAAAAUGGAGCUUCACAGAAAAAAGAGGACUUGAGCACAAACCAGUCUUACAAUAACUACAUGUCAACAUCACAAUCAGGAGGGAGAAAAAUGUAUAUUCUGUGUAAUAAAUUUCUAAAGUUUGUCCACAGCUCCAUAAGCUUUGCUGGCGGAGGUGGGAUUUAUGACCUAUACUGCAGCCCAUCAACAGAGGGUGCUGUUCUCGGAGUGGCUUCACCCAGCGAGGAGGCAGACACUGUCCAUUCUUUAUACAGUCUAUGGGCCAAACACUUUUGUAUUUUGUAUUAGCAACAUGUUUAUUUGUCAUUUUGUCACAUACACAUGCGUCUGAUUAUAGCUAGCUGAAAUAACGCUAGCUGUUUUACCUGUAACUGUGUAACUUUCCAACAUAUAAUGUCCUCACUCUCAAGGUAACCUAAACCUAAUCAAAUCAAAUCUAUGUACAAUUAUAUUUCACAACUGUCAUCAAAUAAUUUAAAGAUAAUGUCAGAACAAUUGAAAAACCAUACUUACAUGUAUUAGACGGUCUUUUCAUGCUAAAUGCUACAGUCACUGUAUGUGGGUCGUUUCUGACCCAUGUAUGUAAACUGUAAAAAACUGUGCUUCCUCAUAACGUAAGAAAGGAAAAAUAAAAAUUAUUAUUUGUGCUCAACUAAAACAAUAUCUUUAUUGCAUACUUGGAAUACUAAAUGAUAAAAUUAAUUUAUUUCAAAGAUAUACCAUAGAAACACUCAGCCAUACAUGAAAUAACAUUGAAAAUGGAUACGGGUCAUUUUAGACCCAUGUUGUGCAUUAGAGGGGUAGUGAUACAAAAACGGUUUUUCUUCUAAAAGUAAAAAAAGAAAAAUUAACAAAAGGAUGUAGGGUCGUCAAAAACAAGUUAAUUGAGGAAUUCCUUGAGUACCGACUGAUGGAAUUAAUUUUUUGAAAAGAUAUAUAAAAUUUAAACUCAGCCGGGUCUUUUUUGACACAUGUUGCGCAUCAAAGGGUUAAGAUAAAAACACAACCUUUUAACACAUCCUUUGAACUAUUUUGCAGCCAUUACAGCCAAUCGUACUGUUGCUCUCUGAAAUAUCUGCUGUAAAAAUGCUGUAGCUUUGUCUAUUAGGUCAUUCAGAUCCCAGAUUGUAUGUUAAUGGGACCCUCAGAUCAUACGCUUUAAACACACUGUGUUUGCAAACCUCAUAUAUACAAAAAUGUCAAUCCCUCAAUGGGAAAAAAUAAAUAUCUGAAGCCACAAUAGCCUGAAACAUCGGCUUUAUUUGCAUGUAUUCAAAAUCAUUUGGAAAAAUCCUGUUUGCAUGUGUCUUAAAUCAAUGAAAGGCUCUUACAGACUGUGCUAUCCCCCCCUCUGUGUAAACUCCCUGGACUCUGCCCCCUCCUCCCCCCCCUCACAGUGCGAGGAAUCCCAGUGAACAUGGCGGAUUUCACACAGCGUAUUAGCGGCGAGUCUUAGAGAGUGAGAUUAUUUAUACAGAGGACACUGACAGGAGGACUGGGAGAGGAAGAGAAAGGGAUGACAUCCACUAAAGAUCAUGAAUCACAUCCUGAUCUCUAACAGGAUUAUACGGUCUGACUGCGGCUUUCAGAGCCAGCAGAGCGAAGCAGCAAUGAUGACACUGAAGCUUAUGAUGUUAGAGUCGAGCAAACUGAUGCGGGGUCACUCUGCAGCCAUCAGGGAUGAGACAAAGUCAAUGCUGAUCAGAGAAAUUGUUGUAAGCGGUGUUGUUUUUCAUAAUUUUCUGUACUGACUCUUCAGAACUGUGUGAGUAGGAAAUCAAAAAGACACACAACUUAUUUUAGGAGUUCAUGCACAUGGUAAAAGCAGCAGGAUGCACAGACACCUGUAAAACAAAAGGACAUUUGUCUUCUAAAAUGCACAUUGCAAAAUUUACCAUCCAGGUGUCAUUUAAAUCACUGUUCAUUUGGAUAAAGUCUACAACAAUUCUAACUUCUUUUUGCUCAACUUAUGCAGACAUGAGAGAAGGUUAUACGCCGAUUGUUCUACGCCCAUCUAAACCUUAACGUAUUGUGUGUUCUGAUCCUGGACUUUCAAACUAGUUAGUUCAUUAUUAGGAUUUCAUUAUGUUAUUUCAGAAGACCUGGAAUGUCAUUUAGAAUCAUGUAGCAUCCCCACAAUGCUAUCAUAUAUACCUGUAUGUAAACAAGCAGAGCUGGUAUCAUGUAGUAGUGAUGGGAAUUACAGCUCUUUUUAGUGAGCCAGAUCAUUCGGCUCAGCUCACCAAGAAGCUCCAAAAUGGCUCUUCAUUUUACCACUUAUAGACUUUCCGAUUCAGCUAAAUUUAGCGUUGUUUGGCUCAUGAUGUGUAUUUGUGCACAUACCACUGAAAUAAUUCAAUACAUCCUUUGUACUGAAGUAUUCACAAGGAAAAAUUAUGUUUUCUAAUAUCAGUAAAUUGCUGUAGCCAAUUGUUUUCAUUGCAAUUACAGACCCUUGUAACUCUCUGAAACCACCUAAUGAAUGCACUUGACUUGAUGACUUGCUAGAACCACUCUGCUACACAAAGCAGAUAGAAGUCCCGUCAUUCUGCCUUGUAGUUAUUGUCUACUGGUCUGAGGGAAGAAAAGAGAGAGAAAAAAAGAGGAAAAAAAAACGGUCCAUAGACGGAAGCCGGCUCUUUGAACCAGUUCGUUCAUGACCGACACAGUCCAGUCUUCGAGGUCCACUGUCCUGCAUGUUUUGGAUGUUUCCCUGCUCCAACACACCUGAUUCAAAUGAUCAGCUCGUUAUUACAGAUCUUGAUAACGAGCUAAUCAUUUGAAUCAGGUGUGUUGGAGCAGGGAAACAUCCAAAACAUGCAGGACAGUGGGCCUCGAGGACUGGUCUUGAGAACCACUGAUGUAGCACAUCAUGGUUUGUCAGUGGGGAUAAAGUUGAACAUAGGGUGUGUCUGGUUAAACUGAUUUAUAACUACGUAACCAGAGCAAUGAGGGCUCAUGACAGGCCUGUGAAUGCUGGACUGAACCAGACUGAAUUUGAUUGGAUAAAAUAAGACUGGAUUGGACUCGAUGAAUAGUACUGGAUGAAUCUGACUAGAUUGGACUGGAUGGGACUUGAUAAAUGAAUUGGCCUGGACUGGACUGGGUCAGACUGAAGUACAUGGUGUUUGAUUGGACUGUAUUGAUUCAAACAGGGCUGGACUGGACUGGACUGAAUUUCAUUGAAUUUGGGUGAACUGGACUGCAUUGAAUUGGCCUUAGAGGAUUGGUUUGGACUGAAGUGGAUUGGACUGCAUUCGACUCGCCAGAUUGGACCAGGCUGGAUUGGUUUGGAUUGGACUUGAUUAGACUGGAGAAGUAUUUUGUAACCGAGGGAUACUGUGGUUUUCAACAAAGUCCAUUCCAGUGCCAUAUCAGUACACAGAUAAUGCUCAUAAUAAACAGACAUAAAUUCAUACAUAAGAUUUAAAUACAGACAUCCUGUUAAUGUCAUUAUAGUAGCUUUACAGUCAGUAAAACGACAGUACUUUGUAUUUGUGGAAUAGUCUAAAGUCAGAGGAUUUUGAGGGAGUGUUUCAUGUUCUUUUCCUUGAACUAACGUAAAAAAAAAAAAAAAAAAAAAAAGAAAAUCUCCUCACAGACUUCACAUCCAUCCAAAGUUUGUGUGUGUGUGUGUGUGUGUGUGUGUGUGUGUGUGUGUGUGUGUGUGUGUGUGUUUAUUGAAAUAGUAGAGAGCACUGCAUUUUGAAAAUGUUCCAUCUGGUUGUACACACAGUGAUAUCAAACAAGUGCAGCGUGAGAAAUGAACUGCAGUAUCAGUGAAGCAGAUAGAGGGGUGGAGGGACAGGAGGUGUGUGAGUGAUUGAGGAGGCAUUGAGAGGAGGCUGCAGUGUUUGUGCACAUACUCCUUCACCUCCUCAAACCGGCGUCUUAUCUACGGCUUGUUUGGAGUGGAAGUUUCAGGAAGUUUGGGGAGAAAAAGUGGGGCAGGUAGACUUACAAAGACCCGUCACUUUUCUUUAUAUAGUCCACAGCCGGUCCAGAAUAUAGAUCAGGUUGCGGCACAGUAUCUGCUCCUCUGUUCUGUCCUUCAGUGGCGAGGGGAAGGACAGGAAGACAACGGGGGAAGGGGGGAGUAUCUUUUCCGCGGUGGAGUCCUAGAAAACUUGGUCCAUCGAAAAAGAAAACAAAGUAGAACAUUUUUGAACGCAUUGAUUGGAGGAAGGAGAAACCUAAUCGCACUUGGCAAAGCACGAAAACAUGCCCUUCAAAUAUAAUGUUCGCCUCAUUUUCUGAACAGAACGUCCUCUUAUUAUAGCACAGGGAUAGAAACCAAGACAUCUUUGCUUGUUCUGAGGUCUUUUAUGCAAAGAGACACUUUAGAAAAUCUAUACUUUGUCCUCCUCAAACUGAACUUUCACUUUACUUAAGCUUUGGCAUGAAAAUAAUGAAUUCCCUUUCAUUUAAGUUGUCCGCGCUGAACCACAUUUCCAGGCUUGUACAGAAAUGAUCUUGGACCUGAUUGAUGAUUUCUGCAGAGGGAUUUGUUUCUUUAUGAUAUAAACAGAAAGGCUAAAGGUCAUUACACACCGGGGGCGAAUUAGCAAAGCGAAUAAUUUCCUUUUACUAAACCUCACAAUGUCAGUGCAAGCUUCCACACCAGCUACGAACUUCCGCAGAGCGGAAAAGAGACUUGCGAACAUUUGCUUUUAAUCUAUAGCCUUGCAUAAAUCUUACCUCAGACAUAUCAGCUCUCUAUAAUUCGUCCGCUCCCUCUGCAAACUUGGAGUCACCUGAUAAAGCAGUUCUUGAAAUUGUCUGAGGGACAUUCAGAAGUGUUGUUGGAAUUUCUUGGGAUACAAUUUGAGCUCCUAGAUUUUUGUGUAGCUCCCCCAUCUCCUGUCGCAAGAUCAGUAUUGGAUGUACCCAGACACUUUGGUUCUUCUUUUUCUUUUUGUUAUUUAAUAGGCUUACAACCACGAUCAGGUCAUCAUCGCUCGAGGAUGUAGUCGCCGUUGUUUCUCCUUCUUCUCUCGCCCUCUCUGUUCUCCCCCCGUGGCGUAUUUUUAUGUGAAUUUUAUUCGCGUCGCACCAGGUGUGUUUUGGAAAAAGCGUAAGUCGAAUAUUUCGCAUUUUCGUGUCGCUUUUUCGCAUUGCUCCGCUAAUUCGCCAGUGUGUUAUGACUUUAGAUCAGUGGUUCUCAAGUCCAGUCCUCGAGGCCCACUGUCCUGCAUGUUUUGGAUGCUUCCCUGCUCCAACACACCUGAUUCAAAUGAUCAGCUCGUUAGUAAGCCAUAACAGAGCUUGAUAACGAGCUGAUCAUUUGAAUCAGGUGUGUUGGAGCAGGGAAGCAUCCAAAACAUGCAGGACAGCGGGCCUCGAGGACUGGACUUGAGAACCACUGCCUUAAGAGUUAUUAACUGAGUAACCUGACAGCUGUCUUUGCCUGUUUCUAGAUAAGUAACCGGUCAGGUUGGGGUAGAACUUAGAUAUUUGUUUGCGUCUUCUGUUAAAACAUUUUGUAAACAUCUGUUUUUAAAGAUGCCUUAAAAAUACAGCUAUUAUCAUUCUUCUUCUUCUUCUUCUUCUUCUUCUUCUUCUUCUUCAUUAUUAUUAUUAUUAUUAUUAUUAUUAUUAUUAUUAUUAUUAUUAUUAUUUUUAUUAUUAUUAUUAUUAUUAUUAUUAUUAUCAUCAUAAUUAUUAUUACUAUUAUUAUUAUUAUUACUACUAUUAUUAUUAUUGUUGUUAAAUUAAAUAAAAUUAAAUUUUAUUUUAUUUUAUUUUAUUUUAUUUUUCAUGGUGACUGACUACCCUUUAAACCAAUGGAUAGCAUUACAGAGACUCAACAAUGUUUUAUACAGUGUGUGUGAAAAACUUUUUUUUUUUUUUGAGCUGAUGGUAAACUGUUGUCUGUCUCUAAUUUUAAUCUGUGUUCAUUUGGUUUUAUUCUCUGUUCUACCUUUAAAGCACUCUGUCUACUUCUUUAUACCAAUAAUGACUGUUUUCCUCUUCAUUUAUUGUCCUCAUUGUAAAACACUUUCAGCCUCGACAUUCAUCAUAAAUGCCUGAAAUUCCUCACUAUUAUUUGCCUUCAUGUCAAUCACAACAAUGUUUCCUGACUUUAAACACUUGUCAUAAAAGCAGCACCUGCGAAAUGGACUUUGAAUAUUUUGCCACUCACAAAAUGCAAAAUGACCCCUCCCCUAAACACCACAUAGGUUGUUAUGAACUCAAGGUCAGACUCUGUGAAUCAAAGAGAAAACACCCCUUUAGACAGAUUUUAUAGCUUUAAGAGUCUCAGCAGAGAGCUUUAUAGAUCAUGUGAAAUGUUGAGUAUGAGUGCAGAGAGUAUUGACCGCUGAGGGACAAUCUCACCCUACUCUGGUUAAAAGCUUCCAGUGCUUUACUUUGAGUAUAAUACUUCAAUUCUUGUGGUCAGACAGAAGUAAUACUCCGACUUUGCCCUUUAAUCUUUGCGAUUAUUAACCGCUGGAUGUUUUUGGAUGUUAAACACUUUAUUUUAGCUCCUCUCUCUCCAUGUCAGAAGGUCAGUUUUCUCUCGGACAGAGAUAAGGCAGCUUCCCCCGUCAGCGCUGCAGAGGUCUCUGAGCAUGCCCGAUAACGCCGCACCUGCGUUAUCUCUCAUGUUAAAACCCCUCGCCUUGUUAGCAUGCUAAAUGAUGGAUCGUCCUCUCGGAGUAGAAGGGGCUUUGGCUCCCCUGUGGCUCUGAAACCCUCGGCGCCCUGCAAGUCCGAUGAUAGAUUACCUCGCCUUUAUCUGCAGCAGCUGAUUAUUCCGCCUCUAUCAUGAAAGCUAAGUGCGAGCAGGGAUGUGAUCGCCUUGUAAUGUGGCCUGAAAUAGCUUGAUUAUGCUCAGGUUCAUUUUUAUCUGGCUGGAUUACACUCCGCGCAGUCUGUUUGUGCACACUUCAAGUUUGAAAGAUAGGGAUGACUGUCGCUUACAUUCUGCAGACGUUAUGCAUUAAAUCUAAUCAACAGUGAACAUGACAGGAAUUAAAUAUCCUCCUCAUAACUUCAUCAGUGAGAGUGACCUCUUUAAACCGUCCAUCACAGUGUUAUUAAGCCAACAAUCACUCACACAGUAAGAAACUAAUUACAGGACAUACUUUAAAAGGAAGGGAGGGGCUUCUUACAAGAUAGUCUAUUAUCACAGUCAUUAUUAAUAAUCACAGCUGGACUCUAUUAAAGCAUAAAACCAUAAUAAUUCAGUGUUAGGUCUGACCUUCAGCCAGGAGUGACAGCUCACAUAAUCUGAUGACACACUUGUCAUCUUUAAUCAUCAGUGUGUGUGGUGUAAAAAUGCUGCAUUAAACAUGCAGGUUAAAAUGAUCAGUCUGAUGAAAACAUGCAGGGUACCAACAUCCAAUCAGAGGCCCUGCGUUUCGAAAUAUGAUGAGAUGGGAGCCUCCCGUGUCUGAUGGACUCAGAUCUUUUUUGACUGUUACAGAUUUCUGUACAAUACUACUCAAAACUGUGAGAAAUAUGAUUUAUAGUCUGCAGAUUCUUGCAGCUUUGUAUAGUAAUUCAACACAGUUGGGUGACAAACAAAACAAAUAAAAAACAGAGUCAGACAACAUUUUUUCAAUUCGGUUUGAAUUUCACAAACAUGUUGCCAAACCAGUGAUAAAAUCCAACUCUGACAAAGCCGAAAGAAAAUUAAAGCUGCAAACAGCAUUCAGCCAGCUCUUAUAUCUUUGCACAAAAUAGGGAGUGUUACAGUCACAGCAGAGGACGCUGAGCACACACAGCUAUCAACAAGCAAACAACAUGGGAGUAUAUUGAAUAUUUUGCAUGCAUUUCAGUACUGGCUUGUUCCUGCAAGUUAUACUAAAUGGUAUAAAGGACUGAAUUUGGGAAAUCUGGAGCAGACUGAACAUUGUAUCUAAGAGUUGAUACUAGUACUUUACAGCAGGCUUCCUCAGUAGAUUAAGUCUGAGUCAGGAUUGCCAGCAUACAUGGAGACUCUAGAGCAGACUGAACACUGUAAAAGAGUUAUCAAAAGGGAUUCCCAUCACGAAGUACAAAUGGGACUCUCACUUAGCAUAUUGCCAAGCUUGGACCAGGACUGCCAUCAUACACGUUAAAUCUGGAGCAGAUUGAACAUUGCAAUUUUUUUGUUUUCCUGACACAAAUUUUUUGCAUCUUACCACAGCUAAACUUUUUGAUACCAGCUCAGGAUUUUAAUAGAUUUUCAUCCUAAUUGCAUGCCAAACAUAAUGACUAUGGUCACUUUCACACCUGACCAAGUGGACUCGGUUCGAUUGGGGAGCUGAAAGUCGCAACAUAGUUGCAUUUAUCACUUGUUUCGGUUCUGCUUUCAUACUGUGAAUUACACUAAAGUGCACCGAACUUUCCGAGCAGCAUUACGAGGCUUAAAGGGGCGCUUGUCGAUUGGACAAAUUGUGAAUUUAUGGAUUAUUGUUGUUCAGACAAUUGAGCGAAGCUAGCUAGCAACUGAACCAAACCAGGGUUCACUUGCAAGCGAACCAAGACCCACGUUUUCAGGCAGACCAGAGAUCGCUUGUUUGGUCCGCACCAGAGUUCGGAUGAGUUUUCACACUUGCCCAUACAAAGUGGACUAUUCGAGGAAACAAACUGUGGUCCGUUUAAAGCGGACCAAACAGCUCUGGUGUGAAAGCGGCCUAUGUUUGAUGAGGAUCUAAGGAAAAAGCUUUAAAGCAGUUCAAGUGCAGACAAUAAUCUUUCAAAGACAUCAGAAUAACUGAUUACCUGUCAGGCUUUAGAAAGAGGUGCAAAUGUUUGUAGGUCUUGGCGUAGUGGGUUCACCUGCCAAAUUGCACUUAUGUACUUUUUGUUUUGGUUUUGGUCACUGGUUUGAAGAGGUUUUAUAAACUGUGAUGAAUAUUCAUACUAAAUUGCUUACAUUUAGGUGAAAGUAUCACAAUGCAGACACCCUUAUUAAAAGUUUUGGGAGCCUGUUUUCUCUACACAGACUGUGUUGCUCCUGCGCCAGACAAAACCAUCUUUAUGUAUCAGUGAUAUUAAGGAAGCCUUUAGAUGUAAACAGCAUUCAAAGGUUGUUAAGGGGCAAGAAAGCACAUUACAAUUCUGGGGAGAAAUAAAAAGAAAUAAAUAAAGUUCUCAUUUCUGUAUCAAAACUGCACUGUUGUGAUAAAACAAGGCUGUUUUUCAGGGUUUCUGCAGAGCUGACAGCUGGAGUUUGAAGAUUUUCUCCUUUCAGCAAUGAUGUAUGAGUGUAAUAAAGCUCUGAGAUAUGCAGAGAGGUGAAAUACAAAAUAUUUAUCCAUGAAAUCUAGAAAAACAAAAGUAGAUAUAUAUAUAUAUUUUUUACAUAUACUCAGGUAAAUGAGCUGAGUCUCGCCCUGCUUUCUUUUCUGCUUUGUAGUGUCAGGUUUUAGCAGGAAGAGCUGACAUCUUUACUCUCCUUAUGCCCGGAGGGGAUUUCACCAAAGACUGUGUAAGAGGAGGAACACUCUGAGAUAAAAGUCUGCUUCUCUUAGAGUGACUCUGUUCAUAAAUCAGACCUGGUAGAUGAAUGCAAACUCCAAAUCACUGAUGGCAGAAAAUACAAGAAACAGAUCUGCCGUCAUUUAGCAUCACAGAGUGAGAGCCGAUGAUUUAGUUUGAUGAUUACACGGAUACAAAGGCGGGGAACAGACAAUGAGGUUUGUAGUUUCAUUAACAAAGUUACAGCUGCAUCCUGGCAGUAGACUACAGACUGUAGAGAGAGUGAUUUAGCCUUCAUUAGUACAAAUGUGCUCAAUCUGCAGUGGUGAAAUCUGGUUUGAUUUGGAGGAACACUAAACCUGACACUCUAUUACAGUGACCAACAGGAGCCCAAAUGAGAUCCUACCGGAGAAACAGGCUCAAACUUUAAACUUUGUUCAGUUUGUUUAUCUGUCUGAUGGAUUAACGGCAGAAAACUCUAUUAUUUUGUGAAAAUUAAAAAAAACAAAAACAACAACACACAGUUGAAUGGUCUUUUAUUCAAAAUAAACACACGUUAUUUUAGCCUCCAGCUCCCAGAGACACAGGUGAAAAAACAGAUAACAUGUUGUGCACAUUAUUCCACAAGACAUGCAAUCAUACACACUUUAAUAAAACACACACACACACACACACACACACAUGCAGGAGCAUAAGAAAACACCUAUGUGAAUUGUGUGUGUGUCUGGUAGAGAUAAACUCAGGUACGGCUGCAGAAAAUGACUCUGUUAUUGAGCUGUGAAUGGAGGCCUGUGGGGGGUGAUGACAGCUCUUCUUCCUCUGCGUCUUCAUCUCCACGUUGUAUUAACACGACUUUACAUGGAGCUCAUGUUCGCCGCUGACACAACCAGCUGUGUGUGUGUGUGUGUGUGUCUGCCGAGGCUGCGUUUGUGUGCGUGCAAUAGAAAUACAUGUCUCUGAAAUCAGCUGCAAUGAAAACAAGCUGGGAGAAAAUCUAUAGAAUUAUUCAUGGAGACUUUUUUUUUUUUUUUAUCGUGCAGAAAGGUGACAGCAGGGGGCCACACACACACACACACACACACACAUAUACACACUGUUAUACACACUAACACACCUGGGCCCUGUGGUACAUUUGUGAGAUGAGAAAAUAAAGCGAAUCAAUAUCCCCUCUGUUGAUGCCGUGUGGCAGAGAUUGAUACUCUGCUGCUGCGCAUGAAAUAUGCAUGCAGCUCUGAAUCUAAAAAUAUUGUUUUAGUUAAACCCACCCGUUCGGCUGCAGAAAACUUCUAGAUUGAGUUACAGGCAGAUAAAUAUAUACUGUAUAAAUAUAUACACAGGAGCCUGCAGCAUGUAUCGACAAAGACAAUGUUCGAUUGUCUCGUGAUUAGCUCACACAGACAAGAUGGAAACUCCCGGGAUAUCAUGAAAUGCUGAACCCAGAUGAGUUUCUCUGAGAGAGUGCACACAGUUCCAGACCCUGCUGUGCGUGGAUGCAAAUGCAUGUCAAUACCAACACUUUAGGACUAAUGUAGUGGAGCAGGGAUGUUGUUUCCACGGGGAGUAUGAACAAUGGAUGGGUUUCUGUACUGCCAUUUGCUGCUCAUAAACUUCCAUGGUAGAUUUUAACUCUGAUCAAAUCAAUUCAUGGAGCUUUAUCAGCGAAAACCGAACAAUGACAAUGUGACUAAAGCAUUUACACAAAUUAAAUAGGAAUAACAAUAGUCAAAUUAAGAAGAGCAUAAAAAAUACCAAAAUAAGUUAAUGAGUUAAGUACAUUAGUUAGUUAGUUAGUUAGUUAGUUUCUACAAGCAAAAACAGCAGCACCACAUAAUUGUUUUUUGUGUUACUCACAUAUAUGUACAUUUCUGGCUGGUGACAAAAGUCGGACAGAUAGUCUGAGUAGAUAUUUUAACCCAAAGUCCAGAGUGGUAUUGUCUAUGCAAAAAUGCAUUGAAGAAGUAGCACCAGCGUAGUGGAAUGAAAUUCACUUUCUAGGCGAAAGUUUCUUUCGCGCAGUUUCAGAUGCCGUGGACGUGGAUGCAUCGGCGAUGCUGCCUGAAGGGUUCAACUGACCUGCGGCUGCAUCACGUUCUUGUUUCUCAAACGCCUUUUGCAAAUAUAUUGCUGGUACCAUGUCGUGAAACCCAGCGUCAUCAGGAACAUUGUCAAAGUCGAUAUCAACGCAAUGUUAAUAAGUUUCUGCAAGGUCUUUUGUCUCUUUCUGUAGAGAAAGCCACUUUCUAAUACUAGUUCUGUAAGUUUCCCAACGUGUCCUUGUAAAGUCGAGAAUGUCUUCACGCUGGACAGAUGAUAGAUGCAUAUAACAUUGUUUCGUUCCUUUUUGAUGCACUUUUGAAGGCUGUUUUCUUUUCCUCCUGUUCUUUUCUUCCUCUUCGCUUGUCUCGCUGCUAGAUGCGCUCGUCGCCAUAUUUGUGUAUUUCUGAUACUAUGGCAACGAGACUCGGCUCCUAUUGGUCCACGUGACAAAAAUUGCGUUACCCCUCAGCAUAUUCGAUUGCGCGUGUGCAAGUAUCACUACGCCGCAGAAAGGAAAGAGUUCGACACCGAAACACUGAUUACUAAAAAUCGACGGGAUGGCAUGAGUAGAAAUUUUUUUUUUUAGUACUUACUACGAAUAGAGCUAUUUUAUGAAUCACAGUUUAUGUUGCCCCACUAAAGUGGAACGAACUAACACGAUCUCACUCAGCCGAUACAGCCUAUCAAUGCUUCAAGAGGCUUCAUGUUCAAGUUUUUUCUCGAAAUUUUCCACCUUUUUCGAAAUUUUCGACUUUUUUCUUGAAAUUUUUUACUUUUUUUCUCGAAAAUUAAGGGAAAAAAAUCUCUUCAAGUGGCCCUAGUACGCUUCUGUAAUCAUGUUUUUUUUAUCGCAUAUUUAGAUGAUUUUAAUAGUUUUUCUGCUUUCACUUUACCUGCCCAGUAAUGAUGGGAAGAACAUUUCUUUUGCCUGUACUGAAUUUUUAGAAUCCGUUCAUUAAAACGAUUCAUGCAAAAGAUUCGUUCACUGAAUAAGUUAGUGCUACACCAGUGAGUGACACAGCAGCGAGUUCGUUCAAUGAAUGAGCCCCUCCCCUCCCCUUCUCCGAGUAUGAGCUUAAACAGUAUGUCAUAUAUGGAGCUAUAAGAGCUUGAUGAAGAGUCUAUGAUGGAUUUCCAACUAAGUUUAUGAUCAAUUUUCACACCCAGAAGUUUAUUUUUCAUCCACUUUUUGUCUGUCAACAUCAUUCACCCUGAGUUUAACUUGUGUUUUAAUUAUUUAAUCUUCAGCUCAUCUCAAGCUGACCUUCUGAGAACUUUCAGAGCAAACCGCCAAUUCGCACAAAACAUCAUUUAUAAUUCAUGGCAGCGUGAAUAAUAAUACGUCAGAGAAAUGAAUUGCGUUCAUCGCAAUUUGCAGUUGAAAUAUAAUCCCAGCAAACUGUGUCAGAUCUAAGAGGACAUACCUCACCCACAGAUUAUUUUCUACACACACAUGCAUGUUUCUCUUUGACCAGCAGCUGCAUGUUGAACUGUCAACAGGAAGAAGAUGAAUGCAAUCAUGAACGUAAGCCGAUAAUAAAAGAGACGGACAACAGUAGAUGCAGAUUUGAAGUCAGAUCGGCUAAGAAGAAUUCAGCUCUACUUACAGUAUGACUCUAAAUCAGGCUCUAAAUUAUGAUUUAAAUCUCAUUUUUUCCUAACAGUGUUUAAACACAUAUUUCCAGCACCUUCCCUCCCUUCUGUAAAUGCACCUGUAGAUCCAGCCCUGCUGUGCUCUGAGAUAAAGUCUGAUUUAAUCUGCAGGAAGCCUCACAGAAAUACUUUAGAAAGAUAAACCUGACCUGUUUGAUAGCAUCAGUCUGCUAAAUGAGGAGAGGAUGAUAAAACUGAUGGAGGCAGCCAGUGAAGAACUCCAACCCCUCCAGCUUUUUAUCUUUACAUUUAAACCUGGUGUCGAGCUCCCUAUCAAGCACAAAAUGUCCAAUGAUUUAAGAUUCCCAUGUUAAAAAACACUGAAAGUGGAAAAAUGAGAGGUUAAAUAAUGUUGUCAUUUACUUUUUUUAGCCUCAGUGGGAAAUUUUCUGAGGACCCUGUGGUAUAAAACUCUGAGCCAAAAACAACCUCAGAAUCCAUAACCUGCAGGGAUUUGAAGGUGAGGCAGAGUGUGGACUAGAGGUGAAAAAAAAGGCUGGAUUCUAGGAAUGAGCAAGCUUCAUAAUCAAAUAAAAUACCCUACUUUAACCAAUAACUGCAAUUUAACUCUAAGGUUAGUUCAGCUUCAGUUCUGGAUUUUCUUGACUAUUUUUUAAACCUGCUCCAUGUCUAAUUUUAAAAAUAAAUGCUGUGUUGCUACGUAUCUAAGACAAAGGGUCCAAUACUUUGGGCUCUAUUUUCGUGCCUCGCCGGCAGCGUGGCGUAGGCGCGGCGUAAGUCAGGUACACCGCACCGACAAGGUGUGCCCAAGCACAUUUUGGUGAGCGGCGCAGCCCGGCGUAAGCAUCCCCUCUCCCUAACUCAGCUCCUCCAAGCAGUGUAAGUCAUAGAGAGGGGGAGGAUAAGGCGCGGAGUGGGUUUAACACAGCCGAGACCUGUUUUCGCCAAUCAUAUCAGCUCCUCUCCUCAUCUUUAAAUCCGCCACCAGCGAGGCGUAUUACAAUUUUCGUGAAGUAGUCAAAGAGAUCAAGAGAUGUCUGAAGACAGCAAUGCCACACAAUGGCGACAGAAGGCAGCUCCUUAACAAGUGUCACUGUAAGCGCUGCAGAGGGCAUCCUCCACACUCUCCCAUAUGAGCACAGAUGGAUUUGGUGUGUGUAAUGUUGGACCCACUGGUAAGACAAACACCCUUUUCCACAAAUAAAGACACUCACAUAAAGUUGCAUAUAUUUAAACCUCACGUGACAAAGGUGGGUUGUGUGCACAGAUCAUAACAUAAAUUCCAAUAAUGGCAUUAAAAUCGGAAUCAUCUGUACGUAAAUGAUGCCUGGCUCUUUUUUUUUCCAUAGAUGUUGGCAGAUAAAAUAAAUUUGGCUUACAAAACUGAAUAUUAUAAUAUUCAUAUGUAGGCUUAAAGUAAAUAACUGAGAUACAGUAGCUUCAGUUCAGUUGGAGAAAAUCACUGUUUGCAUGCAGUGAAGUCGGCGUUCCCAAUGCCUAGUGGCGAUGGUCCUUGGCGAUAGACUGGUUGUGGGAUUCAUUCCUGAACCCAGACAAAGAAGAACCUGGAGGAAAAGCUUUCUCUUUACCAGUCAAUCCAGUCCUCACUUAUGGUCAAGAUCUUUGGGUUUUAACCAUGGAAUAAGAUGAUGGAUACCAGUGGCCUAAAAGAGUAUUCUAUGAGCUUUAGAGACAGUAAUAGGAGCUCAGACAUAAUAAUAAUAAUAAUAAUACAUUUUAUUUAUAAAGCGCUUUUCAAAAACACAAAGACGCUGUACAGAAUUAGGCAAUAAAAACACACAUCAAUAAGUAAUAAAAUUUACGGCAAUAUAAUAAAAACAUGUAGAAUCAGGUAAAAUCCAAAUAACAAUAAAACACACAUCAAUAAGUAAUAAAAUUUACGACAAUGUCAAUAAAAACAUGUAGAAUCAGGUAAAAUCCAAUGGGGGGGGGGGGCUAGGAAGGAUGAAAGGCAGUGUGGAAGAGGUGGGUUUUGAGAAGGGUUUUGAAUCUGGUGAGGUCAGUGCAGUUUCUGAGUUCGAGUGGGAGUGAGUUCCAGAGGGUGGGGGCGGCGGCUGAGAAGGCUCUGUCCCCCCAGGUUCGGUGCUUGGUCAGGGGAACUGUGAGGAGGUUGGCAUUGGCGGAGCGGAGGGUGCGGGAGGGGAUGUAGGGGUGGAGAAGAUCCUGUAGGUGGGGGGGGGGGCGAGGUUGUGGAGUGCUUUGUGGGUGAGGAGGAGGAUUUUGUAUUAAAUGUGGUGGGGUAUGGGGAGCCAGUGAAGGUUUUGGAGGACGGGGGUGAUGUGUUGAUGGGAGCGUGUGUGGGUGAGGAGGCGGGAGGCUGAGUUCUGGAUAAGCUGAAGUUUAUUGAGGAGAGUGGAGGUGGUGCCAUAAAAGAGACUGUUACAGUAAUCUAGACGAGAUGAAAUGAAUGCAUGUAUAAGGGUUUCAGCUGCAGGGUAGGAGAGGGAGGGGCGGAGGCGGGCAAUGUUUUUGAGGUGGAAGUAGGCUGUUUUAGUGAUUUGCUUUAUGUGGUGGGUGAAGGAGAGGUUGCUAUCGAAGAGAAUGCCAAGGUUGCGACAGUGGGAGGAGGGGGAGAGGAUGGAGUUGUCGAUGGAGAGAUGAAAGUUUGUGACUGUGGAGGUGAGGGACUUUGGGCCAAUGAUGAUGAGAUCUGUUUUGUCAUAAUUGAGCUUAAGAAGAUUGCUGUCCAUCCAGUGUUUGAUGUCAGAGAGACAGUUUGAGAGGGAGCGUUGGGUCUGGGGGCUGAUGGAGUUGGAAGAGAUAUAUAAUUGAAUGUCAUCAGCAUAGCAGUGGAAGUGGAGGUUGUGUUGACGGAGGAUGUGGCCAAGAGGGAGGAGGUAGCUGAUGAAGAGGAGGGGACCAAGCACCGAGCCCUGGGGGACACCUUGGGACACGGGGGCGGUUGUGGAGGAGCAGUUGUUAAUAUGGAUGAAGUGAUUCCGGUUUGUGAGGUAAGAGUGGAUCCAGUUAAGAGCGGUGUCUGUAAUAUUGAGGAGGGAGUGUAGGCGGGACAGAAGGAUGGCAUGGUUGAUGGUGUCGAAAGCAGCGUAGAGGUCGAGAAGGAUGAGGAUGGAGAGUUGGCCAGAGUCAGCAGAAAUGAGGAGGUCGUUUGUCACUUUGAUGAGGGCAGUUUCGGUGCUGUGGUGGGUGCGGAAUCCAGAUUGGAACUGUUCAUAUAGGUUGUUAUUGUUGAGGUGGGUUUUGAUUUGUGAUGUGAUGACACGUUCGAGGAUUUUUGACAGGAAAGGGAGGUUGGAGAUGGGCCGGAAGUUACUGAUGUCAUCGGGGUUGAGUCCAGGUUUUUUGAGGAUGGGGGUGACAGCAGCCAGUUUGAGUGAUGGGGGAACAGUGGUGGAGUUGAGGGAGGAGUUGAUGAUCUGUGUUAUGAUGGGGGAGAUGACGGGGAGGCAGUGCUUGAUGAGGGAGGAUGGGAUGGGAUCCAGGAUACAGGUGGAUGAAGACAUGGAGCAGAUGAUAUUAGUCACGUCAGUUGAGGAGACAGGUGAGAAGCAGGAGAGUGUUGAUGGGAUGGGUGGGAUGGGAUGAGGGGAGGAGGGGAGGAGCAGGGAAUGGAGGGUGGGGGAAGGGAGUUAUAGAUUGCGUUGAUUUUGUUUUGAAAAGAGGAGAGGAAUGUGUUGCAUUUUUCCGGGGUGAAGGUGAUGGAGGUACUGUCUAUGGGGUGGAGCAGUUUUUUGACGGUGGAGAAAAGAGCCUUUUGGUUACUGGAGCCGGAGUUGAUGAGGUUGGAGUAAUAGGAUGAGCGGGCGGAUUUGAGGGCUGUUCUGUAUAGGUGGAGGUGGUCGGUGUAGGCUUGGAGAUGGACAGUGAGGCCGGUUUUGCGGUAUAGACGUUCCAGUUGGCGUUUAUGGGAUUUCAUUUUGUGUAGUUCUGAAGUAUAUCAGGGGGCAAAGUGUCUGAAUGAAACUGUUUUUGUUUUGAGAGGUGCGAGUUGGUCCAGGCAGGAGGAUAGAGUGUUGUUGUAGUAGCUGAGUAGGUCAGGAAGUUUAGCAGAUGGUGAGGGAGGGAAUGCAGUGAGGGUGGCAGAUAGGGAAGCGGAGAGGUCCUGUGGUGAGAUGGAUUUGAGGUUUCUGAAGGUAAUUUGUCGUUUUUCACUGUGAGGCAGAGGGGGGGGGGUCGACGUUGAAAGUGACAGCCAGGUGAUCAGAUAUAUAGAGGUUGGUGGUGGAGAGAUGGCAUCCAGACAUCCAGAGAGAGCUAAGAGUUGGGCCACAUCAAGGGGAGUUUGUUUAGGUGGUUUAGACAUUUGAUCAGGAGCCUCCUAAACACCUCCCUUUGGAAGUUUUCCAGGUACCUGGGAAGUCUUAUAUAUCCUACCUGGCCUGGAAACAGUUUAGGAUCCACCUGGAAGAGCUGGACAAUGUCGAGGAAAUAGAUGCGCAAAUUUCACUCAAGUUAAAAGUGAGGUACAUUUGUCAAUAUCUUUUGUUUCAGGAAAACCAAUUUACAUCAUGGCCACAGUCUCUAAUUCAAAUAACAGUUUUGACCUUGCAUUCAGCAUCAAGUUAAAAAUGUGUUGCCUGCAAAUUUCCCUGAUGCUGUACUGAGCGGACUACUUCUCUGACCUCAGAAUGAAUGAAUGAAUGUUUGUGGCACAACACUUGAAACUAUUUCAUUUGUCUUUAAAUUUUCCCUUCAGCAUAUUAAUUUUUUAUUGUUGUUUAUCACAGCAAUCCUCAGUCAGCUCAGCCCAAAUGAUUAAACUCAAAUCAGAAAGGGAAUGAGGCUGAAUCAAUCUGCCCCUUCAAAAUAAAAGUAUUAUUCAGUGAGAGUUUGAAAAUAGAAACAGUUGAUUAGGAUCAUCGGUUGAAGGUCUCUCUGAUUAUUACACCUUUCUGUUUAACAAUUCUCUCCAAUGUCCUCCUGAUUGGUGUAAAUGAGAAUAAACUGCAACAGUCCUUCAGUUAUAAAUCAUUUUAUUGAAGAAAUUACGGGAUGUCCAUUUUUCUAUCUGGUUUCCUCUCUGCAUAGUUUGGUUUUAACCUUAUUUGUGGAUGCAAAAUUCUUCCGAUGUCAUGGCAUCAAAUCUAAAAUGUUGUCUUUGCACUAUCAGGAUUUGCAAACCAUCAAACCUUGUCCUUGCAAAAACAUUUAAAGGAUCCCUUGACAGUUGAAGAGGAGCCAGAGGGGAUCAUAUUCGGCAGAACAAUUAUCUCUCGAAAUAUAUGACUCAAUUUUAAGAAAUUAAUUCAAUACUUGGUAUGAAUUCCCUCAUGCCGCUUUCAUCAAAACAAUCCGUACGCUGAAAUAUUUUCCUGUGGUGCAUUUUAAGACCUGCUCUUAAAAUAAACUCAAAUUAUGGUCAUAAUUGAAGAUUAAUUAUAAUCCUCUUCAGGCCAGUGUGCUGACGUUACUCUCACUUUUUUUUUUUAAAUAGGAAUAAAUCGAUUCAUGGGAACAAUAAGCAGAUCCAAUUGAAGUUAAUUGUCCUGAGUAAAUGAGGUUCAUUAGUGAGUGGAGAGCACAGUGAUUGUGCAGAAGCUUAUUUCUGUCAGAGUCACGCAUCCUUCAGUUUGAUUGAAGCAAACACUGAGGGGCCAUUUCACAAUAAUGAUCAGUCUGAUUGUUUUCAGGCUGCAGUAAUGAAAUAUUUGUGACAUUUAAAUCUGUGUCAGCCCUGAUUCAUUAGCCAGGAUUGUUGCCAGGAGACGCAGAUUGCAGAGUAGCAGACUGACCUUUGACCAGCAGAACUUGAUCAGGCAGCGAGCGAACAGAGAAGGGCGGGGGCGGAGUGAUGGCGAGCUGAUGUUAUUGGCUCCUGACUCAUCUGAGGAAACAGUGAGUAAAGCGAGGCGAGAAACGGCCUUGAAAUUUCCUGGUGACAUUUGGAUUUCUGCACUGAUAAGUCGACAUUAUUCUACGUUUUUUUUUAGAGGUGUCACAAAAGGCCGAUGGAAAACUCGCUGACGACCGGGAGGCAGGAAGGUGACAAGAAUACUGCGAACAUGAAAACUUUAUUUGAGUCAUAAAAAUCUCUGAAUCACAGACUGCAGCCUGUAUGAAGGACACAGAGGAGCCUGUCUGCAGCACUGUGACCACCCAGUACAGACACUGGGCUGAGAAGAUGACCAUAAACACGCCGAUGGUAUCCUGCAGAUGUGUAAAAGGGUACCCUUAGCAGAAAUUAAUACUUUGUUUUUUCACUGUAGGCUGAAAGGCGCUCUUGUACUUACAUUAAAAGCAUUAUCACAGGUGUCUUUAUAGUCUCUAGUGUCUGUUUUAGGGUACCCUUUAGCUUCUGUGGUAAUGUCCUUUGUUUAUGCUAACAACAAACACCUGUUCUAAGAACUCACUGAAAGUUGGUUUUGAGGUUUUCUUCGGUAGAUGAUUUGAGGUUUUUCUUUUCGAUUGUGUUUUAAAGUUCCUGUGAGGGUUUUUUGCGUUAUGACGCAUUUGGCGCCCCCUGUGGAUGAAGCAGUCUUUGCUCCUUUUCUCCUGUAAAUAUGGUGUCAUCUGAGAAAAGUCUCAUCCUGCUGACUUUUGACAGCCAGAUGUGGCACAGUUGUAUAUAUCUCAAACAGACAGUGUAGAAGCAGGGCUGUUUCUACCGCCUCACAGUGGUUUCAGGCAUUCAAAUUCACAACAUAAAAAUCCUUAAUCUUUUCAUUAGUGGGAGUGUUUAAUUUUACAUAUCAUGACAUGGCUUCAGUACAGAUUUUAGUCUAUUUUAUUAAUGGAAAAAAAACUGUGUCUGUUUUGGGGUUUCUUUUUGCUUCUGUAUCAGCUUUCACUUUUGCAAAUGUUUAGUUUAAAGUUUGCCUCACAAGUGUUUCUAGGUACCAAGUUUUGUUGAUGUAUUUUGGUUCUCUUUGCAUCUGUUGUAAGGUAUUCUACUGGUUGUUCUGAGCCUCUAUUUUGCAUCUGUUUUACCAUCAUGCUCGUGCUCUAGCCUGCACCGUACUGUUUUUGGGUUCCUUUUUGCAUCUUUUUAAACACAUCAUUUUAUGUCCAUGUCACCCUCUGUUGUCAUGAACCCUUUACAACACAAUGUGGCUUACUAGAGUAGAAGUCAGACUGAUGAUGUCUGCAGCCAUGAAUACUUUCAGAUUAUUUUGUUAUGUUUACUGCAGCUGGAAGAUUUCCAGCCUAUAGUUCCUUUUAAAUAGGCGGUGAAAGUAUCUGUAGGUUUACGCUCAGCUGGACAUGAGGUGAAAUAUUACAGAUUCAGAAAAAAUUAAAUCCUCAAUUCACAGAUUUUACGUUUUAACCAGGUAUCUGCCAUGUCACCUUUGUUAUACAGUGCAACGCAGUAUAGCUAACACCCUCUGGCAGCAUUCAGAGUACAUGUUUAUUCCAAAUACACUAGAAUUAUGCAGUUUGUCUGAGUGUGGGGUCCAGCUAUUAAUUUCCUUUUAGGCCACUGAGAUCUGAAUGUUGUUUAAAGAAGCAGCAGUGAAAAAUGAACCCUGUAUAUUAUCCAGGGAGCUUUUUAGUACAUUUUCUUCAUUUUAAUCUACAGGAGGUAUUAAUCUUAGGGGUUAUUAAAUUUAGAUAAAGAGGUCUGAAUAAGAGAGCAUCUCUCUGUUAUUAAAGAGGCCAAGUGUGUUUCUAAAAAGCCUCUGUAGAAAGUGUUUCAGCUAAAAACGAGAUACUGUCAUGACCGUGGAAGGGGUUAGUAAUUUCAAAAUAAAACAGAAAACACAUGACGUGCGAAAAAUAAAGAAAACUUAACCAACCAACCAUGACAGAUAUAAACACAGCAGAAUGUAAAUGUUAUAUGACAACUCAGGUGGUCCUGCAGAAAGGAGUGUUUUGGACAAAAAAGGGAGGAUGCAAUGUUAAAAAAAAAAAAGGUUAUUUUUAAUCAGGUUUUCUUUGUCAUUGGUAAUAGAUUCAUGCUGAGUCUUCACCAAACUUCAUCAGACAUCUAAAAUCCAUCAGAGCUGUAUCUUCAGACCCUCUAAAAGGCAUUGAGCUAAUUUCAGAAAGUGACAUUUUUCUACUCUAGUUUAGAGUCGCCUUUUGUUGUUUAUUUGUUUCCUUGAGCAGCACUCCACAUCCCUCUGUUCCUCACCUCAACUUUAUGUUAAACAGCACUUCAUUAUUUCUUUACACAAUAAAUAACAAUUUUUACAUCACAGAAUUGGGGUUUUUAUGCAACCGCACCCCCUCACACAAUGUGUUUACCUUGUUUUGGUAGUGUCUGUGUGUGUGUGACUGUGAGAGAAUGUUAAUACUACAGGGACCAGGUUUUGAUUGGUUAAUGGGCCAGGUCCGUAGAACCAAUUGGGGAGGAGAGCCAGAUUCAAUAGGCUGCUGACUGGGGGGAAGACACCAUUGUUGUCAACCUAGCGACUUUGUCACUAGAUUUAGCAACUUUUCAGACCCCUUAGCAAAGUUAUUUUCAACGUUUUCCCUUCCUGCGAUAUUGCGGUAUUUAUCUUUCGGAUCAUGGUCGAUUUUUCUAAAGUUUCGCAUAUUCUGUGUCCACUUCUGACCAAUCAGAUUGCAUGUUGUUGCAAUGUCUGAUUCACCGGUAAAUCCAACAUGGCUGACCAGCUGAUUGUGUACGUGUCGGAGAACAGAGUGCUUUUUGAUAAAAAAACACAAACAUUACAAAGAUAAUGACCUGAAGGAUAGUUUGUGUGCUUUAACAGUUUGCUAAACGUCUUUGUUUUAACUUUCAUCUGUGCUAAGUAACUUUAGCUCGUAAGCUAACCUGUUCAGAUACAACAUACCAUAUGUAUUUUCACUGUCUCAAACUCAAUCGUGUUGCUGUCACAGCACCAUUAGGUCUGGGUUGUUACCUUACGUUUAUGGAUUAUAGUUUAAUGUACUUAUCUGGUACUGGCCCUGACUCAGUACAUGCAAUCAUGACAGACAGACAUCUCAACACUAGCGUCUAAUCAGAAGUGAAAAACAGUCAGUCUGCUGUUGUGUCAGUCUUCUCGCUUCCACCCACGACGCGUCUUUUUUUCCCUCGGAAAGUCGCAAAAUCGCAUCGGGCUUGAUGUGUAUAGUCAGGUGCAUCAAAAUUCCCCUCCGAAUAUUUCAUAAUUUAACGUCAGAUAUUUGCGUUGGUCCUGGUGUGUAAGGACCUCUAUUGUUUUUCAAUGGGUAGCCGGUGUGCAUCAAAAGCAUGGACACAGACACAUACAUACACCCUGGCGGGAUCGCUUCUAUCGUCCUCUUGCAACUUCUAGUGACUUUUACGACAGCUACUAGCGACUUUAUUCAAUGAAGAGUUGGCAACACUGGUCAGAAAAUCUAUGUUGGCAUUUGUGUUUGGAGGCGAUCUAAUUGUAUAUCUUUUCUUGUGGAAUAUUAAGGGAUAGGGAGCUGCUUACCCCUUGUUUUGUUUUAACUGCUGUUUUGAGCUAAUUUCAGAAAAUGACAUUUUUCCACUCCAGUUCAGAGUCACCUUUUCUUGUGUUUAUUUGGCUGUUGUAACUGUUGUUUAGAAGUACAAGAGUUCACAGUGUCUGCACACAACUUUAAACACACAUACACAAUAAGAAGUGGUAUUUACUGCAUGGUAUGAACUCGCAGUAACAGCCAUUGUGACGCACCAGCUCCCACACACACGGUAUGAACACACACGUAGACACACACACACACACAGCGCCCCGGGCUGAUGGAGUGCUUGGGAGUAUCAGUUUAGUGUUUACUUGUGUUUUCUGGUCAGGGGUGAGAGGAUCAGAGACACCCUCAGGGGGGGUGAGGCGCUGCGUGAGUUAAUGUUUCACAUCCAGCAGAUUAAGAGCGAGCCGGCAGACGUCAGGUCCGAGCAGACGCCGGGGAGUGAAGGGUAAUGGAUCAGAGAAAUUACUUCACGCUCAGUUCGGGAAGGAGACACAUUCGACCACAAAAGCCUCUCAGAGAGCUUCAUUAGAGGGAGGCUGCUCCGCCAUCACUGUCUGCAGAGGCAUUAUGGGGGAGGCCUGGGUCCAUCCUGCGGCUGAUAAAAUCCAUCAACACACACUUUCACUUCUGUCUGCUUUACUGGAAACACUUUGUUCGUUCUCAGGCUGCAGGGGAUUAAAUCUGGAGACCAGUGAUGCACAGAAAUAAAGUUUGGAGGGAUUAAAGUUAAAGACUGAGAUCCUGCUGUAGGAGUUACAUUGAUUUACAAUAAAAGAACAUUAAAGCUUGGCGCAUAACUUAAAACAGGUGCAUAAGAUUUAAUUUGUCUGAUAGUUUGGAUGUGGGUCAUUUGAAAAUACUGGAGCCAAUUACAACACAACAAGCAAAGAUGUGAAUGUAGCCAUAGUAUAUGAAUGACAGAUGAUACUAUCACACAUUUCUAGUCUUCGCUAAUAAAAGGAGAAUAGUCCAAAAAUGAAAAAGAUGGUAAAAGUCAAAAUAAACCUCUAAAGAGCUGAGAAAUACUCUAUUCAUGUUUCAUAUUUUUAUAAAUGGUUUUAAUUUGCAGUUUUUGAUGAUAAAACCUUUUUGAUUUCUGUGCCUCUUUAAACCUUUUUUUUACUUGUUUAUCUUUCAGUUUAGCAACACAGCAGUACCUAAAGAUAUCACGAUGUUGAAGUUCAAGCAGAAAGAAGAAACUGAAUCAUUGUGAGCAAAACCAGCAUCAGGUCUCUCUCUCUCUCUCUUAGCUGAUUUAAUUUCAUUUGUAUAAACAACAUUUUUGUCACUUGGAAUCAGAGCUGGAGCUUGUCAACAGGCAAGGCAGGUAAUUGCUUGGGGCCUCAGGCCACUAGGGGUUCCGAGGGGUUGAUGAACCUUACUCCACAAAAAUAUCCUGAAAUAUUGCAACCUGGUUAAACAACUAAUGGUCAAAUUGCAAUGACAUCUUCAAUGGAUACCCCCCUAAAGGGACCCCAUGUAAUCCCUAUUGCAAUAUCAACUUUGGAGCAUAUAACAAACUGAAGUUAAGGUCCUUACACACCGGGACCGUUUUUGUCGUGCAAUUAUUUCAGAAAUCAAUAUUUUUUUUCAAACCCGUAUCCUGUCAAUACAAGUGUUCACAUCAGUGACGUUUUUACCGUUCUGCGAUAUUGCGGCAUUUAUUUUUUCGGAUCAUGGUCAAUUUUUCCAAAGUUUUACUGUGCGUCCACUUCUGACCAAUCAGAUUGCGUGUUUUGUCCGACGUGAGAUUCACCGGUAUAUCCAAGAUGGCCGACCACGACCAGCUGAUAAUUUAUGAUCGUUUACACAAACUUUACAACAAUAACGACCUGAUGGACAACUUGUGGGGAGUCAUAGCGUCAGAUUUCUGAUAUGGCGAUGUUUUGUGUGCUUUAACAGUUUGCUAAAUGUCUUUGUUUUAACUUUCCUCUGUGCUAACGUAAGCUAACAGUUGUUACCAUAGUUUAAUGUGCUUAUCUGGUACUGGCCCCGACUCAGUACAUGCUAUCAUGACAGACAGACAUCUCAACACUAGUGUCUAGUCCUCCGCCUCUUCAAACUUGGAGCUAAUUGUUUCAGCAGAACUUCAAAUUGUCCAACAGACAUCCAAAAAUAGGUUCUGAAGCGACCGUGGUACAGUUUAAGCUCCUGAACUAAACAGUGAAACUCACCAAGUUCUCUUCUUGUUUGUAAUAUUGGAUGCACCCAUGUGCUACGUUUAUUUUUCUUUUGAGAAAGCAGAAGUAGUACCAAUUCGCCAUCACUUGAAGUUGAAGUAGACUCAAUUUUUGUCUUCCCGUUUCCACCCAGGAUGCUGUAGGUUGUUAAGGGAAGGUCCCGCCCUCCUUCGCCUCUGAUUGGCUAUAAGUGCUGACCGUUUGGCUUGAGCGCAUGAUGAGGUUUCCAGCUUUUCUAGCCAAUCAGAGGCGAAGAAGGCGGGACUUUCCCCAGGAAAAGUCUUCCCCGGGAUGCAUCUUUUCCCCCCCAGAAAGACACAAAAUCGCAUCAGUAUGUAUUGUGGUACAAACAUAUCAGAGCUAUAUUUAGUGCAAAUUUUUCAAGUUACAUAGUUAAUGUUAUUGUUACGUUAGUUAUUGGUUCAAGCAGUCUGAGAUUUUGUGAGUUUUUUUGUGUGUCUCACAGUUAUUGUUUGAGUUCCAAACUUAUAUUUGAACCAACAGUAUCGAAGCAUAAAUAACGCAGCUCACUGAAUGAGGCAGCAGUCUCUAGUUUCUGUCGGCUUAAAUUCCUGUUUACAUCAAUGUAUUCUGGAAGAAGAGGCUGAACCUUAACUUUCAAGAAACAUUCCACACAUUUGACCCAGUUUACCUGCUGCAGGGUGAAUUUAUCUGCUGAGGCAUCUCCUCAACUUUGAAUGUCUGUUAAUCUUGAUCUUCAAAUAAGUGAAGCUUAAAUUAUUGAGUUUUUUGGUGCACUGUUAAGUAACUAGAACUAUAUAAGUGAAGCCCACAGAGGCUAAAUUUGAUUAUUUUGUGAGCAAGCAAAGAGAAGUCAGGUUGUAUUUAGCUUCUAAUUUCUGGUCACUGUCUCCCUGUGAGCCGUGUGUGACCGAGCUGAAGGGACUCCUCUUCCUUUCAAGAUCAAGAUAUCAAUCAUUCAGUGAUGUGAGAGCGCCACAGGCUGCAGACACUCUGAGGAUUCAGACGCUUCUUCUUUCAGGACAUCGGGUCAUUAGAGAGAGAAAGAGAGACAGAGCAUAGGGGGAGAGAGGGAGGUAGAAAAAAGCCACACUGAAAGAGGAGGGGAGUCUAUUGUCGAGGAUCUGACAAUGGACCCAAAAUACCAGCAUCACCCCGGGGCUCCACAUGAGCAGAAGAUCAGAAAGGCUCAAUAAAUACAGCAGAGAGGUUAGAGGAAGAUGUUCUGGUGGUCAAACUCAGUGUUAUAGUGAAAUCUCUAUGUUUGGUUUAAGAACAGUUUUCUCUACACUACCACAAAAGAGAACAGAGGGGAAAUUAACAAGUAAAGACUGUACAAAUCAGAGUUUUCUGUACUAACAAGGUACAAAGAUUUCUGUUUCCAUAUCACACUACAGAAGACUUCAGGAUUUAAGGUCGUUACACAACGAUGCAAAUAUAUGACGCAAAAUUACGAAAUAUUCGGAGGGGAAUUUUGACGCGCCUGACUAAACACAUCAAGCCCGAUGCGAUUUUGCGACUUUCUGGGGGGUGGAAGCAAGAAGACUGACACAACAGCAGACUGAGUGUUUUUCAGUUCUGAUUAGACUCUAGUGUUGAGAUGUCUGUCUGUCAUGAUAGCAUGUACUGAGUCAGGGCCGGUACCAGAUAAGCACAUUAAACUAUAAUCCAUAAACGUAAGGUAACAACUGAGACCUAAUGGUGCUGUGACAGCAACACGAUUGAGUUUGAGACAGUGAAAAUACAUAUGGUAUGUUGUAUCUGAACAGGUUAGCUUACAGGCUAAAGUUACUUAGCACAGAUUAAGGUUAAAACAAAGAUGUUUAGCAAACUGUUAAAGCACACAAACUAUCGUCAUAUGAGAAACCCGAUGCUAUGACUCUCCACAAGUUUUCCUUCAGGUCGUUAUCUUUGUAAUAUUUGUGUUUUUAAUCAAAAAGCACUCUGUUCUCCGACAAGUAAAUAAUCAGACGGUCGGCAAUGUUGGAUAUACUAGUGAAUUAGAUGUCGAAACAACAACAAAUGCAUACAUGUACACGUUUUUACUUUACAGUGGUGCACUGUCAGUAUUGCACUCUGGGGAGCUGUCCAUGGUCCUGAAUCUGCUGCUCAGCCAUGCAAGAGAACUAGAGCACUGCAGUUUAAUACAGCCAAAGAGUUGUCCAUGGUGCUGAACUUGUUAAUGUCGAUGUCACCAGCUAUGGUGUUACAGUGUUAAGUCAAGUCCUUACUAUGUUGUGAGUUUAGUGCACCAUGCUAUAAUCGGUGCAUCUUAACUUGUUAAUAGGUAACCAACAUUUUGCUUCAGACAUGUUGUUUUUUUUUUUUUUUUAAAUACUUACAGAAGCCACGGUAAACAUUAUUUUAGUCAAAGUUAACUCAAAAUAGACUGAGUCCCAGUUCAGAAAAGCUGAAAACAGACCAUAAAACAGAGGCUCAAGGGUACAGAUCCAACUAUAGGUAAGAAGGCAAUAAAACCUCCAUAAAACAAGCAAUAAACCGUAAAACAGACCAGACCACCUCUUAGAUUGUUAAAGUAAAAAGACCUAAGGGUGGACAUGUAAGGUUUCAUUAAAACCAACCAAACCAACCAAAAAAGAGGGAAGGAAACAGACCUCCAGUCAAUAUUAAAUGGGAACAUCAUUUUUAGGAGGGAGCAGAAAAUUACUCAUACGUCAUGACUGGUUCUUGUUAAUUUAGUUUUUUCCUGGUUUAUAAUGAAGUAGUAUUUCUCCUAUUGAUUCUGUUUCCUGUGAUCCUAAUUUGUGUGUUUCCAGUUCGUGUUUGACCCUGUUUCCCUCGUGUUCUCAGUGUUUUAUUCUUUAGAUUAGUUAUCAGUAAAUCUUGGGUUAUUUUGUAGUUCUUUGCUCUUGUGUGUCUGGUUUAGUUUGACUUCCUGUUUUGUUUUGUAGUAGUCAUAAUUGCGUUUCAAGUUUAGAUUUACAUCCGGUGUUUUCCCUCCUCAGUGAUUGUCUGCACAGGUGUCUCAGUGCCUCACCUGCCUCUCGUUACUCGUUACCCUGUGCAUUUAGUCCUUGUGUUGCCCUCCAUCUUGUUGGGUCAUUGUGUGUAGAUGUCACGGUAUAUUUCUUCCUCACCUGAUGCCUUUGUGAUUUCCAAGUAUCUUUUGAGUCUGUUUUUUUGUUUGUUUGUUUGUUUGUUUCUUUAUGCUCCUUCAUUCUUUUUUUUUUUUUUUUUUUGGUUUUAUUUGUAAAUUGGACUUUUUCAAAAGUAAAUUUCCCCAGUGGUCCUCAAGCCCCCCCAGUCCUGCAUGUUUUGGAUGUUUCCCUGCUCCAACACACCUGAUUCAAAUGAUCAGCUCGUUAUCAAGCUCUGUAAUGGCUUAAUAACGAGCUGAUCAUUUGAAUCAGGUGUGUUGGAGCAGGGAAACAUCCAAAACAUGCAUUCCUUUAGUUUUUGUUUAAAUACGUGACAUUAUGUAUAUUUAAAAACAUUAAUGACUAUGUUCGGAGCAGAAAAAAAAAUUUUCAACACACCUACUACAAGAACAAGUGACACUAGGUUACACUAAAACAGACCAAAUCUAGAGUGACCAUAUUCUGAAUCCCCAAAAAGAGGACACUAAUAAUAAUAAUAAUAACUAGGGCCCCGUUGGGGCACUGGCGGGCCCGAGCCGUGUCGCGCCCCCCCCCAAUGCGCUGCCUCCCCGUCCCAUUCUCGGCCUCUGGCCAUCGCCCUCUUUGGUAACGCCCAUCACUGCAAAGACCCUUUUCCUUCAUCGGCGUUUGCUGUUCUUCCUGCCAGUGCGUGUUGCUUUCACUUACACUUGCCACAGCCAGCCUCGUGAGUGCCUAGCCUAUUGGAUAUCACUGUCACCGACACAGGACAGUCAUUACCUUUCUAUUAACACUUUGUUUUUUAAUUUCACAUUAAUUUCCAUAUUGUAUAAGCGACUGGAAAAAACUUGAGCCCCUGCCCCUGUAUAAUCAUGUGCACGUCCCUGUUCUAGCUCCAAGGUGAAUCUUCACUGCUCAUGUUCUCCUCAGAAGCAGUCACCUCACUCCCCUCAGGUUACUGUACACAUGCACGAACUGCCUGCUUCAGGUUUGGAUGAAGCUUCAUGGUUGUCUUUUGGAGAAAUGAGCAGUCAAGUUGUGUUUGAAAUUUGAUUUUUUUCAGGGGCAAAAGGAAGCCUCUGCAUUCUUGUCAAAUAUGUAAAUAGCAUGUUAUUGCAGGUGCUAAAAAACAGACUCUGAGUGUGUGUGUGUGUGUGUGUGUGUGUGUGUGUGUGUGUGUGUGUGUGUGUGUGUGUGUGUGUGUGUGUGUGUGUAAACUUCAUUCAUAUAGCACUUUUAAAAACACAAGUUUAUAAAGUGCUUUGAAAACAGUUGCAAAGCACAGAACAUCAGCAGAUGAAAAUAAAAACAAAAGCUCAGUUAAAAACAAGGCCUCUGAGUUGAAGGCCAAUUUCAUUUUUCAUAAGAAACCCAGACAAUACAAGAACCUUACAACAUAAAAUGAGACCAUGAGAACUAAAAUAAAAACAUAAAAUAGGCAGAAAGAAGGAAACAGGAUAGUAAGUAUAAAAGAGGAUAUUAUUGAUAAUAAAAUCAUAAUAAAAUAAUAAUGAUGGUAAUAUUAAUGAUAAAAUGGAAUGAUAAAAAAUGAGCAGGAAAAAACCAUAAAAUCAAUAAAGGGCCUGAAAGGUCAAAGAAGAAAACAUAAUUAAAACAAAGGCUAAAAGGAUAGUAAGUCCAAAUAAGAUAAAAGAGGUAAAAGAGAUAAAAGAGAAAAGACGGCAUCACAUAAAAGCAUGUCUGUAAAAGUGAGUUUUUAAAUUUGACUUAAAAGAAGUGACUGUCUCUGCUGUCCGCCUUAUCUCUUUUGGCAGGUCGUUCCAAAGUCGAGGAGCUCUGAUGGAGAAAGAACUAUCACCUUUAGUUUUGAGCCUCGACUUUGGAACGACCAGGAGGCCUUCGCCAGAGGAUCUGAGGCUGCGAGUUGGCUCAUAAGGUAUCAAAAGCUCUGAAAUGUAGCUCGGAGCAAGUCCUUUGAGUGCUUUAAAAGUAAUCCAUAAAAUCUUAAAAUCAAUUUUUAAAACUGACAGGAAGCCAGUGAAGGGAGGCUAAAAUUGGAGUGAUGUGAUGCCGUCUACUAAAACCAGUUAAAAGCCAAGCUGCUCCACUACUACACAGGGUGGAGUUGCCGAGUCAUGCGUAAUAAAUGUGAGGGUUUUUAUGGUCUAGUCAAGUGUUUUUUUUUUAUGUGCUUCUAACUCAGUGAGUCCACUCUACAUAAACUCAAAACUUCCAUACAAAACCCUGGACAUUUGAAGGUUUUUAUAAACUCCCCCGGACAGGCCGGACAGCCCCCAAAAAAGAGGACAUCUCUGGGGAAAAGAGGAUGUACGGUCACCCUACCAAAUCAGGUUUUGAGGGUGCAGAACCCAACUCCUUAAAAAAGUGCCACCUUGAAAAUCUUGCAAAUGCAGUGUACUUUUAUAAAAAAUAAAAAAAGGGUUUUCCACUUUAACUUUUCUUUGUGUUUCUUUAACCUGCACACACAGCAUAGCCAACACUCAGCACUUUUGAUUCAUACAUCAUGUAUGUCUCCAUCAUACAGGGUACACAUUAGUGCACUCUGAAAAAACAGCCACCGCUACAGUAUCUGUCUGCAUGAUAAAUGUUUGGACUCAGAGCAGGCAGAACAUCGAGGCUCAGGAGACCUCUGAGCGUGUGAGGUCUAAUCUGCAGAAACAGACUCAGUUACCUGACAAAGGUACACAGACUGAACACCUGUGCAGGGAAAAGUCCCAGAGCAGCUUCAACAAAGCCUCCUUAUUUACCAAAGCUUACAGUAUCUCUGAGUCCCUGAAAGACAGGGAGGGAUGACGGCUGAGCUGUUGUCCCUCCAGAAUAAAAGCCCCUGAUUGAUCCUCGAAUGCAGGUCUCUGGGGAAAUAAAUGAUUUAGGAGUUCAAAUAUUAGCAUGUAGUUCUGAUGGACUGCAAAUAAUGAUGCAGAAAACUGAGAGUGACAUUCCCCUCAUGUGUGCUCACGCUGGGAAAUGAUUUUCAGCUUUAUCUGUGGUCAUGCAGUAAGACACAUUACAAUCACACGCUGAAUUUUAAUAGAAGCAAUCGCAUCCCACUGUCUCACAGCUUCAUUAAAAGAAGAGGGUAAAAUCCCAAUUUGCAUUUUAUUUAAUCAACUUUCUUUUCCAUAAAGCAGUGUGAGGUAGAUUAAUGUGUGUGUCUGUGGUUUAACAUUUCCCAUUUCCAAGCACCUCCAGCCUUUAAAUCUGUUUUAAAAAGCAUCUGUAUGUGUGCUGUGUAUACUAAUUUAUGGCACAUGUUCUCACAAAGGUCACCACAUGCUGCUUUAACUCAAACUGGGUGUUAGUCAAAUAAUCAGAGAGCACUAAGGGGUGCAGCUUUCUAAUUAAAUUUAUUAAUUUAAAAAAUCACCAAUAAAACUAAACUAUGAACAGAUAAAUAAACAGAAUUUUCAAAUUUUUGAUAGUAGUGGGAAUUACGGCUCUUUUUAGUGAGCUAGAUCAUUCAGCUCACCAAGAAGAACCGACUCUUUCAGCUCCCAAACAGCUCUUCAUCUUACCUCUUAAGCAUUUUAUAAUUCAGCUAAAUUUAGUGUUGUUUGGCUUAUGAUAUGUAUUUAUGUGUGCGCAUACCUCUUAAAUAAUUUAAUACAUCCUUUGAACUGAAGUAUUCAUGAGUAAAAAUUUCAUUUUCUAAUAUCAGUAAAUUGCUGUUGCCAAUUGUUUUCAUUGCAUCUACAGACCCCCCUCUGCUUGGUGUAUCCUUGUGUGAUUGGUUGCACUCAGCAUGCACAUGACAGUCAUGUGCAUGCGGAAAAAAAGGAAAAAAAAAAUGCUUACAGAUAGGGGCCGGCUCCCAUCGUUCACGUUAAAGAGCCGGCUCUUUGAACCGGUUCGUUCACAACCAACACAUCGCUACUUUAUAUGUUUGGUGGUCCAUUAAUGCUGAAAGACACAUACAGGUUAAGGAUCAACAUCUGCUGCCAUUAGAGCUCCGUCGAUUUCAGCAAGACAACGUCAAGACACAUUCUGCUGGUGCUACAACAGCCUGGCUUCAGAGUCAAAGAGUACAGGUACUAGACUAGCUUGGGGUUAAGGUUAAGGCUAAGGUUAGACUUGUUUCCAAUUGACAGUGUUUGGCCCUUUAUAAAGUGCAAAAUACUACAACAGAGACCCCGGACCGUUGAGCAACUGAAGUGGUCCAUCAAGCAAGAAUGGGAUAGACUUCAACCUCCAAAGCUUCAACAGUUAGUGUCCCCUGUUCAUAGAUUCUUAUUAAGUGUUGUUAAAGGAAAGGGGUAAACAUGACCCUGUCCCGGCUUUUUAGGAACAUGUUUCAGCAUCAAAUUCAAAAUGAGUGAAUAUUUGAAAAAACAUAUCUUGUCUCUAAAGCAUAUUCAAUUGAAUACAGAUGGAGAAGGAUUCACAAAUCAUCGUGUCUGUUCUUAAUUCACCUUUUUCUCAACAUCACAACUUCACUGGAAUUAGGGUUUGUCUUUUGAUCAUCAGUAUUUUACCUCUAGGCAAACUGUCCUCUCAAUAUGGACCUAUUUUCAAAUUAUUUGAUCUGCUUUUAAGUAUCAACAAAGAGCUUGAAGAGGAAAGAGAUUCAUGGUCCCAACUCAGUUCAGAAGUUAAAAAGGUUUAUAUAUAUAUAUAAUAUAUAUAUAUAUAUAUAUAUAUAUAUAUAUAUAUAUAUAUAUAUAUAUAUAUAUAUAUAUAUAUAUAUAUAUAUAUAUAUAUAUUUAUAUUGCUGUCUUCAAAGCUUCCUCGUAAUAAAUAUGCUUGUGUCCAGUUAAGUGGGAGUUGGCUGAAAAAAGUUGGCCACUUUUUUUUCUAUAAAAACGAGCUUAGAUCUGAGUUACCUAGAUCUCUAUCCUAGUAAAUCUAGCUCAUUAUGACAGCUGUAGACAGCAACUUCCAUAUCCCGUUUAAGUCUGUGCAGGAAAACAACCCUGUUGGCAGAGUAAUUUUACCUCACAGUGACACAGGGGUUACUGGUAUGAAAGUCUAGUAUAUCUAAAAAGGAAAUGUAAAAAAUGCUGUUCUGUGAUUAAACUUAUUGGGCUCUAUUUUGUCUCUUGAUCUCUUUGACUACUUCAUGAAAAUUGUAAUACGCCUCGCCGGUGGCGGAUUGAAAGGUGAGGAAAGGAGCUUAUGUGAUUGGCGAAAACAGGUCUCCGCUGUGUUAAACCCACUCCACGCUCUAUUCCUUCCCUCUCUAUGACUUACGCCAGUGGGAGGAGCUGAGUUAGGGAGGGGGGAUGCUUAUGCCAGGCUGCGCCGCUUACCAAAAUACCAAAAUGUGCUUGGGCACACCUUGUCGGCGCGGCAAACCUGACUUAUACUGCGCCUACGCCACGCCACGCUGCCGGCGAGGCAAGAAAAUGGAGCCCAUUAUCUGAUAAAGCAAAGUUACUUUAUGUUAAUGAAAAAAUAUCUAUUUAAUGCAGCAGCUGAUGAGCAACUCCUGUAUUCAGUGUAAAAUGACCGUUUUUUUCAGUGGAGUUUGGUGGGUUUGUUUUGAGGUCUUCAUGUCUUUACCUAAAGGUAGAACAGAGGACAGAGAAGGGACGAGGUGGGAAGUGAUAGGCAGUAAAAAGCUGCAGGUUGGAAUCAAAUCCAGUCUGUACACCUCCUAGAUCAUAGUCUCUGUAUGUGGGGGGGCGAGAUUUCACCAACAAGCAAAACCAGCACCUUCAGUCUGAUGUGUUUAAAAAGAAAAAAUCAGAUCUGUUUCUGGUUUCCUAAGACUCAAGAGUGUUUUUUCUUCGAUAAAAGAGUCUGACCCUGUUUGUACUUUCAGUCAUUUAAAUCUGUAUUCAUUCUAAGAGCUCAAUUUCUCUCCUAGCCAGCACCAACAGCCUUUGGUUUGAUUCUUUUUUUUACCUUAUCCUUAAAAUGGACCUUUUUUCUCUCCGUCAGGCUCAGAGCCGUGUGCGUGUCUACUUCCACCUCCGGAGCAAACUCAAACAGAGAUGUUGGUAUUUUUAUGGGAACAAGGUCGCAACAUUUCGGUCUCAAACAGCAUAAUGGCUACAGCAGCAUGUCUCGGAUUCACGAAAUGAAAAGCACAAGAAGAAGCAGAGGACUGAAAUAUGUUUGGGUUGGCAGUGGGGAUCAUUAUAAAAGGGAAAAAUGCGGCGUAUACAUGGGCAGCGCAGACAGCUGUACUGAUUAGAAUCAACAUGUCUGAUAUAGAUACAGGUUUGUGGGAAGUUAAUUUGUGGUAGCAGCGGUGUUUAGUGAGAAAACGUACUUGCUGCCUGGAUUUCUAUUCCAAUUUCCAUCAAGUGAGGGAAGUGUUGUAUUUAUUUACAGCACAGAGGUGUUCAGAGUGGAAGGUGGGCGUGCAAAGAUCAGGACUCUGACAGCAGAGAGCAGAGUUCACAUCCUACAUGUCAUGUUCGAUUCAGGAGACAAAAAGCUCUCUGGUUAUGGUUUGUGGAGGGUUGUUGUUUCAGGUUUAUGUUAAUAAUGACCUUACUUGACCUGUAAGUCACUGUGGCCUUCUUCUAAUAUGUUUCAAGACUUUUGAAUCCGGCAACUCCACUGAUCUAGUCUCCAAUAUGACCCACAGGAGCUGUUAAAAGGUCGACAACCAGAUUCAAACUAUGUGAGAUGAUCAUUUUUUAUCCCAAGCUGCCAACAAAAGUUUGACCAGCUGAUUACUGUUCUUGCUUUCUGCACAUUUUAACCUUUCCACCUACACCAGAACACCGAACACGAUCCUGUCUGUGUUCAUAUCAUCAACUAGAACAUCUUUCUCAUGAUAUGUGUCUGAGGGAACUUUUUUCUGGCUUAACUUAAAAGCCAAAGAUGUUCAAAAAAUUGUGUUUAACAGUAAGGUGAGCAUUCUCCAUUUAAUCCCAUGUGUUGGAGCAGAGAAACAUCCAAAACAUGUGGGACAGUGGGCCUUGAGGACUGGAAUCGAGAACCACUGUUCUCGACAAAGGGUUAAAAUAAUUAUAUUUUAGUACACCAGAGUGAGAAAGAUCUUUUUUGAUCCGAAAUUCAUGUAAAGAUCUUCACCCGCCACCUGUGUUAGGGUCUGCACUGACCUGCUUUUGGUUUUAAAUGAAUAUAAUUUAAAACCAAGACUUUUGGACUUGGCCAGGAACCUCUACUUCAAUAAAAUCAAGAAAAAAGAAAAAAGAAAAAAAAAGUAAUAAUGAUAAAAACAACAACAAUAAUAAUAAUAAUAAUAAUAAUAAUAAUAAUAAUAAUUUAUUAAAUUUUAAAAUGAAAUUAUGGCACUGGAAAUUAUGUUAGGGUCGUGGUAAGAUUAUAAAGCAAUAAUUAGAGCCAAAAAUGAAGUCAUAAGUGCACUAUUAGGCACCACACUGACAGUCAGAUCCUCACCCAUUCAUUUGUGUUGUGUCGUUCAUUCAAAAGUAAGGAACUGCUGAGUAAACGACGUGAACUGAAUCACUCCGAGACCUGAUUAGUUCCUUUUUCACUUCAGUUGAGCUCAGCCACGAGCCUGGCAUGCCGGUCAGGAGUGGAACUGCCACCUCUGACUCUGGCGAACGACACACAGCUGGCGAGCAAGUGGGCGGGCGGAGUCCCAUCAUCCACUCUCAGCGAAUGAACGACAUGUAUCAGUAUGUGAACGAAACAGUCUGUGACCGAAAUGUCAGUCAGUGAAUGACAUGGUGAACGAAACGAACUACUUCCGAAUGACUUUGAUUCAGUAAACAAGUCUUUUGAAUGAAUCCUUUUAAUGAACGGAUUCUAAAGUCAGUACAGUCAAAAGAACUGUUCUUUCCAUCACUACCAUUCAUGUAAGAUUUAGGAUAUUCUCAUUUUGCCUCGUUUUCCCCUGCACAAAAAACAAUGUCGAGCAUGUCCAGACGUGAGAUCUAUUCAUUAUAGACGUCUGUGUGAGCGGGAUACUGACAAAGAAAGGCCCAGAGACCCACUACAAAAAAACUUAAAAGCAAUAUUUUUAUGGAUAAUGAAGGCUAACAAGUUAACCUAGGGAUAAAAAUCACAUUGUAUGAUGGAGAAUUGAUUGUAGUUUAAUUUACAGCUGAUUUAAGACAUGGGUUGAAAGCGAACACAGGAGGAAGGUUAAGGAAGUAUCAGAGAGGAAGUAGAGUCUGAAAAAAUGCAUAGUAGUGAUCUAAGCAGUGUUUUAAAUUUAAAUAAAGUCACUUUGCUGGUAAACACUGUGGCGUCUUUUAAGAUAAAACUUGAUCUUAAAAUACAGAAAGAAAGAAAAAACUGAGCCGAAUGUUAAAAAUUAAGUAAAACUGAGGAGACUGGACCUGCGGGUUUAAUGAGUGAUCAGUUUGACGCCGCCUUCAGUGAGCAGAAUCACAGUCUGGAUAUUAAAUCAGCCCGCUGUUUAACGGGGUUCAUCCAUCAGCAGACAGGUGUUCAGGUGAGUCUGCUGCACCCUGAGGCUCCAUCUGCAGAGUCUGAGAACAGAAAACAAAGGCAGCCGCUCCUCAGGGCCCCCAGGAGCCUGUUUGUCUCGCGUUAAUUUCAGAAAUAACUCAUUGGAGGUUUGUUAAUGGCUGCAAUCAAUAACUAAAGUGUUCCUGUGUCAGAGCAAACGUCCCUAUGUAGAAGAUCACAACAUGAUGCCACUGCUGCCGAAAGAAACACGUGAAUUCACGUCCCAGAGGUCAUUUUUAACAUCUUUGGAGCUUCAGUUUUGACUGAGCUGUAAGGCUUAAGAUCGAAAGAGAAAUGAGGAAAUAUUAUUCAUAUUCAAGUGCUCCUUCUUUUCCGAUAAUUAAAGUACAAGAGUCAGUCAUUUCUUUCUGUCUGACAGCUCUGCCGCUUUCCCACAUCACUAAAAUAUGUCGAGGAGUUAUUUAGAAAAGUAAAGUGCCGCAUCUAAAGUUAUCCUGAGACGUGACGGUACAGACUGUGUUUCUACUGCUCAGACAAAACAACUUAGAGUUUAUUUGUGCGGCCAUAAAACAGCAGCCGAGUGACAAUAAAGAAAAUUCAGUUUAUAUAAAGAAAAAAAAAAUAAGGGAGAGAGAAAAGAUGCAAUCGAUCAUCUUCGAGAGAAGAAUUAAAAAAGCAACAAUAACUCAGAAAAAAAAAACACAUCAGGACGACAGGAGGAGACACAAACUCUGAAUCCAAAUGACAACAAGCACAACAGGGAGGGAAACAAUGAGAUUCUUCUGGAAUCAGGAGGAGGCGAAAAUAUGGAGGAUUAAAUCAAAUACAAUACAGAGAGAAAUCAAUGAGCGUGCUUGGCUCAGAGUGUGUGUGUGUUUGAACCAGAGAAAACUCUCAGUUACAUCCAUUUUAAGUGUUCAGAGUUUUGCACAAUGAUAGACUCCACACUCUUUCUCCCUGCACUUCUUUUACCUGAUGAAUCCAACAGAAAAACAUGUACAUGCUGGUUUAUUUGCAUCCAAAAACUGUCAUCAAAUAGUAUAAAUAUAUAUUAAAUUUAUAUAUAUAAAUUUUACAAGCACGAACAGGCAUUUAAAUUGUGCAAAUCUGCAAAAAUUUAUUCCAGAAGCAAAAAAGCUGCAACCAAGUUUAUCAAGAUGAGGACAAAAUGAUCUUAAGGAGUGUAACUGCUGCUCACAAAAGUUCAAGAAUAGUAAAUGUUUUCAGAGACAGACGUUUAGUUGUAAAAAGAAAUCUAGUCUUCUCUCUUUGGUGAGUUCAUUUGACUUUAAUUUGAAAAGUUUCACAGUUCUCAUCAAGGUUGAAUGUGAAUAAUUCAUCAUCAAAAAUGGCGUUUAAUCUCACAUGUUUGAAUUGUUAUUUAGGGUUACAUAUGACACCACUGCUGUUUUUUCACACAGUUUUUUUCCACUUAAAAGAAAGGAGAAAAGUUCCCCCUGGAUGCCUUUUCGGUGAAUGAAACACCAUAAGGUGCCUGUUUGAUAAUAGACGCAUCAUACAGUCAAUGAUAUGCAAGGUUUGCAAGCUAAGUUUAAAACUGCGAAACCCUACUAUAAUGUGAAUGCCACAAACAAACACACCGUAACAACAAGUUAGACACCCCCUCGAGAGAUGAAUGUUGCCGACUGCUUGCUUCUUUAGAUAUACCAACUUUAGUAAUGACCGCACGAUAGCAAUACACAGCGUUCUAUGUCUCCACGCUCAAACCUCACGAGUUGAUCACCAAGUGCAGCAGAGUUUGGCAGCUCGAGGAAGAAGAUUUAUGAUCAUUACUUUAUGGAAAUGCAAUCAGACCGAGACGCUAAAGGUCCUAACACACCGGGAACGACUCAAAUAUACGACACAAAAUAAAUAAAUAUUUAGAGGCGAAUUUUGAUGCGCCUGACUGUACAAUGCAAUUUUGCGACUUUUUGUUUGAUGCUAUUGCUAUGGCUGGGACCCUAUAUGUACUGUUGAUAAAGUUAGGUGCAGUUCUGAGCAUUAUUUGUGGCUAUAGAGUGGCGUUUUUAUGAUGUGUUUGACCAUAACUCAAAUUCACGCCGGAAUAUCCCUUUAAAUCAGGCCAGAAGAUCCACUAUAAAUACAGCACUGUUUGGAUAAGUGUGAAUGCAGCAUUUCCACUGGUUAAAAAAAAAGAGGUGGCCGCCUGUUAAACUGCUGCAGGAUGAAAAAAUCCACCAGAGACAUUGACAAAGUGAAACCUGUGAGUGUCAGUGUGCCAAAACACUUGAGCAUUUUGAGUUUAAACCCUUGGUUCUGUUUGCGCUUUGAUUUCUUUAAAGUGAAGGAUUUUCCAUGUUAAAGAAAAUGCAUGAGUUAUUUUUGAGGGUUUGGUUUCUGGAGGAUUUAGAGAGUGUGGUGUCACUGCAGCUGCAUACAAAGACCUUCGUGCUUCCUCUGGUUGGAGAGCCAGAUGUGAUGUAAUGGAGUGUCUGAGAUGUCAGAAGUGUGCCGCUGCUGCAGACCGACUGAGAGGAUUAAUGCGGUGGCUCUGAGCCAUGCAGUCAGUUUUGCUAUCGUGACCUUGUCGACUAACUGCCAGUCAACUCAGACCUCUGAGGGGUUUCUGCUUCCUUAGCCGAGGCCAACGCCACGUCUGUCACACCAAAACUCCUCCUUCCUCACCUACUCUUCCCCUCAGGGUGCUGUAAGGAAGGAGGAGUGGUUUCAGCUUGGCAGGUAGGCAGCAGAGAGGAAAGGAGAGAUUUUUUUUUUUUUUCUGUGGGGAAAUCAAAGGCCCACACUUGAUCAACCUUUGGUGGAUUUUCAUGUCUGCAUUCAGAAAUCCAUGGGUACAGGUAGGGCUGGAAGAUAUGGGAAAAAAAUUUAUCACCAUAUGUCUUUUUCAUAUCAGUCGAUAUCGAUAUAAAUCAGAAUCUAGAAAAUGGAAUUUAACAGUGCUGAUUGGUUGCAUGUUUUUUGACAAAACAAUAAGCAUCUGCCUCUGUGAGGUCUUUGUGGCUCUUCGAUGUUUUGUCAAAAGGCGUUGCGCUAGACCAGUGGUUGUCAAGUCCUGUCCUUGAGGCCCUACACACCUGAUUCAAAUGAUCAGCUCGUUAUUAAGCCAUUACAGAGCUUGAUAACGAGCUCAUCAUUUGAAUCAGGUGCUUCAGGUGGUGAAAAAGAUUUGAGGUAUUCCCCAACUUUGCAAGAACAUGUACUUGACAUAAUUUGCCCUGCACAAGAAUCUUUGUCAUGUCCAACCUCAAAACAACCAAAAUACCUUCAGACCACCGACAUUUUCGUGACAGUGUUUUAUACAAUGGGUGUCUGAAAUGGAUCCCUAACCCCUAUAUAGGCGACUACAUGGGGGUUAGUGCCAUUUUAAGGGGUGUCCGAAACCUCAGUGAUCAAUUCCAAUGCCCUAUAUAGGUGACUCAAAAUUUCCCAUAAAGCAUUGCAAAAUGUAGUGACCAUCCGAUGGUCACCCAACGGUGGUGGGCAUCCCGUCAUGCAUUGCGUCUUGCCAUAUAGUGUUUGAAACUUUCGGUGAUUGUGUUCACUACACAGUCAACUAUAUAUUAAAAACCCAUAUGGGGGUCAGGGGUUACGGAUUGAGUGAUUCAUUUCGGAUACAGCCAAUGUCAUCAUCUGUUGAGUCUUCAUCUGCAUUUCUGCCGGGGGUAGCACUCAUUAUCUUUUUUUCUCACCAACAGUGCUGUCGGCUACACGUGUUAAAGUGCUAUGGUUGCGUGUAGCUGCAGUCUACUACGUAGUUGUUUGCUAUUUGGUUCUAAUUCAGCACAUGAUCGGUUCAGCGCAAAGCGAACCCGGAGCAACUCCUCUUUUUAUUGGCUAUUCAUAUAGUCUACCAAAACAUGGCUACCAGAAUGCCGACUAUUGAAAAUGUUUUAUAUUGAAACUGAGGAAAAUUAUUUUUUAAUAUACUGUAAAUCGUUAUCAUUUUAUCGCCCAGCCCUAGAUACAGGUGCACAAAAAGGUGAUUUUCUCACUGUACAGCCGGGAGAACGUGAAUAAAAUAAAUCCCAUUAGUACUUGACACCAGCUCCCAAUUAAGAUUUGCAGGUCCUGGAGCACAGACGGCGCCCAUAGCAUUUCAACAGCAAAUCUAUGACAAAAGCCGCAUGUUUUCCCUUUGAUAAGCUGGUUUAAUUCGGCUUUUACAUGGCCGUCCUCUCACCCUGCUCCCUCUACGGUCGGGCCAUUUGUUCGCCAUAACGACAGCUUUGAACUUGCGGGAGAAAGUAUGCAAAAAUCUCUCCCUUUGAUGCAGAGCAAAGUGCGCUUAUUAAACAAUUAGCAUAGUUAUUCUGGCGGUAAUCACCCAGAGAGGGUGCAAAUUGGCAGGAGAGUUUAAAAAUAGUGCUGUUUGAAAAUUCUCUGCAAAGUGUUUAAUACCUGACAGCGUGCCCAGGGGCAGAACAUCACUGCAGCGUCUCCAGAGUGGCUGUAAGAGGCAGAUAUAUAUUCAUAAAAGCAACAAUAUAAUGUACUUCUACUUUGUCUUUAUUGCCUCUGAAUGUUUGCUGCUGCUGCUCUGUCACAAAGGAUUAUUAAUGUUGCACAGAAGCUUGUUUCUGUAACGGAGCAUCGCCAAGAGGAGGAGGACAUGACAGCAGCAGCUCUCUGACUGGGUUAAAGAUGAGGAAGGAGGCUGUUUGAGCUCAGAUCUCACAUGCAAAAACACAUGAAAGCGCCUGUCUCUAUACCAUGCUUCCAUCUGUGCUGAUAUAACAUCCAGCUUUGUGUUCAAAAGCUGCACAUCUCACUCAUCAGCUGUCAGUCCCCGGGUUUGUUCAGACACUGAGGUGUGAAGGCUGACAGAUUUUUCAGUUUCAAGAAAAAAAUCUGCAGAGAUGUGAUGCACAGAAAGGAUAAAUUUGCUGCAUUCAUGGUUUUAUCCGAUAUUUACAGAUUUUACCAAACACAACUGUCAACUUGGUGUGCAAAGGAAAACUGAAAAGAACGACAGACUGAGGCGAUCUUUUAGUUUGGGGUUGUUUCCCUGCGGUAAUAGACCUUUUCAUUGAAGAUGGAGAUGUUUUUUUUUUACUCUUUGCAAGGAUCCCAGACUUUAUCGACAAAAUGAUUUUCAUGACACAGAUCUUUUGAAAUGUCUUGUUGGUUUGUUUGUAAUUUUAAAUUUUAAAAGGCUUACCGAAAGUUUCUUAUGUAAGAAAAAAGGUCCCUGGUUUGGAGACAUCAAAGCGACCCACUUCAUGGCACCAUGCACUAAUGUAUUCAUGUACUGACUCAGGGCCAGUACCAGAUAAGCACAUUAAACUAUAAUCCAUAAACGUAAGAUAACAACAGAGACCUAAUGGUGCUGUGACAGCAACGCGAUUGAGUUUGAGACAGUGAAAAUACAUAUGGUAUGUUGUAUCUGAACAUGUUAGCUUACGAGCUAAAGUUACUUAGCACAGAUGAAAGUUAAAACAAAGACGUUUAGCAAACUGUUAAAGCACACAAACUAUCGUCAUAUGAGAAAUCCGACACUAUGACUCUCCAAAAGUUGUCCUUCAGGUCGUUAUCUUUGUGAUGUUUGUGUUUUUUAACAAAAAGCUCUCUGUUCUCCGAUCAGUCGGUCGGCCAUGUUGGAUAUACCGGUGAAUCAGACGUUGCAACAAUCUGAUUGGUCAGAAGUGGAAACAAAGUAUGCAAAACUUGGAAAAAAUGUCCAUGAUACAAAAAAAUAAAUGCCGAAAAAUCACAGGAUGGGAAAACGUGAAAUAUUGACACCUAAAAGUAAUCGCACGAAAAAAAAACUCCCUGUGUGAAAGGACCUUUAGCAUUAUCAUAAAUCAUAAAUAAUCAUAAAUCGUAAAUGUUCUUCCUUGAGCUGUGAAACUCAACUUCACUCAGUGAUCAACUCGUCAGGGCUCCCCCCACAAACAAGCGGCUGCUGGAAGGAGAGUGGGUGAGUUGUGUUUGGUCUCUUUGCCAAGAAAAUCAGACAAAGCUAAAAAAAUGUUUGAUGGCUAGUACUAUGGCUGGGACCCCAUAUGUACUGUUGAUGAAGUUGUUCUGAGCAUUAUUUGUGGCUAUAGAGUGGCUUUUUGGUUGAGGUUUGCACGUGGAGACGUAGACCGCUGUGUAUUGCUAUCGUGCGGUCGUUACUAAAGUUGGUAUACGUAGAGAAGCAAGCGGUCUGCAACGUUCAUCUCUCGAGGGGGUGUCUAACUUGGUGUUACAGUGUGUUUAACCCCAACUUAAUUUUACACUAAAACAUCCUUCUAAAAUCCUGUCUUUGAACCGGAGUGACCUCAGGUAUGUGCAUGUGGAAACUUUCACAGGUUGGUCCCUGUUGGAGAUUGAACCAGGACGCUAAUAGUAUGAAAUAUGUAUACAUGUACCUGAGCCUGUCAGGGACAAAAUAAGAACUUUUUGAUCCAACAGUCACUUUGAUUGAACAUGUAUUUAUGUUGCAGAGAUGAGAGCCUGCUUAUUUGCUGCAAAAAUACACUGAUACGGCACUUUAAUGAUAUGAAAGCAGGGAUCCUGCGCAGGGAAAUGCACUUUUGACUUCAUGAAGUUGUUGCAAAAUUAAAGAGUAUCCUUGUCAAACAGAAAUAUGUUUUAGUUGAACUGAUCCAGGUCUGGAGGAGACUGUCUGCACUCUUUGGUUAUUUUGAAGCUUUCAUAGCUGACCUUCUUAAAAACAUAACUAACCCAACUUUGGACAACAACCCAACAUUUGAGACCCCUCUGUCUUCCACUUGUGUUUGAUCUGCUGGUGAUAAAGGGUGUAUCUUCCUGUCUGAGCAGGUAAUCUUGUAGCGUUUUGAAUAAGCCUCCUGGUGCUUCAUAUAUUUACUGUAACACUGUUAGUAAGAGGUCUCAAGACGGUGAAAUCUUCAUGCUUUGCUAAAACAGAACGUCCCUGAUGAGCCAUGAAUCAUCCACCCACUGUGUUAUGUCAGAUUUAGUAAAGAAAGAAAGUCGACGUUUCAUGAAUAGAAUCUCUCUCUCUCUCUUUUUUUACCUCCCUCUGUUUCACUCGUCCUCCCUCUCCCCUCGUCUCAUUUUCCUCAGCGUUUAAUGUUUAAUUUAAACCUCCAGAGCUGAGCUGAAUCAACAAGAGAGUGUCACACCUGCAGGAAGACAAAGUUCAACAGCACCCCCACAUGGCAGAGAGUGGUACAUGUCCCUUCUCCUCCUCCUCCUCCUCCUCAAAAAGAGGGGAAUAGACAAGCAUGGUGUUUGCUAAGGAGGUGUAAGGCACAGCAGGAGUGGUUCAGCCGCCGCCGGAGGGGCUUUGCUAUGUUUAGUCAGGAAGCCAUUCUGUAAGUUAUCAUUACUCCCCCCUCUCCGGUGACAGACAGCAGGCAGAAGCGUGUGCGGAGGAGAGAAGAGGGUGUCAGAGGUAUGAUUAGAGACGUCUCAGUGUGCUCUGACAAAGACCCCCCACUCUGAGAGGAUUUCACACUCUUUUAAUCCUUUAUCAUUGACAACAUCUUCAUUAGAGCAUCCAGACUUUCUCUCACAAACAAACUAGUGCUCUGAAGCGUCAGGCAGAAUCAGGAAGGAGCUCUUUACUUUAGUGCAAAUAUUAUACGUGUUCAUAUCAGCAUCGAGCGACUUUACCCUGAUUCAGCUCUUGAAGCUGCCCAGACAAGGCUGUCCUGUUUAAAGAGAUGGUUUUCAAUUUUAGUAGAAGCCAUCACACCAACUUCAUUUGGUCCGAAGCAAAAUGUCAAGAGUGAAACCUCCCUUGAACCUUGGUUUAGACCAGUCGUUCUUGAGUCCAGUCCUCGAGGCCCACUGUCCUGCAUGUUUCUGAUGUUUCCCUGCUCCAACACUCCUGAAUCAAAUGAUCAGCUCGUUAUUCAGCCAUUACAGAGCUUGAUAACGAGCUGAUCAUUUGAAUCAGGUGUGUUGGAGCAGGGAACCAAUAGAGGUGGUCUCAGUCUGGACCAAACUAAACCAUUGUCUGGUUCAUGCCCAGUGUGAAAGCGUUACAGGAAAUGAAGAACUUUAUAUAUCUCCAAAGGGAAAUUCAUUAGUCUGGACACUCAUGAAAAGCUGUGUAAAUUCAGUCAGGUGAGAGUAGAGGGUGACACGGUUAAAGUCUCCUGGUAUGAUUACAAAAGCCUCAAGAUGAUUAGGCUAUAUCCUCGCUAUGAUAUCAUGGAGAAUACAUGUAAACAAGUAUGGUUACGAUGUGGCUGAACUCUCUUGGAACAUAAUUUGGAUGAAGAGAGACUGCCAACAGUUUAAGAUCAUGUUUGUAUUCAGGUCGGUUUAUGAAUUAAGUGAGUUGGGGAUAUGCCUUGUGUCCCUAGUGGACAGCCAGUGCAUGGCAUGUAGAUUAUUCUUUCUCAUUUCAGGAAAAAUUACACCAAUGAUAAGAAAUAAGUGCACAUGACUGUCUCAAAUUGAACUUUGAACAAAGUUUUCUUUGUUUUGGUGACAUCCAGCUGAGGACAAAAAUGCAAACACAAAAUUAAAACUAGCAAAGGCUCGAGUAGGAUUUGAACUCAGGUGGUCCGGGUAAAAGUCCACUCCUCUAUCUACUACUGGGACAAAAGUGCCUUCUAUGUUUGACAUAAACACCAUCAAGCAAUCAGCAAAGAGCUUCAAACCAGUCAAAAGAAACACAAAUGUUGGUGUAAGUGUUCACAGUUUCUAAAUUUUCCAGCUCUUUCCUGUCAAACUGUCAGUUUGUUUUUGUCUCUAUUUGUGAACAUAAAAUAUUUAAAUGUUCCUCCAUCUGCAGGAAAAUAGUUUAACUUUAGCAAAACAAGCAGAAACACCCACAUAUGGCUCACUAGUCUCUGUAGUAUUUCAAGGGUCAUGUAGAACAGUGUUUGGGCUAACACACCUGAUUCAAAGGAUCAGCUCGUUAUCAAGCUGUUAUAACGAGCUGAUCAUUUGAAUCAGGUGUGUUGGAGCAGGGAAACAUCCAAAACAUGCAGGACAGUGGGCCUCCAGAACUGGACUUGAGAACCACUGAUGUAGACGACUAGGUCUUCGUGGUUCUCUUUGUGUUAACACAGGUAACAAACACCUUGUACAAAAUGCAUACCACUCCUGUUUGGGCUUCUUUCAUUGGCUCCAGAUAGCCAAAGCUCUGGACUUAAACUCGAAUCUAUGUUUCUGAUCCCCUAACUUCAGACAUGUCCGGUCACGAACUGGAGCCCUCUGACAUAAAAGAUCUGCUGACUUUUGGACUUUUGGUGGGCAAAAUUAUGUCCGAGUCUUGAUUUUCUGGAACAACUGACACCAAGGAGAUCGGGUCAGUCACGUUUUCAUUUUUCCUUUCUUAAAAAUGUCUUUUCCUAAACAUAUUUGUAUAGAUUUGCUUUUGAGGAGACUUUCUCUGAGGAUGUGUUUUAAUCCUCUUAUUCCAGGUUAAGUCUUGAUCACAUUUAGGAUCUUCCUGAUUGUUAAAAGUUUUUACAUUUUUGUUUAUUUUAUUCUUUCAGUGUUACUUUACUUUCUCUAAUCUAAUUGUGUGUUUUUUUUCCUCUGGUGAAAUAAAUAUUUUAAUUUAUCUUUUAUCUACUGCUUAUAUCUUUCAUUUAUUUCUUUAUUGCUAUCUUUUAUCUGUCUCUUAUAUCUUUUUAUCUUUUAUCCAACAUUGUUAUUUUGUUUUAACUUUUAAAUCUUUGUCAUUGUUUGUCUGUCUGAUCCUCUUUUAUGAGCUCUUUUAAGCCCUGUUUAAAAAGUGCAUCAUAAAUUGACUUGGUUUUUGUCUAUUCUUGCACCCCUUGUUUCCCUAUUUAUCGGAGACUGUUUUCUGUUUUUAUCAGGAAUUUUAACUAGACAUUUUGCAGAUAUGCAUCCUAAUCUCUGAUGUAUUUAAAUGUUUCUAAUUAGAGAAAAUAGUGAAAAGAGACAGUCCUUUGUACCAUUCUGAUCUUGUUUGAAGAAGAUUAUUUAUGCUUGUGGUCUUCAUGGAGAACAGUUUACUCAUACCUCUGUAUUCACAUGCGUGAUUCUGUGUCUGAACUCUGCAGCUGAGGUUGAACUUUGUCACUUUUUUUGUCACUGCAGGCGCUCGGAGUGUUUGCAUGAACAGCAGCAGAUCCUGGAGCUCUGCUGCAGAUUUGGGUUCACUGUCCCACUGGGAAAUAAAUAAACUUCUGCUUCAUUUAAAGUCAGAAAAAGGAAAAAAAAAAAAAAAAACCUCUCCAAAAUAAAGAGCCUCUUCAGUCCUAUGAAUGUGAAUGCUGUGAAAGUCACACGCCUGAGAUUUGCUCCCUGUGUGUCACCUCAGAAGAUGAUUGAUUGAUAGAUUUUCCAUCAAAAGGCAGUAAAACAUCCGUCCAAUUCAGGCUGCAGUUUGCCAAUCAUCCUGGCUUUGUAUCUCACACUCAACCUGGACGACAAUAACCUGUUUGUGAGCAUCUACCACUGUUUGUUGUCCUGCCACAUCGGACAUUUUCAAUUUUCCUGCAAUUUGUUGCUGCGAGAGUUUCUCUGCAAUCAUAGAAACAAUUUGAGCCCAAAGUGUUUUUUUCUGAGUUCACAGUUACAAACAAACACCUGUAAGAGCAGCAGCAGCAGCAGCAGCUCCUGUUGGUCUGCAGCACCCACCGACUGCCCACAGUGUUCAGGCAGUACAGAGUGUACAAAACCUGAGUCCAAUUUCUGUUUACCCCUACAUUUCCUCAUUUGAGACCGAAAUAAUGAAGCAGGUGUGGCCACAGAGGAGCUGAUAACAGCUGUAAAAAUGAGCCAUUCAGCUGUAAUCAUUGAAGCUGCAGACAGAACAAGAAAAUUUAACAUUUCAUUAGGUCAGCUGUUCACCAGACAUCAAUGAGGUCCUUAUUUAAAACAUUUUAGAGUCCAGUAGACAUUUGCAAACAUUUCACAAAGUGCUUGAGUCAAGAUUUCCUCAUCGAGUAGCAGAUAAACUGUUGUGGCUGCAACAUCAUUUUUAAAGACGUCUGAAGGCGGAAAAAGCAAAAAACCAACUCCGUAACCUUCAGAGUAAAAUCACUGUUUUUACAGAGUAAGCCUGGAGGCUUUCAGGAAAGCAAUGUUUGUGUGGUAUGGUGGCCCUGGAGUCAACUGCAACGUUUCUUAACCCUAAAUAUAGAACUCAAAAAAAUAAAUAAAAAUAAAAAUAAAAGGAUUUGUUCAGACUCAGAGACGUUUCAAGAAACUUAACAUUAUUCCAUCAAAGGUUUCACUAAUAAAACAAACAAAUCAGCUAGUCAGGUGGUUUUAGACGUUCCUCAAUCCUUUUUAAAAUUGAGAGGAGCUAGAGCAUUUUCUGUCAUGGCUCCCACUUUGUGGAACGCUUUGCCUCCUAAAGUGUGCACUGCUAACAGCCUUUCCACUCUUAAAACACUUCUGAAGACGCACCUGUUUACUUUAACUUUUGGGGAAGUAUAGCUACAUUUAUUGGGUAUUUUAUGUAUGUGCUAUGUUUAUCUAUAUUGUUGUUUUAUGUUUUAAUAUAUUUUAUGCUUUUAUUGUUUUUAUGGUCUCUGGCUAUUUUACUGUAAAGCACUUUGGUAGGCCACUGGCUGUUUUUAAAAGUGCUAUAUAAAUAAAGCUGACAUUGACAUUGACAAAUAAGAAAUAAAAAGUCUAAAAAAAUUUGGAAAAUUACAAAAUGUAGAAAAGAUUAAAAAAAAUGUAAAAAAUGAAUAAAGAAAAAGUUUCAUGCAACAUGGAUUGUUUGUGCAUCAUCAUCAUCAUCAUCAUCAUCAUCUGAAAUAUAGAAAUGUUUUUUUGAAACACUUAAGUAUAAAAAUCUUUUACAAAACAAAAACAAUCACAUUAUGUAAAAAGAAAAUCCAAAAAAUAUUUAUUAAAUGUUAUAUUCACAAAUUUACAAAAUAUGAGACAAAAACAUUUUGUUCAACCUAUAAAAAUCCUAGAAAACAAAUUGUGCAAAAUAUAUAUGUAACACUCAAAUAUGUAACGAAUAAAAACUUUAAAAACUUUAUAAAAUUUAAAAUUAUUUUAAAAUAAUAUUUAAUGUUCCAGAAAAGCCAAAACUUGUCCUCAACUUUAAAAAAUAUUCAUAAAUAUGAAAAAAAAACACAAUAUGCAAUGUCAACAAAAUUAAAAAAAAACUGUUUUUUUAAGAUUCAUACAAUUUCUUAAAAGGUUUAGAAAGUCUUAGUUAAUGUAACCUGAUAUAAAACAGAUUUUUUUUUAAAUGUUUAAAUGUUCAUGAAAACUUUGUGCAGGGUUAGUUUCCAGGGCCAAUAAAAACAAAUAAAAUAAGGGAUCCUUCCUGUGAUGUCUUCAGACCCUGAGAAUAACUACCUGAGCCUGCAAGGGACAAAAGAAACUAUGACCUUUAGUUGGCAGAGUUAGAUAAAUGGUGAGGACAUUACAGCCAGUUUACCUGCUCCAGAAUCAACCCAGCAAAACUUUUUGUCCCAUUUGAAACCUAAAUCUAUCAACCUAGAGAGCAGAUGUUAAAAAUAUUAGUGUCCCCUUUCGACUGAACCCUUUCUGGUGGAGCUGCUAAACAAACAGUCCUCCAAAGUGCAGCAGCAGAAAGAAUACAUCAAACUAAACGGGCCUCACCUGCAGAGAGCCUCCAGUCUGUGCAUUUUCUGCUGAUUUUUCUUUAAAUGGAUGUUCUCAGCGUGAGUAGUCUGCACACACACACACACACAAACACACACACACACACAUACUCUUGUGGCUGCUCACAAUAACACAAUGAGAGCUUUCUAUGUCACUUUAGGCCGAUUUGAGCUGGCCUAUUUCCGACAAGCACCUCUCUAUAGCCCAGUCUCAGAGCAGCCAUUGUUUCAGCACCACACUGAUGGUCUGACCAUCUGUUCAGUACAGAGGAGCGGCUCUGAGGCGACACCCUGAUGUUUAAUAAAUACGGUGUGUUCAGGAGCUGGGACUCAAUGCACCUCUCUGAACACUCACACAGGCCGGAUGGGCUCUUCAGAGCAAACACGCCAUUCGACCACCUCUCCAGACGAGCGUCUCAGAUAAGCCUGAGUGUUUGAUGGGGAAAGCGCUCUCUCUUCCUUUAUCAAUCUCAAACAGAAGCUUUUUUUGCUCCAUUAUUCUGCGCUCAGACUGAUAAGCAGUGGAGAGCCGCAGUGGCGUGAAAGACAUAUUGUGCAGGCCGGCGGUGUGCAGAGAUAAAACCAGACUGAACCACAAAGGUCAAAGGCAGCAGCGAACAUGGUGGAGGCGUGUGUGCGCUGUUCAAAGAAACAUCCGGAGAUCAUGUUUAAUUUAAAGCUUUAUCAGUGAAAUGUCUUGAGAGCUGAGAAAUACAUCACAAGAAUGACAACUGCUUUAGUUUUCAGAAAUGUCCGUCAGAAUCCUGCAGGAAAGUGAAGACGUGUGUUUAAAUAAUUCAGCUUUAACCCAAACCUGCACCUGCAAGAGCUGAACAGAGCCACGUUUACACGGGCAAAAUUUCUUGAUCGGAUUAAAAUCGGAUAAUCUGAAUCCACUGUUUACAAUGGGUGCAAAAUCAAAUAAUCCGAUCAUGACAUGCAUAUACAUGCACCAAGUUUUAUUCAGAUUAGAAGCAUUUUGACAUGUGCAGAGUUCUCUAUUUUCAGUAAAACAAAUGCAGAAGAAGAGUUGUAUUGACGCCUGUGCUGUUAACAAACCAACAAACGCAGUAGUGGCUCACUUAAUUCAAUACUGUUUUUUUCCCUCAAUUAAAUGUUGUUACUAGAUGGCGCCCUUGCAUAUUUAGUUUACUGUUCUGUCGAAGGUUGCUCUGUCAGGCAGAUGUGACAUCAUUUCGCUGUAUGUACGCCUUGUUAUGUUACCGGAGGAGCAGACACGGCACCUGCAGUUGUGUUGUACACCAGAGUGUUAAUAAUGAAACCUCCUGUACUGGCCUAAAUAAAUAAGCUAAAGGUUAAAGAGUGAAGACCCAGUCAGGUAAGAGAGUUAUGUUCAGAAUAAGUGUUUACAUGGACGCGUUUUGGAAUAACAAUCGGCAUAAACCACUCGUCUCGAUCGGAAUACAAUUUCUUUCUGAUUGAGCCGAAUUGGAUGAGAAUUUUCUGAUCGGUAUGUUUCCUUGAUGCAUUUUUAUCCCGACCAUUUAUUUGUGCGGGCAUUUAUUCAAGCCAAAUUAGCCAUGUAAACAUGGCUAAUUUGGCACAAUAACAAUCAACGUAAAUACGCUCAUCAGUUUGGGCUAAAGGUCCUUACACACGUCGCGAAUAUGGUAUGCGAAAUCACAAAGUAUUCUAAGGCGAAUUUUGACGCAACUGACUAUACACAUCAAGCCCAAUGCGAUUUUGCGACUUUUCCGGAGGGGAAAAAAGACGCAUCCGGGUUGGAAGCGAGAAGACUGACACAACAGCAGACUGACUGUUUUUCAGUUCUGAUUAGACACUAGUGUUGAGAUGUCUGUCUGUCAUGAUAGCAUGUACUGAGUCGGGGCCAGUACCAGAUAAGCACAUUAAACUAUAAUCCAUAAACGUAAGGUAACAACCGAGACCUAAUGGUGCUGUGACAGCAACGUGAUUGAGUUUGAGACAGUGAAAAUACAUAUGGUAUGUUGUAACUGAACAGGUUAGCUUACGAGCUAAAGUUACUUAGCACAGAUGAAAGUUAAAACAAAGACGUUUAGCAAACUGUUAAAGCACACAAACCAUCGUCAUAUGAGAAAUCCGACACUAUGACUCUCUACAAGUUGUCCUUCAGGUCGUUAUCUUUGUAAUAUUUGUGUUUUUUAUCAAAAAGCACUCUGUUCUCCGACACGUAAACAAUCAGCCGGUCGGCCAUGUUGGACAUACCGGCGA
rnacentral:lncRNA from 1 species